AGUAAACUUAAUGGAUCUCAGCUACAACUGCUCUACAUUUUAACCAUUGUUUUAUGUUAUGGGAAUAGUGACUGAAUUUCACUGUCCCAUCAUUAUAAUUUAUGCAUUGUAAUUUCAUUUGUGGGACUUAGUUUUCACAUGUGUUCACAUGUCAUAACUGUAAUUUCCCUAAUUUUAUGAGUAAGAAAAACUCUUUAAUUUUCCCUAUUUUGACUGAAACUUUAGGAACUUGGACUUUAUAUGGUGCAAAUGUAUGUUAUCAGCUGUUGCUUUUGACCAGUCAUGAGUAGAUACUAUUUAUAAAAGGACACAAAGGAGGAUAUAAUCCAAGUGCACUUGUAGUCGACAAGUUACUCUGGGCAUCAAAAUUGAAAGAAACAACAAUGAAGAAAAGCAGCAAGAAAGUGCCCCUACCUCCCAAACUCUCAAUGAACUACUGGAAGGAUCUACUACUAUUCAAGAUAACUUCUUCUAAGCACAACUACAUGUAACAGUACUUAGCCUGUGCUAUGGUCUCAAGAGGUAGGCUCAUUGGAACAUGCCUAUUUUGAUGGAUUUUAGUUUGUGGGGAUAGUUAAAGUGUAAAGUGUUUGAUAAAAUAAAUUUGCUAGUUUUAAUAAAUUGAAAUUACUACUGAAUGAAAUGUGAAGCUAGGUAUUAGGAGGAGAAAGAAAGAUUAAUUUAUUUGUAUGACACUAUGACUUACACAUUGUGAAGCUUACUGGUUGGGAAUUGUUGAACAGGGGAACUUAAUAGGGGAGACAGAACCACACAUAUUACUUGAUGAGAAAAUAUAAUUACAUUAGCCAAAGGCCAAAAAUAUAUGAGUAGUUCACUGAUUGCAUAUUAUUGGAAAGAGAGCUGAGCAAUAUAUGAUUCAUAAACUUUUUACAAUUUAAAGGCCUGGGUCCAAUGAGAUAUGUUGCAUCAUAUUACCUAAUGAACCAAUGAAGUUUAUGGAUUUCCAAAACUUCUUGGAGAGGUUCAUUAUUUUAUGGUUCUUUUUUUUUUAGGGUUCUUUAUUUUCUCUUUGCCGAGAUAUCUAGAAUAUGACAUGGUAGGUACUUUUUGCUCCAUACCUCUUUGGAGCUCAAUUCUUUGGCAAAGCAGGAAGAAAACAAAUUAGCAUCAACUUUAGCUUGACUUGAGAUCACAAAUCCGACUAGAGAUUUUGCAGUAGUGUGUUGAGGUCUUAUCCGAAUCCAGGUUGUGAUGUGUGCAUCAAAGAGUCUUUCCAUAAGCCAUGAAGUUUUGAGGUGUUUUGUAAUGGCAUGACUAGAUAAUGAGCUGCAUUUUGGUCUGGAAUUUGGAGUUCGGUUAUGCAUUUCUGUAUCUAUAUCUCCAAAAUUAUUAACUAAUUUUAAUCAUUUUAUCUAUUUUUCAAAAUAAACAUUCAAAAUUGAAAGUUUCUGUCAUGAGUCUUCAAGCUUAUCUGGAAUAGAAUGCCCUGCAUUAACUCUUGCUGUUAAUGCAUAUAAUACCAGGUCAGUCAACACAGCCAUUUGCUUGCUUAUGUUGACUUUCAAUGGCUUAAAAUUUAUGGCUUCAAUGGUUAUUACCAUGCUAACACUCAAACUAAUUUUUUUUUUUUGAUAGGUAAAUAAGAGCUUGUAUUAGAAGUAUCUAGAAGUGGCGAAAAUAGUACACAUGAAGUAUACAAACAGAUCGCCCAAGAAACUAGGCAAAGAAGACAAAAAGCCUUUCCCCUAACUUGACAUAUGGCCACUCUAUAAAAUCAAUCAUAGACAAAGUAUGAUCCUCUAUAAACACCCUAGCCCAAUUUACAAGAGUAUACAAAAGGGAAUGUUAUAAAGCUUGGUCGGACUGUUCGAUAUCAUUUAAUGCUCUUUCGUUUCUUUACUUCCAUAAAGUCUACAUUAAGCAUAAAGGGGCAACCCUCCAAGACUUCCCCCUUCUCUUACCCACAAAGGCACCAUGCCAUCCAAGCAAAUUCCUUUAAAUCGAAGAAUGCAAAAUCCACUGCACACCAAAUAGGGAAAAAAUAAAACUCCAAAGCAUUGUAGCCUUUCUGCAAAACAAGAUUAAAUGGUCACUGGUUUCCUAUUUCUCUUUACACUAGCAUAAUCAAACUAAUAACUAAUAGUUAUUGGAUUUAAAGCUUCUUUGUUAAUGUUCUUCAUGGUUGUGCUUCUAUUUUUAAUCGAUUCUCUUGGCCAUCACCGUUCCCCCCUUAUUAAGAUUGGAUAUUUAAGUUUCAACGAAACAACCUAAUAAAUCCUCAAGAUAGAUCCUAUUUAUAAGGCAUGGGAGUUUUGGUUUAUGUCUGCUUCCAAAAUUCUUAUCCAUAUUUCUAUGAAUUCUUAUGCCAGAAAGUCUACUUCUUGCAGAAUUUUGAUGAUGUCUUGGUUCCUCUUGAUCACGUCAGUAGGAGUUACAAUGAUACAUACUACAUCGACUCUCAAACUGUCUUGAGGUGCCACACUACUGCUAAUCAAGCAGAGCUGUUGAGGAGGGGACACACUCAUUUCCUUGUGACUGGAGAUGUUUAUCGUAGAGAUUCCAUUGAUUCAACUCACUACCCUGUUUUUCAUCAGGUUUCUUAUCUCUGAUUUUAUCAAUGAUUAUUUUCUAUUAACAAGUUUCUUAACGUUUUCUUCAGUUCAAUAACUUUGCUUCCUGAUCAUGCAGAUGGAAGGCGUUAGUGUCUUCUUUCCAGGUGAUUGGGAGACAUUUGGACUGGAUGGCACGUCUUAUGCGGCUGAGGAUUUAAAGAAAUGUCUUGAGGGUUUGGCGCAGCACUUGUUUGGUAAACUUAGAUCAGGAGAUUGUCUUAAUCAGAUGCAAACUUAAUACUAUCAGUUGAUGCUGCAGUGAGAAAUAUGGGUUAAGGAAUUAUUUACCAGGUCUAAUAAUUCAAAAUCUGGGAAAUACUGCAAGUAAAAGGGGGCAAAAAAUAAUGAAAUAAUAAAAUAAUAAAUUUAAGUGGGGAAAGCAAUUCAUGUUAUGCAAAAGCAGUACAGGUUGGUCAUUUAGAAGACAAAUCAAGAUAGUCCAGAAUAAUAUAGGGAAUUAUUUGUGAUUCUCAAGGUACUUGUUAAGAAUCAUUGACAAAUUACCUCAAGAAACAUUUAAGAGUGCUAUUAUUCUUGAAAUUUCUGAAAUCUAUCAGAAAGGUGGUUUUCAUCUUGGGGUUUACCAAAUACUGUAUAGAAUCUGCGUGGGCUAAAUCUAUUGAAAUUUGCAGGUAAUGUGGAAAUGCGCUGGAUUGAUACAUAUUUCCCUUUCACCAACCCAUCAUUUGAACUUGAGAUGUAUUUUCAGGUGUGCUUUUGAUCUGGCUGGUGGUUACAUUUUAGCACUAUGUAUUUUGAAUUUCUUUAAAACUUUGUUUUUGAACUAAUUCUAGUAGAAACAGGCUCCAUUUCAUUUUUCUGUUUUCGCCUUUUGCAAGAAAGGGUAAAAAUCAUUUCAAAAAUGUGAACUUCAGUUUAUUCCAUUGCUGGCAUGUGUGGCUUUCAUCUGUUAUUGAAGACACUAAGAUUCAUAGACUGAUAAUAUUCCAAUGCUUAUACUAACAGUAAUGUUGAUGAUAAAAUAAUAUAAAAGUAGAAACAAAAUUAGUUGUCUCCCUUUUUUUUUUUCUUUUAGUUUCUUUGUUCUUCUUACCCCUCUUAUGUGGGGAGGGGGUGUGGGGCUCUUUGUUGUUGCCAAAUGUGAAAAAGAAGAUGCAUUAUGUCCUUUUAUUUUGGACUUAGAGGACCUAUUAUGAAGGCAUUGCUUUCUUCAAUGUAUAUUUAUGACUUCAAGACAUUUUUGUAUUUUAUUUUAUGGCAGCAUUUUUUAGCGUCACUAUUGAAGGAGAAAUUCAUAAACAUAUAUACACACAUGCUAGUGGGCAUACACAAACACUGAUGUUCCACACAGUAAUUAAAAAAUUAUUGCUUUGAGGAGUAUCUUUUUCCAAUACUCAUGUCCAUGUCAAAUGGCAACAUGCCAAUGACUAUUUGCCAGCAUUGCUGGCAACUCUUUUAUGGAUUGUGUGAGUGUUUAGCUAGGUUGGCAAUUCCGGACAAAAUUUCCAAUUCCUCUUCGGACUACUUGACUUUGAAGACUAAGACUUUGCUAAGAGGUCGAGGUAUGUAGCCGAGUGUGUGGUGAUUGAAUGUGUAUCAACCCGGUUUUUAAUCUUUAAAUGUGUUAGAAAGUUGGGAAAAAUGGUUUUUGGUGCAAGACUUUCAUUCUCCUAUUUCUGGAUCGAUCUAGGUGCAGGGGUGGAUUGAUCCAACUAAUUAUUUUUUGAUCAAAUCUUAGCCAUUAGAUUAAGGGCUUCUUUUUACACUUUAAAAAGCAAUCUUCUCUCAUUUUUUGGACAGGGACUGCAGAAAACGUGGAGAGAGCAUCCACUCCAUGUGUUCUUCAUUUUCUCAUAUUGUUUUCCUAAUUUGGGGUUUUUGAUUGCAAAGAAAAUCCACUUCUCUUAAUGUUUUCCAAACUAGUUUUUAAUGGAUUUUCUUGAGCAAUAAAUGAGUUGAUUCAUUCCUUCAUUCAUAUCUCAAUCUCAUUCUAUUUGGGUUUGUGCAAAAACCCAUUUUCUUCUUGUGUGGAUUCAAGAAGAGGCCGAGAUUGAGCUUGGUGUGGACUCCAAGUGUGCUCCGAAAGAAGAAGGUGAGAAGCUGAAAGUGAAGGUAUUAGUCAUGUAGUCCGGGAAGGAUUGGUUGGCUUGAGUUAGGUAAAACCUUGUACUCAGUUUUUAUUCUUCAUAAUGGAGUUUUUCAAUCAGUGAAAGGCCCGUGGUUUUUGAUCUCUUCGGAGGUUUUCCACAUUAAAAAUCCGGUGUUCAUUGUCUCUUUCUCUCACUCUACACUUUGAUUUAUUUUCUGUUUUUGCUAUCAUUGAUUACUUGGACAUACAUGUUGAAUGGAAGAAAUAUGAGGUGAUAUAAGUGUGAUGAUCCAUGGAAUAUCUUUAAUAAUUUUUCUGUUCAUUUUGUUUAAUGAUAUCAUGGAGUCAAUUGAUAUGAGUUGAGGAGUGUUGAAGCAUUUGCAUGUGUUUUGCAUUUAUAAAUUGUCGGGAGAGUGUUGAUGCAUACAUUCUUGCUUGUGGAUGUUAUGCUUUGUUGAAAAGUUGUUGGAAGAGAAGUUUCUUGACAUUGAGAUAGUCUAAGGUUAGGUAAUCUUUGUUGGGAGAAUUUUUAAAUUGUUUUACAACACUUAUUCACCUCCCCUCUAGGUGUAGUCCAUUAUUGAGAUUCACCUUUUCAGAUUGAAUGUUUUCUUUUCCCUUUUCCUUGUAGUGAGUACACUUUAGUUGCUCUUACAUAUCUGAUGCAUUGUGCUUCAUGCCCUAACUGAUGCAGAACAGAAAAGUACCAGAAAAAAUGAUGGGAGUCUAGGAAUUACUUCCAAAAACCUUAGGCUUCGCACAUAGGUUUAGUUUGCAUCACACAAAAAAGAAAACAUUGAAAGCUGGAAGGUUUUGUGUUUUCAUUCAUUGAUCCUUUUAGAAGAUAGAGUGAUCAACUUUGUAAACUACAACCCUAAGACCCCUAAGACUCUUAAGACCCCUAACACUCUUUGGAACCAAUCACAGUAAUAAUAAAGCUGAGAAAUCAGAAACUUGAACUGAUAAAUAAAAAUUAAAGGGCACUUGCAAAUAUAAAGCAUUAAUGACUUUGGAAAUAAGAACACUCCAAUACCCCCCACGCCCUUCGGAAAACUCAACCUUGACAAGUUAAAGGCAUGAAAUUUCUCAUAAAGAUCACAAUUCAACUGCUGAAAUUCAUUGCUUGUGAUCCACAUACAAUCUCAAAGUGGCCUUUCUCUCUAUUCCACAAGAUACUUUUGAUAACCUCCUCUACUGGUUGAAACAAUUUAGUGACCAACAACUUUUCAAUCUUCUCUUUCAAUCAAGGGGCUGGUAGAAGAUGACCAUUUGGAUCAUUAAUUGAUGUAGCAGCUUUAGGAUUAGGAUAAAGGGUGUGGUCUUCAAUAUUAGAGAUCUUAUUAAUGCCCAUAUUUUCUGGCAAGUCAAGUACAUAAGCGUUGGGACUUGUUUUCAUGAGAAUUUUAUAGGGACCAACAUUCUUUGAGUGGAGUUUCUUAUAGGCACCUCUAGGAUAUUGUUCAGGCCUUAUUCACACAAUAACCAUAUCACCUUCAAUAAGUUCAGCAAAUUUUCUUUUCACAUCAUCGUAUGACUUAUUUAUUUAUUUGAUAGGCAAGUGGGAAAAACAUGUAAUCAUACAACUUAUAAUUUCAUUGAUGAAAACAAUUUUCAUUGAACAUGAUAAUGUGUGUCAUCUAUAUGCUCACUAAAAGCAUCACUUCAAUGCUAGGUCAUGCAUCCAUUGGUAAAGGAACCAAAUCCAUAGGCUUUCUAGGAAGCAAUUCAGUCACAAUCUCAAAUGGACUGUGACUAAACCUGUUCAGGGAGCUAUUAUUUGCAAAUUCAGCCAUUAAUCUGAUCUCCAGCUAGGCAGUGAAGUAAAGAUCCAAGCUUCAAUUAACAACUUCUAUUUGGCCAUCUGUUUGAGGGUGAAAAGCAAAAGAAAACUUUAGUUUGGCAUUCAGUAUUUUCCAUAAAGUUCACCAGAAGUAACUCAUGGACCUACCAUCCAGUUUAGGAAAAUCAUGAAGGUGAACAAUUUCCUUGAAGAAGAGUUCUUUUUUUUGUUUUUUUGAUAGGUAUUCCUUGAAGAAGAGUUUAACAAUCAGGCAACAUCUUUAGUCCUUAAGCAUGGGAUAAAUUGUACCAUCUUGGAUUAAUGAUUUACCACUACAAUUAUGCAAUCAUGUCUCUGAUAGUUUUCGGCAAAUCAGGGACAAAAUCCAUGCAUAGGUCUAGCCAUGGCUCAUGUGGCACAGAAGUGGCAUGUAUAGACCUGUAUUCUUCCUUUUUCUCUUUGAUAAUUUGCAGGUUCGAUGUCUGGAGACAUUCUUAGCCACAUCUUUUUUCAGACUUGGUCAAUAAAAAUGAUUUUCCACCAUUGUAAUGGUUUUAUCUCUUCCAAAAUGACCAGUUGUUUCUCCAGCAUGAAGUUCCAAUAUUACUUGCUUAUGAAAUGAUGUUUUGGGUAAGCAAAGCCGAGUCCCUUUGAAGCAAUAUCAAUCAUGUAAAAAAUCACCAUAUUCUCCCGAAUUUCUAGGCACUACAGCAACACAUAUAGUGCUAAAAUCUUUGCUAGAAGGAUAAGGUCUCUUGAACAAGUCAAAUCCAACAACUUGUACGUCAAUAGAAGAAAGAGUGUAUGCCAAUUUGCUAAGAGCCGCUGCAAAGAAUUCUUUGUCAUAGGUACAAUAUUUCUGCUUUGCUUCAUUAAGCUUUUUGCUGAGAAAUGCAGUAGGGACACCUCUAACUCUUAUGUUUGAUGCAUUGCAUGCCGCUUCUAACACCUCCCGGAAAAUUUGGAAGCUGCAAAACCAGUGCUUCAAUUAACGUUUUCUCAAUUUCUUUGAAAGCCUGCGAUGUUGCCUUGGUCCAAUUCAACUGAUUUUUCUUCAUACAAUAAGUUAUAGGGGCUGUAACAUUGCUGAAACUUAUGAUGAAAUGUCCAUGGAACAUUUCUAGCCCAUGUUAACUUUGUACUUGUUGUGAUGUGUUGGGAAUUAGGAUGGCUUUUACUUCAUUCAUACUUCCAAUCCUUUUGGCAAAACAAUAAGCCUAAGAAUACUACUGCUGAGAUCAUGAAAGAGCAUUUCUUCAAAUUUAUGUAGAGCUUUUCUUGGUGAACAACUGUCAUAACUUGCCAUAGAUGGGGAGAUGUGAUCUCCUUUGGUCUUGCUGUAAUUAAGAUGUCAUCAAAGUAAACAACCAGGAAUUUUUCAAUAAAUGGCUGAAGUACUUGAUUUAUGAAGCACAUGGAUGUGCUAGGGGCAUUUGAAAGGCCAAAAGGCAUAACUAGCCACUCAUAGAGGCCAUCUUUUGUUUUAAAGUCCGUCUUCCAUUCAUUUUCUAGUCUACUGCUUAUUUGAUGAUAUCCGCUCUUUAAAUCCAUCUUUGAAAAUAUGCAAGAGCCAGCCAUCAUGUCAUAUCUAACAUAUGAUUGAAUCAAGGGAUAGGAAACUGAUACUUGAUGGCUAUCUUGUUAGUAGUGUGACUGCCAACUACUAUCUUUUUUUGGUGUUAGCAAGGCAGGGACAGCACGAGGGUUUAAACUUUCAUGAAUGGUUCCCUUGGUCAGCAGUUACUCCACUUGUCCUUUUAGUGUGUCAUGCUCACUUGGAUUCAUAUAAUAGGCUGGAAGAUUAGGCAAUUGAGGCCUUGCCAUAAAAUCUAUAAGCAUGCUGAAUGUUGCGCAGAGAGGAAAGUUUUUGAGCAACAUCUAUGGUAGGUCUUUUUGAGCAACAUCUAUUGUAGGCCUUUUCGAGCAACAUCUAUAGUCAUCAGGAUCAUGGGCUCUAUAAUCAAAUGAAUUUCGGUUUCUUCAUCUUUUUGUUGUUCUUGUUCUUCUUCAUGCUCCAUUCUGAUGUACAAAUUCUUGUUUGGACAAUUUAGGUUAUUUGGCCGGGUUGUUGACACUUAAAACACCUAUUAACCUUACUCUUAGGAUUAAUGGCAUUAGAAGAAUACAACUUAGACCCUGUAGGUUGGAUAAAUGGCUCGAAUUGGUCUAUUCUUGCACUGCAACCUAUAUCAGUGAACCUUCUCUGCACUGGUUCUAUGGAUGAAACUCACAUCCCAAGUACUCCAUAUCUAAUGCAAAUUGAAAAGCAUGUUCUAGGCUGUAAUGGCUGAUGCAUCAACUCUCUUCUCAUUUUAGGUCUCAAUCCAGCUUUGAAUCAUGCAAGAGUUUGCCCUUGGGUCUUCUACUAUUUGACUCCAAGUCUUUAGGUCAUGAAAUCUUUGCAUGUACUUUGGUCUCUGCAACUGAUAUGUUGUUCUGAUUCAUGGUAAUGAGGUGAUUACAUAACUUAUUACAAUAAUUGGUCCUGCAUGUAUUUUUCACAUAGCUUAUCCUUCAUCACCUGCCAUGUGCUGACAGGUGGUAGCCUCAUCUUCCCAUCUUCCUAGUAUCUCUUUCAACACCUGUCCACUAAUCUUUUGCUAAGCCUACUAGUUUCAUUUUAGUAAACCACCCUCUCUGUUCAUCAUUCAUACAUACCAAUCAAAACAGUCCUCAAUUGUAGCUAGCCAAUCAACAAAUUGAGUAGCAUCACCCUUCCUUCAAAUUAGGAACUUCUCCUUUUACUUUCCUUGUGAUAUCUUCAGCAGUUUCACAAGGUUUACACCUUGUUUCAGGUAGUCCUCUAGCCCAUUCAGAUAUAGGAUAUUGUGGUGCAUGUCCGAUGUUCCUCCAAGUUUUUGUUGUUAUUAAUUUGAGAUAAUUCUCCUUGUACAACACAUUCUAAAUCAUUAGUGGGCUGAGAUAUUUGUGUCUCAAUGUUGCUUAGUCGAAUAUGCAGGCUAUCAAGCUGUUCCAUCACCAAAAUAGUAUCUCAUCAAGUUGACUAUUAGAUAAAUCUAUUUUGAAACUCCUCCUAGGUCUUGUAAUCAUGAUCUCUGCUUGCUCUGAUGCCAAAAUUGAUGCCGAACAGAAAGGUAACAGAAAACAUGUUGGGACUCUAGGAAUCACUUCCAAAUCUUAGGCUUCACACUUAAGUUCAGUUUGCAUCACACAAACAAGUUGAACUAUCACAGUACGAUUGGUUCAUAAUAAGGUGUCAUCUGAUUGGUUCUUGUGGAGGGAACCUGUGAUCGUUCAAACUGGAGGCUGCACCUGAUUGAUUACAUUGAAAGUUGGAAGGUUUUGUAUGAGAUAAAUGAACCAACUUUAUACACUAACUCUAGACCUUAGACUCUUUGGGAGCUAAUGGCAAUACUAAUGAAGUUGGAAAAUCAACAAUGUGAACUGAUAAAAAAAAAUUUUGAAAGACUCUUGAAAAUGUAAAGCAUUAAUGAUUUUGGAAAUAAGAACACUUGUAAUCCUUUGACUAGACUCAUAAACAAAACUUAGACUGAAAUCCACAUUGAAGUAUAUAAAAUCCCAACUGGGCCUAUUAUCAUCCAAAGUAUGCCAAAUCAUAAUUUGGGCCUUAAGAGUCCAAUCUCUAUGCAUUUGUUAACCUUUCACAGGUGAUUGCCACUAGUCUUGAUCACUAAUAAACACGAUUAUAGCAUCAGAGAAGAGCCAUGUCCCCAAUUCUGGCAGUAAAAAGUUCUUUUUACAAGCUAACCUCAGGGAUCCAAUUACUACAUUAUUGUGUUAACCAUGAGCAUUGGUGCUCCUGUUCUGCUUGCAUGGUUACACUGAACCUGCUAUCCAAAUGUGUUGGUUGACCAAAUGAGAAACUCUAGGAAAAUGAAUGAAGUCAUAGUGACAUAGCUACAUUGAAUGCAACUUGUGUGUUUGUGUGAACAGGAUUGGGCGAGUUAAAGAGUUUUUAGAAGGGAGAAUACCUUUUUAAUUGGUCUUAGUGUUCAGUAUGCAGCUGGUUCAGUGAUCAUGAGGCCAGUUUAUAGUACAAUUUUCUUGAGAUUUUUAUUGAAGUGAUCCCUUGAAAAGUCAGGCUACUUUUUCAAGAAGUAAAUGUUUUAUCUUGUAGGUUGUAAAAGAUGCAUUCUCAGAAUAGGUGCCUUGAUUAUGUUUCUUCAGCAGAAGAACCUACAAUUAGGGUCCUGUGUAUAUCCUUUCUUGGAAUUUUCAUAAAUUUACCAGUAUUAACUUUCUAUUUUAGGACUAACUGUUCAGCAAAUCUAUGGAAAAGACUAAAGAGUGAGUACUAAGUGGUUCCUCCAAGGGCUGCUAAAAAGCACUUCCCAGGGUCAUGAGCCAAAACUGGGCCACUUGGAAAGAGGUUGUAACAAGUCACUUGACUAGGGGUUGUCAGAGGCCAUCAUUAGUCAAGAUUGGUUUUAGAUUCAACUUUAGGAAUUUAUUAAUUUUUCCUGAUUUCUCUUUUAUUUUUAGUUACAUAAUCAUAUUUGACUCUUGUUUUCCACUCUAAAUUCACAAUACCUUAUGAUAGAAAUUUUUAACUUCAGAACAUGAGUUGGGAUGUAUCAGAGAAGAAAGUUUCAAAUCCCUGGACUAGCAUUUCUGUAAUGCCUCAGUGAAAUUUUAUUGUAUGAUUAUCUACUUGAAGUAGCAAACCAUUAUCCUUUUAUUGCCAUUGAAUUGUGAAACCAUUAUGCCAUUACAUUGACAUCUCCAAAUGAAUGGUUUUAAUUUGAAUAGUUUUGUAUUAACUUAUUAUUUGACAAUUAUUGCCAUAGUUUUUUGGCGGAACUGCUAUGAUCUCACUAAGCAACAUCCAUUGAUAAUUUAUCAGGAGAAAUGGUUGGAAGUUUUAGGUUGUGGGGUGACAGAGCAAGAAAUAUUAAAGAAAAGUGGGAAAACAGGUAAUGUUGCUUGGGCUUUUGGGCUUGGAUUGGAAUGGCUAGCAAUGGUUCUGUUUGGGAUACCUGAUAUUCGGCUUUUCUGGUCAACUGGAGCGGUUCACCUCUCAAGUAAUUCCCUAAUUCAGUAAAUGAUACUGUAUUUUAUUUUAUUCUCCUUUUCUAUGUCUUUGUGGUUAAGCAAUCAUUUCCAAAAUUGAUAUCCUUAGGAAAAUAAAGCAUGCUGAAAAUUGACCUUGUUGACAUUCUUAAUGUCUGAUUUAGGUUCCCUGAAUGUUUAAUUUAAACACUUUGUAUGCAGUUCUCAAAGGGCCAGCUUGGGGUCAAGUUCAAGCCAUUUUCAAAGGUAUUGCUUAUAUUUUUCUCAGUUUGAUAAUAGUAGUAUCUUCUUCUGAUGUUGUGUUAAUUGAAACUGUUGCAUAAUUUUCAUGCAAAAGGAUCCAAGACAUUUUGGGGACCUGCAUUUUUAAGUAUAAUCAGAAAAAGUCCUUUAUGCAAAUUUGUCUUUUACAUUCUGAAAUCAAAAAGAUUAAUUACACACAACAUAAUAACUAAAUAUUUAUACCUGUUAGAGCCCCUUGUAACCUUCUCUAUUGGCUGCUAGAAACUGACUAUCGUCUUUUUGCAGUAUCCUCCUCGUUACAAGGACAUGAGUUUUUGGAUUAAUGAGUCGUUCACAGAAAACAAUUUAUGUGAGGUUAUAAGAGGAGUUGCUGGAGAUCUUGUAGAGGAGGUAUGCCUUUUUAUGUUUCUUCUUGUAAAUUGUUCAUUAGCUAUACAUCUCUUCAUGGUUCACUUGGUAGAAUUUUCCUAACCAUUUGUAUAGUUACACUGAAAGCACCAUACCAAUUUGUGUUUUAAUUAGGGGUGUUCAGGGUUUGGUUUGUUUAGUUUCAAACUUUAAAAUAAAAUCAAACCAGUCUAAUUGGUUUUAUGUAUUAGGAACCCAAACUGGCCUAAUCGGUUUUAUGUAUUAGGAACCAGACUAAUUGAACUAAAAGAGGGAACUGAUCGGUUGAGUUCAGUUUAAUAACAAUAAUUGAUAUAAGUUAAAAAUUGAUUGGUUCAACCCAGUUUGGUUCAGUUCUAUCAUUUUUGUCCAUUUAAUUGGUUUUUUACACACCCCUAGUUUUAUUUCACUUUUCAGUUCUUGGACUUUCUAUGAAAAUUAUAUUGUUGUCAUGAAGCUACUGAGGCAGUUGUGGACCAAUUCCAUCCUCUGAAGCUGUUCAUAGAAGAGAUCCUCUCUCUUCUUUUCUAUCUACCAUCAGUUGCAAUAAUAGAUCCAGUUUGCACAAAGUCAAGCUUAGAAAAUCUGGUCAUUGACAACCUGAAUAGUCUCUGGGAGCAUCCGGUAUCUUUUCUCCUUUGUGAGGGUGGAUAUGCUAACAUGUUCUGGGUCCCCUGCAUAAUUUUUCAUAGGUUGCAGAGCUGCUGUGUCCGAAUAGGAAAUAACAUGUUCUUCCUUCAUAGCUUUAAGUGCCAUCAGGAAUUGGAUAUGCUAAUAUGAGUGGGAGGACUCCAGAUGGGGGACUUAUGAGGACUCCAGAUGGUAGAAGCUACUUCUAAUAGGAGAUUGGAGAGGCCUAAAGCUUUUGCUUGCAAAAAACUCUCUAAAAAGGUUAGGAUCUUUGCCUCAAUGGCUAAACUCUGACUUGCAUAUAUAGAGAAUUCUCUUAUUAUUAUACCAAAGUGGUCAUCGAGUAACUCUGUAAUCCCCAACUCCCCUAGUUAUCCAAAGAACCCCAUUAACAAUUAGCAUAUAACUUAUGCAGCACAUGCUACACUGAUGGAGCCUUUAGGAACUAUUUUCAUGUUUUUUAGGCUAAUUCAUCCUCAAUAUUAUGUCAAUGCCAAUUUUUAGCUUGAGUUUGAAUUGCCUAUAUUAUGGAAAGGACAUAAGAUAGGAAGAAACAUGAAAUUCUCUUGUUUGAUUUACUAUGAAAAAUAUGACGAAAAAUAAAAUAUAGUAGAAAUUACUUAAAACCAUUAUACGUUCUUUUUCUAUGAUAGAAAAAUAAAUUUGAAGAAGCGAGUAACUUUAUUGGGUUUGAACUUGUUUCUUGUAUUGCCCUUCACAUUUUAUUUCUCUCUUUUUCCUCCCAAUUUUCUUUUUCACAUACUUUCCUUAAUCUAAUUCAAGCCUUGAGGAGUCUAGUACAGCUCAUAGCAAAUACCUAAAUACUAAUGCCCCCAUAUCCCAAAUGCAAUUAGCAAGACUAAUGGGUUAAACCAAUUCUAGAACCUGCACUAAAACAUUUGAAUAAAGCUUUAUUUGAGAAAGCUUCCUCAACACUUAAAAGGAGAGUUUGAAGGUCAUAGUUCUAGACUGUUUGAAAUAGAAAUCUCAAAAGUAGACCCUACAUUUCCUAAAGAGACCCCCAUUUUUCCUAAAAUAUGAUAUGGAAAGCAGAUUCUUAUUUACUUCAAUUUUUGGAAUUGUUAAUAUGAAGUAUUUUAUGAAUAAAUGAAAACAAUUUUAAAAAGCAGAUGUUAAACUUAAAACAAAUCACACAACACCAGUAGCUUGUGGAAGAAUCAGACAUUCCCAACCUUCCUUACAUUCAAGCCAUUGUUAGGGAAACACUAGGGCUUCACCCCGGCUUUACUGUACUCAGUAGACAAUCCUCCCAAGACUGCACUGUUGCGGGUUAUCACAUUCCUGCAAACACAGAGCUCUUAGUUAAUGUGUGGGCUAGGACCCAAACUAUUGGGAGAACCCACUCGAGUUCUCCCCCAGCAGGUUUCUUAAUGAGGACGGAAGUAUAAAGAAGGGGUUGGAUGUAAAGGGACAGCAGUUUCUUCUGCUGCCGUUUGGGAGUGGAAGAAGGAUUUGCCCCGGAGCUUCUCUAACACUGCAAAUUGUCCCCUCAACCAUUGCUGCUGUAAUCCAGUGCUUUGAUUGGAAGGUCGGUGAUGGAGGAAAUGGUAGCAUUAAUAUGGAAGAGGGACAUGGUUCGUCCCGGGCACAUCCCUUGGUUUGUGUUCCAGUGGCCAGGUUCAAUCCGUUUCUGACACGUGCAGGUUGAAGAAAGCCUAAGAUGAUUGAGUACUAUCUGGGAUUUGACACUGUUUGAAUAAUGUGCUGAUGCGGCAGUGCUCCUUCAGCAUAUAUGUAAAGAUGUGAAUGUGCGUGCGUGUGUGUGAAAGUUGAAUCAUAUACUUGGUCGUUUCUAAGGAUGAAAAAAUAUAUAUAAAAAAUCAAAAGUAAAUGUUUCCCCACCGUGUAUAGAAACUGAUACAGUUGAAUGACACUUCUACACAAAAAUAUAUAUUUGUGUAGAAUAUUUUAAUAAAUAAACUAAUUUUAAUCAUUUUAUUUUUAAAUUUCAUUUAAUUGAUUAUAAAAAAAUAUAAAAAAUCAUGACAAUUUUCUUAAGAAGUUUUUCUUUAUAUUAUUUCUAUAUUAAUUUAAAAAAAUCAUAUAUCAUAAUUUAUUUUAUAUCAUGGAAAAUAUUUGAAUUAGAUGGAUAAUUAUUUUAUUUUCAAGUUCGACGUAUUAUUAUCAAUUAUCACAAAUUUUAUUAUAGUGUCAUUUCUUUAAAAAAUUUCAUACAUUUUUAUAAGUUUUUAUUAAUUUUUAUUUUAUUGAUAUUUUUUUAUCAAAUUUUUUAUUAAUAUUUUUUUAUAUCGAUAUAUUCGUAAAAAUCGAUAUUUCCAUCAUUUAUUAAAUAAACAUUCUAUUUUUUUAAUAGUGCAACUAGCACAUCAAAAUUUAGAUAUAAUUAUUCUCCAUUAAAAAAAUAUGCAAAUUCGACACCAAUUGCAAAUACAAAUUGAAAUAAAAUAUAAAAAAUUUGCUAUACUUUUCAAUAAUUGAUGAGAAGUAAGAAAUGACCAUUUCAAUGCAAAACUUGAUACCUAAUAAAAUCUCUAAGAAUAGUAAUUUGGCCAAGCAUGGGCAGGAGAAGUGGCGUAGUUGGUUUGUAAGGAACAUCCAUAAGAACCGAGGAGCUGCAAUAUCAAAAUCAAACAAGAACAUAUAUAGCAGCAAAUAACCAUCAAAUGUAAUUAGACCAUUUACAUAUAUACAAUAACAAAAUGUUAUAAAUUAAAUAACCAGUGAAAAUCAUAAACCAAAAAAGUUAUAAUUUAAUUAAAAAAUAUAACAAAAAAGAGGAAGCAUAAAAGGAACUUGCCUUAUCAGAAGAGCAGACAUGUCGGGUUGUACCUAGUUAAUGAAAGGAAGGGUUGGUAACAACAACCUAAUAACAACAUUGAUUCAUCAGUCAUAAAAAUGAAUUUAGAAAGACAAAAAAAAGUGUAUAGUUCAAUACAAAAUAAAGUAAAAAGAAACUCCACCUAUUGGGAUUCAUGGAUGAGGUUGAGAAAGUCCCGAGACAAAAGUGACAAAAUCACCAAUAUGGUAGCAUAAUGCAGAAAAGUUUUCUUGAAUUUGGGUAUCUACGCACAAAUUUCAUAAAUUUUGGUCAUGCAAAAUUAGUAAAACAAAUAGAAAAAUAAUGUGAAUAAAAUAUUUAUUAAAAUUGAAAAUAUUGUGGGUACAAUUUCAAAAAAUAAUAUUCUUUCUAAAAUAAUAUUUUCCCCCUGAUUCUCUUACCUUGAUCACACUUUGGAAGACAACAAUGACAUUUUCUUGAUUUCGAAGAUCAGUCGAGGGCAACAAGUGACUUAUUCCCGAAUGAACUCGUUGAAUGGUGAAGAACACAUGUAGCAAUUCUUUUGCUGUUUACCGAACUUGUAGGGAGAUUUGAUGAAGUUUUUUCUUUUAUUGUGAAACCUCUUUUCCUGUACGAAGUCACCUUUGAAUUUUAUCCUUAAGAUUUUUCUUUAUAGAUUUUUCUGAUUUCUGAAUUUCUCCCCCUUCUUGAUAGAAAGACACCUCUAUUUAUAGGUGAAGAUAGAAAAUUUAAAUUUCAAAUUCCCAAAUUUUAGUUGUUUAAUUCAAGGGAUUUAGUUCCUUGAUUUUAGCAAAUUUUCUUCUCCUGAUAGGUUUUACGAACAAGAUUAUUGUUAUUAUUAUUAUUAUCCUUUUUAUUGUUGGAGAUUAGGGAAACUUAUCCACAAGAGGAAUGUUUUUUUUUUAAGACCAAAUUAGUGGUAAUUUAAUCCACUAAUUUUUUAUGUCUACAAAAUGCCCUCACUUCAAGACACAUCAUGUACAUGCAUUGUCAUGUGGAUGGGAUGAGUCUUGAAGUAAUUUUUUUUUUCAAAGAAAUAUUUUAAUAGGAAGUUUCCUAUUUUUUCCAAAAAAAUAUUUAUUUUCCACUUUUUUAGAAACUCCACUUCGUUUUCCUACUUGCUUUACACUUUGAAUCCUCUUCCAAUUCGUUUUCCUUCUUACUUUAUACUUUCAAUUCUCUUCCAAUUUGUCAUCCCUAUAUACAUUUUGUUUUUAUAUAAAGGGGAUAAUAGUUGAGAAACUUGACUUGAAUUUUUUUAGAGAGCUCUUUUAAUCUUUGGGUGUUCUUCAACCCAACUUAAGAAACUCGACUUGAAUUCACCGCGAGAAAUCUUCACCACUUCAAACUUGUAAGUGUUUUUUUUUUUUUUUUUUUUUUUUUUUUUUUUUUUUUAUGGAAAAAAAAGUUAAACUUUACCAUGGAGAAAUGUGGGUGUAGCAUAUGGCUUGUGGGUCUUUGAUACCCACUUUCUAGUUUUAUAUAUAUAUAUAUAGUUGACACGCGAACCCACUUUCCAAUUUCCAUGUACAUAUAUAUACAUGUUGACAAGUGUUCUCCUUAUUUAUUGAUUUUUUUUUUAAGGAAGAAAAAGACUUACCUUUUUUGAACACGUGUCGACCUUCAUUAUUCGCAAAGACGAAUUUGAUUUUAGAUAAUUUAAUUAAUUAAUUUUUUAAUUACCUUAAUAUUUGGGGGGAAUUUUUUUUAAUAAAAUCAAAUAUCCAUAAAAAAUAUGAAUAUUUAAAAUUUGACUCUCGUGCAAUUAAGUCGUAGCCUUGACGCAAAGCGGUGUCGUAUUUUCGACACUUAUGUGCUACAGUCUUCACCCAUGUAAAUUGGCUUGACUUGAAUGCAUAGUGGUGUUCAAGUAUCUAUGCAAACAAGUUAUAGCCCUAAUGCUACGCGGUGUUGUAUUUUCGGCACUUAUGUGCUAAAGUCUUCACCUAUGCAAAUUGGCUUGACUUGAAUGCAUAGUGUUGUUUUCAAGUUUUAACAUUUAAUUAAAACUAGAAUAAUACUUGGUAUCUAUGCAAACAAGUUAUAGCCCUGAUGUUAUGCGGUGUUGUACUUUCAACCCUCAAUAUGACUUAAGUGCUAAAGUCUUCACUCAUGCGAAUUGGCUUGACUUAAAUGCAUAGUGGUAUAUAAAUCUUAUACCCAUAUUUUAUUCAUCUCUCUUUCUACCUUCCUUUUUUUUGUGUAGGAUGUCGUUCUUCAAAUGUUUCAAAGAGAAGAUCGUAACCAUUCUUGAGGAUGAUAGUGAAGAUUUUGAGGGGUCUACUUUGUCAGUGCAUAAGUCACUUACUGACCUUCAAUAUUUGUCAGUGCCAGUGACAAAGGACCCAUUACACGUUUCUUCCUGGUCCCAAGUUGCAUCUGGCAAGCUCACAAAUAUCAAUAAUUCAAAACUUAAUAAAGUGAAACUUGUUUCUAAUGUUCUCUUGCUAAAUUCCUCUCAGCCAACUACUACUGAAGUUCAUGAUGAAUUUAGAUUGUUAGGUUCUCGUGUUCGUGAUGGAGAAGCCAAAUAGGGAAGCUCAUUCAAAGUACUUGGGGAAUCCUUCUUUACCGAAGGAUAUUGGGAAUGGGUUGAGGAGGUAUGGGGUCAGCAUGAACCAAUUAUUAAAGGAUGUAAGCUUUAGAAGUUAUUUUUGUAUCCUUAUUCAACUAUGAUUGUCAUGCCUCUGUGAUUAGGGCCUUUUGCGAACGUUGGUGUCUUACCACCAACACCUUGCAUACUUCCAUUGGAGAGGUUUCCAUCUCUUUUUGGGACUUGUAUCGUAUUGUUGGAAUACCCAUCAUUGGAUCUUUUUAUGAUGAGAUGGUACCAAGCACAAAAAAUUUAUCUAAAGAUGCAACAAAAUCCUCACUCCCACUAAGUUGUCGAAACUUAUUCCUUGCAUAUCAUUGAAUUUUCUCUGAGAUGAAAAGGAGGUCUUCAAUCAAGUUAGCCUCUUGGGUGUCAUUUUGGUACAAAGGCUCCAUGAAGUAUGCAAAACCUCCAAAGAAAAGUACAAGGAAUAAGGCGUAGAGGCCUAAAGAGACUCAUAACCCCUUUGGGGAAAUUGAUCUUGUUAAAUCUCGUACUUAAUCGAAGAUGGAAGUUUUUGACAACCUUGGCGUAGCCGAGGCAGAUGUUAAAGAGACUUACUUGGCCACUUUCUUGGCAUGUUAGUUAUGCAAGUUCGUUAUUCCUUAAAGGGGUGUCAAUUUGAUUCGUCCUGAAAUCUUCAAGGUAGCUAGUAGAAUGGCUCAAGGUGAAACAUUUAGCCUUGUUAUUCCGUUGUUAGCAAGCAUUUACAAUGGCUUAAAUGAAAUCGCUUGUUCUUCGAAGCUUGGGACUAAUUCAUCUAUUUUCCCUAUUCAUUAUUUAUACGGAUGGUUAGGUGAAUAUUUCGAUACCCAUUUCAUUUCUCCUUCUUAGAACCAUCCCCCACAGAUGACUUAUUAUGCUGACGAGUUUUCUGCUAAGUGUUUUAAUGAUUUGUAAACUCAGGCUUUGAUCAUGUCUUGCAAAGGCAUAAAGCUGGACUACUUGACGUUGCGCCACAAAGAGCGUGUGCAUUGGAUUGAUAAUGAAUCUAUUAGUGUUAUCAAAGCUUCUUAUCUAAUAAGUCUUUGCUCUAGCUAUUUAUCUUUGCGAUAAGAUAACCAUCGGGUGAUCCAAUCGUAUUAUUCUCAUCGGUUUUCUAGGCAAUUUGAGUAUCCUUAAGACCUUUCGAGGGGUCUACCAGAGAUUUUUCGCAUUGGAAUUUUAGAGGCGGUGUAUCAACAUUGGGAGUCAUGCAUUAGACUUGGUACCUACUCCAAAGUUAUUAUACUAGACUAUCAUAGUCUUGAAGAGUUUUCAAUCACCAAGGCUUAUGCGGAUUAGUGGAUCAGAGUUCGUAAUCCUGAUGAGGAAAUUCUUAUUGUUGCUUGUAUGGAGCCCCCUCUUGAUUAUCCUCGAAAAAUACUGAUGCGACUCAUGGUAGCUUAGCUUUAAAGGCGUAUCAACAAAAUUUAUACCUUGAACACUAUUACUAAAGUAGCCAAGCUACUAUAGCAUAGUGGUUCUAGGAUCGUUCACUGGGAAGGGUUUUCGCAAACACAAGUGAUAUUCAAAUUAGGAAAAUAGGUGAUUUUCUUAUGGAUGUUAGCUUUAAAAGAAGAUAUAAAUGUUUUAGAAAGAUUUAAACUAAUCUAAGCUAACAUUAAAGACUAAAAUGAAAGGGUGUAAAAACAAGUUUCUCAAAGAUAGGAUAGCUAUACUCUGGCUCUUAUGCAAAUUGGAAAUCUCAGGAUAGGCUCCUCGAGUUGGGGUUGCAACUAUGGUGAUGCUUGCUUCUCGAACCGGUAUGGAUUUAGCAAAUCAAGUUUUAAUCCUUUAAAAUGGCAAAACAGAUGGUAGUGAAUUUCAUCAAUGGUUAUUCACCUUAAACUUCCUUUGAAUGGCUCGUAAGAGAUAACUAAUGGUCUAAAGUCAAAAGCUUACCAAAUAUUGGCAACUCAAAGUCAUUCCAAGUGAUAAACUCACAUUUCAAUGGCCAUUGAAAUUGGUUCUAACGGAUUAAUGCAAAACUUGGAAUUGAAAACCUCACCUUCCAAUAGCUCGUAGGAGAUAACUAAUGGAUAGAAAUCCAAAAGCUUAUCAAGUAUUGGCCGUUGGAAGUUGUCCAAAGGAAAUAAAAACCAAACUUUGCAUUAAUGAACCUUUAAUGAAAAACGACUACCUUACCUUCCGGGUGCGAGAAAUUUCCAUGGGAUUGCAUCCAAGCCAUCACAUAACAUCCAUACUUUGAGAAACUAAAAGUUUUAGCCAAUCAUCCUCUGAGGAAAAGCCCUCAGAGGCUGUUUGGCUUCCAAGAAAAUAAAAUAGUAAAGAGAAAAAGAGAAACGAGAGAGCUCUGUAUCUAUUCUCUAAGUGUCAAACGUAAUAUGUAUUCUAUAUAUUCCAAGAGGUGAUUUCCACCCCUUAUAUAGUCUUUACAAAAGCAAAAGCUUGUGAUUGGUUAGUUACAAGGAUAAGAAAGGAAAUUACAUCACAAAAUACAAAGGAAAAUAUCUAAAGUGGAGUCGGCAAAAGCAGAGGAAAAUUCGCAACACGCAUGGGUUAUGUGAAUUUUGAAGGUGUUAUGCGAAUUUCGCAUAACACCUUGUGUUAUGCGAAAUUUUCGCAUAACGUGGAGCAGUUGGCUUCCGAAGGCCAUAUCUUCCUCAUUUCAGCUCCAAAUCGUACACGGUUUGAAGCGUUGGAUUCUUGACUUCCAGAGCUUUGAAAUGGUAUAUAGUAUGUAAAAAAUUGACUUCGGGAAGUACUCCAAAAGUGCGAAAGAAGACUGCAGCUGCUGUCCUCUUUGCUUCUCUUCACUUUGCUUGCUUUUCCUCUUUUCCAUUGUUCUUUCCUUGCAUACUUUGAACGACUUUGGCAAAGGGCUAUGGAGCUCCAAAGCUUGGUUCUUCAUAAAUUUGAGCUUCCAAAAGCUUUGCCUUGCCAUAACUUGUCCAAGUAGCUCCUCCAUCAUUUGGCAUGCUUGAAUUGAUUCAUAAGCUGAUAAAAACAUGUAAACUUGCCACAAAAUGGUUAAAACUAAUUACUAAGGACCUUAAUGAAUUAAUUGGGUUAAAUGAAUAUGAUUACUACUCAAAGGUGCUUAAAACCAUUAUAAUUAGGUCUACAAAAUAGCACUUUUUGGUAGUAAUCAAAUACCCUUAAAAUCUUUAAAGAGUAGAACGUGCAAGGUCGACUCAAGUGUUUUCACUAAGGAGAAUGUUAGAGAUAAUGUUGAAAAAUAUUUUGAUGAUUUACCUAAUGAUUCAAGAGCUUCUUCUAAGCACUCAAUGGGUGGACAUCAAACUAAUACCUCCACACACUCAAAACACGAGGAAACUAUUUUCACUGGUGGUAGUACUCACUGUCACAAGACUUUUAAGCAACAUAACAAUGCACAAGGUCUUUAUGUAUCACACGACAACUCUGAAAAUACAAGUGAAUGUCACUUCAAGUGCCGAAAGAUUAUAACCAACCCUAUGUACUAUGAUGAGACUAACUCUCAUCCUCUUGAUGUAGAUGUCUUCUUUGCUGACGUCCCAACUUUUACUCAGCCGAUGAAACUUGAUGGUGAAGAGGUAAAUUUUUUUUUUAAUACUAACAAAAAUAAAUAUUUUCCUUAGGUGGCAGGUGACAACCAAUUUUUCGAUGAAUGGGAUGAGUCCUCUCCUAAGGAUCGGUUCGAAAGUAUUGUUGCUACUAAGGAGUCAAUGCCCUUUACCUUGACCCUACAAUGAGAUAAUCACUCUAUCAUCUCAUUACCUUUGUCUCAUUCUCAUUUGGGUGAUGAAGGUAUUACUAACAUCUUAAGUGAUGUUUUGAUUGAAUCUCAAGGUCAAAAGACCACAAUUGGAGAUAUAACAUAUGAUGAAUUGACACUUUUAGUAGUUGCAGGUUUAAUUGUUGAACAACAAUCUCCAUGCCCUACUGUGGUUGCUCCUUCUAUUUCCAUUCACACAUUCGACGUCGAACAAAUCAUUCUUAAUGCCUAACGCCAAGCAUCACUUAUAAUAGGAGAAGACAUUGAGGAGAUGAUUAUCAAAACUUUCAAUGAGUAUCUCCCAUUAUUGAGAGGAAAAAUUGAUGAGCUUUUCAAUGCUAUCACGAAGAUUGGAGUGGACCCUUCACCAUUAAAGUCUCAAAUUGAGAAGUACAAGGAAAGUGUAGAUCACCUUGAUGCAGUGCAAUGCACCCAUUCUAUGAAGAUCUCAGGAAGUACAAAGCGAACGUUUAGCUAUUGUUGCGUCUUAGAUUAUGGAUGCUCUAAACUUUGAGGGUCUAUAGGCAAACCGUCGUCAAUCAUUAAAAGUUGACUUAGCUACUCUCAAUGCUAAACAAGAAGCACUUAAGAAGGAAUUGGAGCAACUAGGUAUACAAAAAGAGCGCCUUCACAACUUAAUCUUGGAGAUCGAUGAGAUUAUAACCAAUAAACAGAACGAUGUUUCUCGCUUGAGGAAAUAACACAUCAUUAUCGCCCAAACCCCCGUGCUUACUGAUGUCGAUGUCAAGACUUUAGAGACACUUCAAGAAGCCUUAAGGACUCAACGUGAGGAGCUUGCAUACUUGGUGUGGAUGUGAUCGUUUUACCUUUUUACUUAGUUUUAGCUUUCAUUCUUUUCCUUCAUUCAUUUAUUUAUUUUUAUUAAGAUAUAAUAAAGUCUAGCAUUUGUUAGUCAUAUUUAUUUAUUAAUAAAAAUAAGACUUUUUUUUUUUUUUUGGUAGUGACUGAACUUAAGUGGUUUCCCUGAGUUACCUACGUACUCUUCAAAGAGAGAGGAUCAAGUCAAAUGUAGUUCCAUUUUUUUUCAUGCUCUAACUUUUUCCAAGACUAGAAGAAAAAUUUAAUCUUACAAGCAUAUGUCCUAAUUUUUGCCUAAGUUGCCUUUUUAGGUUUUCAACUUAGCGGACUUUUUUUUUUUUUUUUGGUGUGCCAUACGCAAUUUAUGCUCAUGCAAGCUAGGAGCAUCACUUGUCUUGAGUUUGAUUGAAGGAUGAUAAAUUCACAUCCUUGGAACAAAGUUUAAUUGAGGGUCAAAGAUGACUUAUUCUCAACCAAACUUGUGAAGACCUUUCUUAAGCAUUUUGGAGAAUAAAAGAAGUCCUUUGAAUUCGUCUUGAUUUUCUUCAGCCUUAAAAGUGGAUGAAUGACACUUUUGUAUUGUGUUUGAUAUUCUUCCACGAAUUUGUUGAAGAAUGUGUCAAGCUUGGACUUGAUUUUAAUCCAAGGGUGGUAAACACGUGUUCUUGGAGCAAAAUAUAAUUGAGGGUCAAUGAUGACUUGAUCUCAAGUAAACUUAUCAACAAUUUCCUUAAGUGUUUUGAAAAACCCAACCUUGUCUUCUUUAGCUUUGAAGGUGGAUGAAUGACACUUUUGUUUGUGUUUGAUAUUUUUCCACGAGUUUGUUGAAAAAUGUUUGGAGUUUGAUUUUAACUUUUGAAGCUUCAUUUUUGGAUUUAGCUUCUAGGUUGCAUCGCCCUUUUGAGAACGUGUCAUGCUGAAAAAAAAAAACGCUUGUAUGUAGAGAAGCUGGAGAUUUUAGUUUAUAAUAUCUGAAUUUGACUUCUUUAAUACAAAGAGUUUAUUCCUCGGUUUAAGAAGUUUGCCAAGAAUGAUUUUUUUUUUUUUUAAGUUCUUGUAGGAUAAGAGCAAUAUGUAGUUUAUGCUCAUGCUUUAAGGAGCAUCAUUGGAAUGCUGAGGUUUGAAAACAAUUGUGGUAAAAUUUGAUGUCAUGCUCUCUUCAUCAUCACUGGUGAAAGUGAUGGUUGCACAACAUGUUGCAUAAUUGUGGCAUUUGUUCUCAAAUUGUUUUACCCCCUUUAUUAUUGUAGCAUAGAGUGAUGGAUUCCUAUGUAUCUAGAUCAAAGCAAUUUGUGUUUUCUCAGAAAGUUGUAGCAUUUCAUAGAUACCAAAGAAUGAGAGUAAGCAUUGUAGAUUUGCUACUACCUCAUCCUCUUCCUUGGUUUUGCUUGACUCUAUACCAAAAGUGUUUUCUUCAUUUUCACUUGGUUUAUCUUCUUUCGAAUUUUCAUGACAAGGGACCAUAUGGGUUGAUGUCAUUAUCCUCUAUUGAAGAACUCUAGAGGAAAGUAUUCUCCUAAGGUAACGGGGUGAUGAGCUUUUGUACCAAGAGGUCAUCAACUUGUACAAUCGCUUGUUUUCUUUUAGGUUUCUUUUCUUCUUUUUUCUUCGCAUGUCGAUGAAUAUUUUUCUUACGUUGCUCCUUCCUAGGAAGAUUUGGGUAUGGAUGAGAUUCUUGCUUCUUACAAGGUCUUCUUUGUGUCACUAAUGUCCAAUCUCCUUCAUUAUACGAUAUUGAUUCAUUAUCAAAAUAGAAGUGAAGAAGGGUGUCUUAACAUGACACUUGUGUUUGCUUUGGUUUUGGUGACUUGCAUUGGAUAGUACCGGUGCAUGACCCCAGUGUCUUAGGUGGAACAUUUAACGGAACAGGAUCAAAUGACCCAAAUGUGACUGUAGCAUGAUUUGACUCUACUACUUCAUCCAGAUCUAAAUGAAUUCUUUCUUGCUUUGCAAGUUUCAUUAUGAGAUCUUUUGAAAUGAAACAUUUCUCCAUAGGAUGACCGACAAUUCGAUGGUAAUGAUAGUAGUUUGGAUCAUUAACAUGACCCAUUUUUUUUGGACACUUUGUGGACCCGCAUUUUUCACGUGCGCCCCCACUCGAUUCGGCGAGACUCUCUUUUUUAUUUGUGAAAAAUUGAUUUUUGAAAAAAAAGUUGGAGUCGCCACUUAUUUUAUUUUUAUUUUAAAGGGAAAAUAAAACAAGAAAGAAAAACCCUAAAAAAAGUGACUCCAUAAUUUUUGGAAAAGCAUGUCUUUGAAAACCCAAGUCUUGGUCCGGGGAUCAGGUUACUUAUUGGGAAGGUACCUCUAGGAGGCAGCACCCCUCUAAGCCCUCUAAAGGUCUCUACUGACAAAGUUAAGGGAAGUGUGGCCAUUAAUUAGUUAAUUAUGGAUACCUAAGUAGACUAGAUGAUUUCGAAUAUUGCAUGCCUAACAAGAUCAAAUAACAAUGAAGGAAAGUUAAGGAUGCGUACCUAGACGGCUUCCCAAGCGCUAUCAUAAAACAUAAAAGUUAGUGUAGAAAUGUAGCACACAACAUUUGUUUUAUUCAAGCAAGUCAGGCAUAUAUCAAGUCAUCCAAGAAUCACGUCAAAUAUGGAUAUGGUCAUCAAUGGCAUACGAGUCUAUAGAGUUCUAAAAAAUAGAUGAGAAGAGAGCGUACUUGGAUAGCAAGCUAGUACUCCUCUAUGGGAAUCAAGAGCAUCUCAACAAUAAAUAUGAAACAAAUUCAUGUAUAUCAUCAAGAAGAAUAAAAAAUCAAAAUAUCAAGCAAACAAUAUUGAAGAAGGUAUCAUGAAUGUCGGGCCCCCACCAAAGCCCUAAUUAAUUUUGCAUGAAUUGAUUCCAUAAAAUCCAUGAUUUGGAAUUAUGAAGUUUAUUCAUGCUUGUUGAAAAUCAAGAAAAAUCAAGAAAAUAGUUAAAAAUCAAAGAAAACAGUGAAAGUGCAUACCCGAAAUAAAGUGGCAGCAAAUUGCAUGUUAAAAUCUGGAUUUUGUACCUAAAUGCUUCUAAGGAACCUUAGAGAAACCAAAUUCAUUUUUGAUAGAAAAUGGUUUUGAAAUCCGGCUUUAAGACGUAUAAGAUCAUAAAAAGAAGAAGAAACAAUAGGAGGAGUACGAUGUGAGGCAAGGCGGCCAAGCUGGAUUAGUGUCUAGGCUGCUUUUGAGACUGAGUUACUUAGGUUGCCUGAUGGAGUGGAGUUCGGGAUAGAAAGACCCAAUUCGUUGCCAAAGUAUUCAGUGAUCAGAAGCAUUUCCAUUUAUAAGAUAACUUGGUUCAUAAGCUCAGAUGGAUUCUCCCCAACGCUGGUCAAACACUGAACAUAAAGCUCAAAAUUCUUACUUUUCUGUAUUGCUAUUAUUUCCUGCAUUUUGUGCUAUUUUCUCAUCAUCAAGGCUUGAUUCAUCAGCUCCUCUAGAAUACAUACCCUUGUCGUUGCCUUUUUCUACCUUUUCAAUAUUUUCAGCUUGCUGCAUCCUUAUGAAUUCUCCUUAUUUUUGGAAUCUCCAUAUCUGACUUCUCAGGGCCAUUUUCUUGAACAUAUAAGCUCCUUGUUGCUCAUUGUUGUUAAUGCUCUUGUCUUCACUGGUGAAGUUAGCAAGCAAUGAAAUUCUGGGUUUUGCAUCAUUUUCCUUAGUUCAGGGUUGGAAUAAAGGGGGAGGAGUAUUGAAGCAUUUUUAGCAUGGUUGACGCUACCAAAAUAACCACCAUUUUGCCAACUGAUUUUAAUAUUGGAGAGAGUAGAAGCUGAAGCUUUUUGGUCUUCUGUGGUCAGAAGAAGGAUGCCUGCAUUUCAGGAAUACAACUUUAAACAAUUCCUAAUGAGACCUUCUUGUACCAGCCACUGUUUCAUUUUUUUAAUAUCUUCUUUCCCCAUAUUUCUGAAUUUAAAUUCUGGGAUCCCAUGCAAAGUUUCAUUGGAUACGAAUAUUUCUGACAGGUAGCCUAACUCCGACAUGUAAUAACUUUGAUGAAUUCUGGGUUCGCAUCUGGUGUGGAAAUGUAUAGAAGAAAGAAUCUCUUAUAUUAACAUCUAGAUUUUGUUUCUAUUGUCAACUUGCUCGUAGUUAAAUUUCUUCAACUGAAUACUCGCAUCCUGAUUGAUAUUCUGAUGUUCGAUUUCCCGAGUAACUUUUCAUUCUUCAAGCAUAUCAAUUUGCCUAUGAUCAGAAAUUAACCUUCAGCCAAUAGGUUUCAAUAACUUAUUCGCAUGGAUGAAGGUAAAUGAGCAGUAAGUUAGAGACUUUCUGAUGUAUCCUGCAUUUCUGGACUUUCAUGAGUGGCUGUCAAGAAGAUACCAAGCUCCACCAUCCUCUUGCUUCUCUUGUGGUUUCUUCUUUGCUAUUUAGAUUUGCUCAGACAUUUUUUGUUCUCCUUGAUUCUGCGAAUUUAACUUUUUGAGCAUUUGGAACAUGAAUCGUGACCUUCAAAACCCUUAUCAUGACAAAGAUCACCAUCCCCUCUGUUACCUCUUUCAUUGCAUAUCUCGUUUAAUAAUUGAUGUCGACAUCUUUCUGAACAAAAUCAGAAAUGAUGGUAGUCCAGGAGACUACAUUGCAGAUUGUCAUUCACAAAAAGUUCUUCACAGAUUGUUCAUUAUCCUUGCAUUUGGCAUACAAUACAAAUUGGAGUGGAGAGCAAGUUGAAUUCUUUUAAAUUCCAUCUUUCUCAUCAAUAAUCGUGACUGCAUUCUGAAUCUUAUGCAAGACAAUUCCUAAAUCCUCCAUUUUGAAAUAUAAUGCUUGCUUCAUAAUACUUUUCUGAUUAAGCAACUCCUUCAAUAGGCUUUCAAAUCUUUAGAGCGGUUGGAUAAGCAUCGUCUAACAUAGUGGCUUUGGCUUCGAAGAUUUCGGCUCCAAAAUUUACCGUGUCUAAUACUCCCAUGUAUAUCAUUGCACCAAGUCCUAAAAGAAUUAAGGACCUCAACAAUCUGGUCUACAGAAUCAUCAAUAGAAAGUGUGACUUCAUCAAAGCUGCUGGGUCCAAAUUUUGCAGUAGAUGAAGAGACCGUAUUCCUGUGAGCAUCAGACUCUGAAUUGUAUGAAAACUGGAUUGGACCUUUUCUUUAAUUGUAUAGACGAUGUGACUAAAGUAUCCUCCCUACUCCAUUGAAAUCCUUAGUCAGUUGAAGCUUUUGAGAGGUGUCCUUCAAAAAUAUUUUUGACAAUUGAACCUGGGUACUGGUCUAAUUGCUGCUGCCUUGAAAUUCUGGUUGUCAUUUCCAUGGGCUGAAUGCAGAGAUUUGCUUGAAGAAUUCGAAUGAAAUCCAACACUGCAGGCGACUAUAAUGGUAAGCGAAAUCAAACAGGAGGAGAACUUUUGACGAGAGGUCUUGAUGGGAUUCCGAGUCUUAGUGAUGAAAUUAUUCUCUCAGUGUGAACCUUGGCGAAGAUCCCUGCUUCCAUGUCAUGUGUCAUGGAUCCAUCAAUAGAAUCUGUAUCUUUAAACUUGGUAUUGUCCAAUCUAAUUGUAUCAAAAGAUGUAGAAGGAAUAAUAACUGGAUGCAAAUGUAGCUUAUAAAGAGUAGACAUAGAAACUGAAUUCGCGUUGGUUUGGAACUCGGAUUCCUUGUAUUUAUGUGAAUGAACCAAACAUGACAAAGCCAAAUCCUCUGGCCAAAAACAUAUGCGGCUGCUGGUCAAUCAGUGGGAGGAGAUUCCCGACACUUAUCCAAUGCAUGCCGAAGAGGAAGUGAUACAUCAGCAGGCAGUGAAUCCAGCUGUUGAAGUCCAAAUUCUUCCUCAACCAUUGCCAAGGCUGUCGACUCCUCAGAACUGGAAGAUGCUCCUGUAGCAAGGUUACCAUAAACACCAGAUGAAGGUUUUCUCCCCACUGGUUUCGCACCAGAUAACAGACUUUGGAAGGAAACUAUCUCUCGGGCCCAGAUAACUGAAUGGUCAUCUUUACGAAUCAGAGGUGAAAGGUCAUUUAUAUUAGCAGAAUUACAUCCUCACUACAAGCAGUGUUCAAGCCAUCUGAAUAGACGAGGAGGAGUUGUCUGGGAAAGACAGUCUUUACACAUCUCAAGUUUCUUAGGAAUACCAGGAAAAUCAUGAACAUAAUGGUCCAAAUAACUUCCCUCUCCUAGAAAAUUAGCAACAUUACAUAAUAGAACCACUAGAAGUCCCAAGUCCUUUUUGCGAAGAUAAUCUAAUUUCGAACUUUCAUAUACCGCAUGGAGGGGAUCCAAAGUCUCCUUCAAAGGCUCGGAAUAGGAUAAUUUUUCUGGGCUUCAUCUACCAUCCGAAUACGAUUUAGAAGAAUCUGAUUCCUGCAACUCAAGUGACAUUUUGGAAGAAAUCCCAGUGAUCAAAUUAAGUUCAAAGUAGUUCUUGUGUAAGUUGCUGUUAAUAAGAAACUCCCAGGAUGUGUGUGGCUCUAUAUCCAUGAGCUUUGGAGGAAUUAAUCUCGACUUUUUGCACAUAUACAUUUUGAUACUACUAAAAGACCCCCAUUCUGAAUCAACAUUAAAGUCACUGGCAGUGAUCUUUUGUAUUAUUAUCCAACAAGAAUUACCCUCUUUGUGAGACUUUGGGAAGGCGGGUUGAGAGUGGAUUGUCCACAAAUUUUCUGGUCUCUUACUGAGUUAGCAUCAAGAUAUUCUCGAACAGCUUCAUCGACAUUUUCUGCAGUAGCUUUGACCAGCUUAGCACUUUAUUACUCGGUUUGCUCUGAUAGGCGAUUUCGGAGGGGUUCCUCACGGUCAUUUCCAAUCUAAUUGGACACCAAUGAAGUAUUUGAAGUUCACUCUUUUGGUCACGCCUGGGCUGCAAGUGGAAUAAGUUCCAUAAUUUCUUUCCUCUCUUUGUGUAAUUGAUCAACCGAACAGUGAUUUCAUAAACUGUAAUUCACGGUAUUUUGGCCAGCUUUCAAUCCAAGGGCCAUAGCUUUUUGAGGGUUGAAUUUCUCCUUAAAUGAUGAUCCCAUACUAGACACCUCUGCCCCUCCCUUCAGACCUGUUGCCCUCAUCAGCACCUUUUCAGAUAAAGGCCCACAAUGAUCUCAAGCAUACUGCCGCGCAUGCAUCCGUCGUAGAAUAAGGUGAAAAUUCUGAUGCUUCUCGUCAGACGCUAGUUUGAAAUCCAAGAAAGAUGGGAAUUUCUGUAAAAAAAGAUUUAAGCCCGCUAGACUCAUCAUGUUGUAAUACCUCUGCUUUGUGAUCAUAUAUUGCUGAUUGCCUCAAGUCAACUAACUGAACAGAACCUCCUGAGAUCUCCAUACAACCCAAUUGCUCUGUUCGCAGCAAUAUCCUCCUUAGACAUGUCUUCCGCAGCCCCAAAUUUUCUUCCUCGCUUCCCUUUGAAAAAUUGAAGGGAACGAGCCAUCUUCAAAUUUACCUUCGAAUGAGCAUCGAGCACAAUUGUGUAAGCGAUAACAUCAGGUUUAAUACCUCGCUCCUUCAUAUCACUGAAAAUAUCACGGGCUUUUCGCAAGCAAUUCACCCUGCAAUAGCCAUUUAUCAUCAUUGUGUAGGUGAUGACAUCAGGAGUUAUUCUUCUCUCAACCAACAUAUCAAACACCAAUUGAGCCCUUUUCAUAUCUCUAUCCCAACAAGAGGCACCUAUAAGUUUACCAUAUCAAUGAAGACGACCUCUGCUCCUUUUAAUUUUAUUUCACUACAGAACCCACGAAUGACUGCUGCAUAAGCAAAGGCAUCAAUUGGCCACUUUGCUGCUCUUAAUGCUCGGGGGGCUUCAUAAUCCAAAUCCGACCCCUUAUGGGAACAAAACCUUUCAAUAUAUGUACUGCACAUUAGGGCAGUAGGGUUCACUCCAACUUCUUCCAUCUCCCUAAACGCAUCAACAACUUCUUCAAAAUUCCUCUUCCUACAAAGCGCCUUUAUGAAAAGGCCAUAAGUAUAAUCAAUUGGGUUCAAGCCCAACCUCUUCAAAUGUCGAUAAAUUGCCACCGCCAUAUCAAUCUUCCCAUAUUCAAUCAAACGAUUCAUCAAAAAAAAAUUGCAAGACAUUAUAUGAGGAACAAACCCUUGUCUUCUUGUUUGAAACAGAGCAUCAUUGGCUUUAUCAAACAUACCAACCCUAACAUAGGCCUUAGCCAACAUAUCAAGCACCAGAAUCAACGCACUCGAAUGCUCAUCCUCAACUUUUGCCCUUAUAUGCAGCCUCCGUAGAACUAAUUCGAAUUGCUACUGAAGGGAAACGGCCCAGAUUGUUUUUCAGAUUCUGACACAUCCUCUGUGAGAGCUCUUGAUGCAGGAAAAGAGUAUCCUUUUUUUUUAUUUUCAAUUUUUAAUUCCAAAACAGAGACCAAAUCUUGAAGACCGGGAAUAGAGCUUGUUGAGGUGUGGGCCAAAAUAGAAGAAAACAACAAAAACGUAUGGAAAGAGGAGAAGGAUGACCAACAAAAGUCACAAUUUUACAUUUCAAUCUAUUAGCUCAGAAUAGGGGAGUGAUUCAGGAUAAGAUUUGAAAAAAAAAAAGGGAGUGGUUUCUACCAUCCAGUCCGAAGAUGGACAUGUAUGCAAUUUAUUUUCAGAUGGGAUUAAUGACAUUAACAGAAUGAAGAACAUACCAAACAAACAAAGAUUUAAUUUCAACACAGCAAUUUGUGGCCCUUUCUGUCCACACCAAUCAGCAAAAUAAACACCCAGAACCGUCAAAGGAUCCUCAAGAAUGGAAUAAGAUAAAGCAUAGGUAAAUAGUCGCAAAACAUACCUGGGUGGUCUUGGCUGCAAUGGUUCUUUUUUCCUCUCCUUGCUUCCGCUGUGCUUCUCCGCAAAAAAUCCUCCAAUGCGUGCUGCUCCAAAAAGAAUCUCCUCCCUCAAUCGAAAAAAAAGCUCUCUUUCCCUCUUUUACCUCUCUCACGUAUAUCAUAUAUAUCACCUCCCAAAUCCUAAAUUUGUUCCGAAAAGAAAAUCCCCUCUUUUCUCUCCUCUUUUCUCCUUAUCAUUUUUUAAAUCUUCCAAUUCAAAAGCAAUCUUCUCAAUUUCAAAUUCCUCUCCAAAACCUUCCAAGGAGAGUCCCACCUUCCUUAAACUCCAAUAGUAAGUUUCCUUGCAAAAGCAUGAAAUUUUAGAAGUUAAACAAUUGCAUGAAUAGAUAAAUAAGUAAAUAAAUUAGAAAAUGGUAAAAAUAAUAAAUAAAUAAAUAAGUUAAGGAAAAUAAUAUAAAGAGGAAGAUAACCAAUAAAAAGUGACUGAUAAUCAUAAAACUAAAACUAAAAAUAAAAAAAUAAUAAUAAAAAUAAAAUAAAAUAAAAUAAAAAUAAACAAAUUAACAAAAAAUGGGCCCCACGAGCCAUGCAAACACGCAAGUCAUAUAAGUCACGCUAAAAAAAGUCUUAAUAGACCCAGUAUACCUAAACGGGCCUAAGGUGAGACUAAGUGGGCCUAAGGUGGUGCCUAAUGGGCCAAGUGUAUCUAAAAGCUAUCCUAAAAAAAACAAGAAAAGCCUAAGUCUAAGUUAGGGCUGCCAAGGGUCACAAUAAGGGACCAAAUAAUCCAUCAACAAAAGUCUCCAAGGUGACUCAGAAAAAGGUAAGUGGUGAGUAGUAUUGGGCCACCAAGGAACUACUGUGGAGCAUUGAAAACGAACUUAAAGACAUGUGUUAAAGGGACAAAAUUGAGGGUCUACACACUUGCACUCAGGUAACUCAAUAACUUUUUUCUGGAGCAAGUCUUCCAAUAUGUUCGGCACAUUAGAGUCAGGAAAAGGAUACUUCUUUUCCUCUAAUUCCUUCAAGGUGAACCGAUGCCUCUCAUUUUUCUAGGUUGGUCUAGCCUUUUUUACUUCCUUUUUUUUUAUCUAUUGCUAAGAUUUUGGCAGGAGCCGUAUUUAUCGUCAUUGUCUCUUGGAUAGGUUUCUUUGAGGUCUUGUCACUCUUUUUCCCAUCAUGUCUCUCUCUUUGCUGAUCAAUGGUAAGGUCUUUCUUAGAACCAUGGUUGGCUAUGCUGAGUUCCAUAUCAUGUGCUCGAGUAGCUAAUUUUUCAAAGGUACGGGGUUGUAUCCCUUGGAAAAUGUAUGAGAGACCCCAAUGCAUUCCUUAUAUGCACAUCUCCAUGGCUGAUACCUCAGAUAAUCUAUCUUUGCAGUCAAGGCUUAAGGAAUGCCAAUGGUUGAUAUAGUCUACAACUGGCUCGUCUUUCCAUUGCUUAGUGUUAGUAAGUUCCAUCAUGCUUAUAGUUUGUCGGGUGUUAUAAAAACGGUUGAAGAAUUCACAUUCCAUUUGGUCCCAACUAUCGAUACACUCAGGGGCAAGGUCUAUGUACUAAUCGAAAGCAUUCCCUCAAAGAGAACGAACGAAUUGUUUAACUAAUAAGUCACCAUAUGUACCUGCAUUAUUACAAGUUUCGACGAAAUGGGCAACAUGUUAUUUUGGAUUUCCACUCCCGUCAAAUGAUUCAAAUUUUGGAGGUUGAUAACCCACAGGUAUACGUAGGUUAUCAAUCCUCUUAGUGUAAGGUUUAGAGUACACAAGUGUACUCUGUGAGGGUCCACCGUACUGCGCUUUAAUGGUGUUAGUUAUCAUGUCCUAAAGUUGUUGGACAGAUAAUGAUGCCACUGAGGCAGAUUCCGCCGUUUGUCUCUCAACUUGCAUUGUCCUAUACGUAUGUGGUGCAUCAUCGAGAGGAGAUGCAACAUUCAAAAUGUGGUUGAGUCCUUGACUUGACUCACCCAUAUUUUGUAUUUGUGCCUCAACCUUGUUUAUGAAGGAGACUAUUUGCAUAUCCUUCUCUUCAACCGUCUUGGUGAGUUUGGCGAUGGUGCGAGCCAUCUCUACUAAUUAUUCCUUUAUGGAUGUAGUGUCGGAUACUAUUACUGGCAUAGUCAUCGAUAAGUGAGAAGUAAAAAAGUCGAAAUGAUUGGAGUAGUUUUCCUUAUUUGGCAUUCUGGUUGGCGAUCCGGAGUAUAAGCCGGUGCUAGAGUUGGCAUCGGGUAAUAGAGCAAGGAGAUUUAUCCCCAAAGUCCUGUAGUGUUGAAGGGAGUUUUUCCUUGCUACGAGGACUAUGACUCUUUGCCCCCAGAGAUCAAGGUGAUGAGUGGUUAGUGCUCAUCACAUGUCCUUACUGGUUUUAGCAAACAAGUAGACUCACUUGUUUGUUUUGUUGAGAGUGAAAUGUUGAUUUUACUUUGCUAUGAGUCGUGGGGCCCGUAGAGGCGUCAUGUGUCGAUUGUGCAAUGACAAUCUUGUCAUUGCCGUUGUUGACAUGCACAACUUGAGUUCUUUUGGGUAUCAUCGACGUAGUAGAGAUCAAUCUUCUAACAAAAGAGAUGAGAGACAGAGAGGUUCCACCGGGUGUGCAAAAAAUUUGUACACACAAGUUUCGUAAAUUUGGUCUUGCAAAAUGAGCAAAACAAAUAGGAAAAUAAUGCAAACAAAAUAUUUAUUAAAAUUGAAAAUAUUGUGAGUACAAUCUCAAAAAAUAAUAUUCUUUCCAAAAGAAUAUUUUCUCUUUGAUUCUUUUGCCUUGAUCACACUUUGGAAGACGACAAUGACGCUUUCUUGAUUUCGAAUAUCAAUCGAGGACGAAAAGUGGCUUAUUCUCGAAUGAACUCGUUGAAUGGCGAAGAACGCGUGUAGCAGUUCUUUUACCUUUUACCAAACUUGUAGAGAGAUUUGAUGAAGUUUUUUCUUUUGUUGUGAAGCCUCUUUUCUCGUAUGAAGUCACAUUUGGAUUUUCUCCUUCAGAUUUUCCUUUCUAGAUUUUUCUGAUUUAUGAAUUUCUCCCCAUUUUGAUUCCUUUCUAGUUGCUUAAUUCAAGGGAUUUAGUUCCUUGAUUUUAGCAAUUUUUCUUCGCCCGACAGGUUUUACCAACAACAACAACAACAACAAUAAUAAUAAUAAUAUUCUUCUUAUUAUUAUUAUUCUUUUUAUAGUUGGAGAUUAGGGAAACUUAUCCAUAAGAGGAUAUAUACAUUUUUUUUCGGAGACCAAGUUAGUGGUAAUUUAAUCCACUAAUUUUUUAUGUUUACAGGGUCAGUCUAAUUCCAAGGCCCAAUAGUAGCAAUUAGUUUUGUUGAAAGAGAUGGGUGUCAAGAUUAAUGCAUCAUGUGCUAUCAGAGCUUUCUUAUCUUACAAAUUUGACCAAAAAUAAUUUAUGUUUUUAAAAAAAAAUUCUACAAAGUAAAUCAUCUCGCAAAAUAAUUCUUAAACUAGUACUUCUCAUCUAUGUGGAUAUCCAUGUCAUAAAACUGUAAUUGAUAUUUACAGUUUUAAAUUUAUUUUAAAAUGGUUAAAACUAUAGUUACCAACUAUAGUUUUAAAUUUAAACUUAAAACUAUGGUUAAUGGUGAUGAUUUUAAAGAUAAGUAAAAAUAUUUAAAAUUGUAGUUACUAAUUACGGUUUUGUGAUGUACAAAAAAUUAAAUAACAAAUUCUUAGGUGACCAUAUGGAUGCCUAGGUGGUUGAUUGAGAUUCAUUAGUUUGGAAACUAUUUUGAUAAGAAAUUUAUUUUGUAGAUUUUUUUUAAUAUAUUAUUUUUGUUCAAAACUCAAUUUUAAAUUUUAAGCCACCAUAUCCAACCACUAGCCAUCAACCUCCACAUGUCUCCUUCCAUUUAUUGUAGAAUGAGGUGUUUCUAAAAUAGUUUUCUAUUCUUAAAAACUAAAAAUUGUUUUCAAGACUCAAAAACAUGUUUUGUAUUUUUUUUUUUUUUUGAUGAAAAACAAUUUUAUGAGAACUUGUUCUAGAAAUAGGGUAUUUCCUAAGAACAAAUUUUGAUUGUUUUUCAUAGAUUGUUUUAAAAAAUAUUCAUAAUAAUUUGUAAAAAUAUAGAGAAUGAUUGAAAAUAAAACAUUAUGAAUAAAAGACAUUUUAGAAAAUAUAAACAUAGAAAAUAGAUUAGUAACAUUUUAAAUUCUUAAAUAGAUCAAUCACAUCCUAAAUUCAUUGUCACUUUUUAUUCAUUAGUAUCAAAUUUUGUCUAGUGUUUUUUCAAGAGCCACCUCUCAUGUUACCUUCAACUUUAUUACAUCCCACUAAUAUUGACAUAAAACUUGAACAAUAGGCUGCUUGAUUAAAGUGCAAGUGUUUUGAGUAUCGGUUGACCAAGAAAUUCAUAGGGGAGACAAUAAGGCCUGAUAUAUAAGGCAAAUGUGUUAGUCUAGGUACCAUUAGAUGCACAUCAUUAUUGGGAGUCAAGAUGUUGAUAUAUAUUUUCAUAACCCUAUCUAAUUCAUCUUUUUAUAGAGGAUUUUGAUGUCUUCCUCCUCUAUAGAGAAGUAAAUUGUUUGACUAUGCUAAAUUAUGCUCUUAUUGGAUAAUUGUUUACUUGUACUUAUAUUCACUAUCAUUGGACUGCUCUAGUUUAGACCCGACAAAAUAGCAAAGAAUGAACACUUGCUUUCUUGUUGCAUGUAUUUUGAUCAAAUCAAGUUUUAGUAGUAGUUGAAUCUAUGUCUCUGAAACCAGGUUCUCUGACUUGAAAAUGAUAUUGAAUUGGCUUUACUUGAAUAUUUUAUGAGCAUAAAUUCCAUUGGCAUUGACUGAACAUUACAUGGAAAUUAUACAAGAAUUUAGUGGCCAACAACUUCGCAUUUGAUGGCUCAAGCAGAAGGUGAGUUAUAGUAUUUUUAAUAUAAUUUAAGUCAAGGAAUAGCAUAGAUGAGAAGCAUAAUAGAUUCUAAAAUUGUUGAGACAUACUUAUUCUUUGUGUUUGCCGUCUUUUGCCAGGAUUGAAUUGUCUUCAAAUAAACUUUCCAUGCAAUAAGAAUAUGUACACUAGCUGUAAGUCUCUUUUCUCUUGCAUAAAUAAUAUAAAAAUAAAUAUAGAAGCAAUCAUUUAGAAAACAAUAAGAUAUAAGUAAUGGCAGACACCAACUUCUCGAUCAAGUGUGGUGACUUAGAGAUGAGAACUGCUGAAGGCAUACUAUAUGAGUCUAAAAACUCAAUUCUUAAAGCAACAUCUAUUGGGAUUGAACACUUAAAAGUAUGACAUGAUGUAAUUGAUUGAAAUUCAUUUAUAAAUUUAUUAUUUAUGUUUUUUAGCUUCCCUUUAUUAUCCCAUUUGCAAUAAUUUGUUAUCUGAGCAUAUAUACUCAUAUAUCUCAUAUUGUACAUGACUUAGGUGCAUUAGGAGUUGUAUAGAUGAUACAAGUCAUGGGUUCCUUAUAAGUAAAUAAGUUAUCCAUAGUUAGUUUAUGGAUUUGGGAAAUCUAAUAGAGAUUGUAGAGUACUACCUCCAAAUCGGAGAGAUGACUUGUCUUGGCCAUUAAGAUGAGUUUUCCAUGAUAUGAGUACACUAGUGUGUAUGGUUAUAAAUUGGACAGGAUCUAUGAUGAAUCAUAACGUAAGGCUAUUGAUUGUUAUGAUUCACCAAACUACUAUACUGCAUGAACUCCUAUCCUUAAGAGAAUAUUGAGCCUAUACCAAAGUCAAUAAGAGACUUUGACCUAUGGUGAGAUCCUAAUGUGGUCACAUAUCUCUAUGGAUUAGGUCACUGUUGAUGAAGGUAGGUGGUAACAAGUAUUCUCAAUGGAGGCACCAUGAUAUCUCAUGGUAUUGAGACAAUGUGUCCCUUUGCGUAAUCCAAAGAACUUGUGAUCUAAAAGACUAUAGCUAUAGCUAUUCCUUCAGUGGAAUUUUUACACAUGCUUCUUGAAACUAAAGUAUGUCAAUUGAUCACAUAAUAAGUAAGAUUUGUAACUCAAUGAUUGUAGAAAUGAUCUUGAUAGGUAAAAACACUACCUUAUUAGAUUGUACACACCACUUCAUGGGGAGUCUUCACGUAGUGAAUAGUAGGUACGAACUUGAGCUUUAUCUUAUUGUUAUUUACAUAAGGUACUAGAAUGCAAUUGAUUCUCUAUAAUGGGAUAUUGUAUCAGCUUCAAAAUUAGAUUUUGAGGGAGUCAAUACUCUUAUGGGUUCCAAUGGUCAUUGCUUGAACUCAUAUACCUUGAUGACACGGUUUAUGAUGAUUGGAUUAACUCUAAGUUCACUUUUAUGUAUAAAGGCAUUUUGGUAAUUAUGGAAAAUUGCAUAAGGGUUAGUGAACAAAGUCUUUGGAUUUGGCUAAUUAAUUAAUUAAUUAGAUGAUCCUGUGAGGUUAAUUAAUCAAUUAAGACUAAAUUUAAGUUAGAUUAAAUAAUCCAAACCCUUGGUAGACUUAAGUAACUUAAGCCUAGUUGGAGAACCCUAUAAAUACCCCUUUAGGGGUUAGGAUUUCCAUAGAGUUGUCUUCCACCUUUAAAGAGAAAAGAAAGCUAUAGUCUCCAUCUUCCCAAACCUCCUCAUUGGUUGUGUGCCAAGAUUAAGUUCAAGCCAUCGGGUAGAAGAUCUAGGGUUUAUGAGACUUCCUGUAACUACAUGUUAGGAUAGAGCCCUUAAAAGCAUGACAUGAUGUAACAAAUUUAGGAAUUCAUUAUUUAUUUAAUGGAAUUUCCGUUUCACUUUUAUCUAUCUUUAUUCCAUGCAUUGUACUUUAUAAGCAUUCUUGUCUAGCAUCUCUUGAAUUGUACAUGACUUAGGUACAUUAGGAGUUAUACAAAAGAUUAAAGUCAUGGGUUCUUUACAAGUAGAUUACUUGUUCACAGUUGGUUCAUGAACUUAGAUAAUCCAUUAGAGGCUGUAGUGCACUACCUCCUAAUUAGAGGGAUGAUUGGUCUUGACCAUCAAGAUGAGUUUCCCAUGAUGAGUGCAUAAAUGUGUAUGGUUACACAUUGGACAUGACCUAUGGUGAGUCAUGACUUAAGGCUAUCAAGUAGACCGUGACCUCACCAAGUUACUUUAUUUUGUUGUCUCUCAACCUUGAGAGAAUAUUAAGUUUGUGUUAAAGUUAGUAGUGACUUUGACCUAUGAGUUAGAUUAUAAACUAAUCAUAUAAAUAAACUAAUCAAAAAAGGUACCAUGAUAUCUCAUGCGAUUGAGAUAGAGUGUCCUCUUGGGUGAUCCUAAGGACGCGUGUUCAUGAAAACUAUGGUCAUAGUAAUUCCUUAAGUGGAACUUGACAUAAAAUUUUGGAGGGCUAAGAUAUGUUAAUUAAACACACAAUAGGAGAAUAUGUAACUCAAAGAUAGUUGAGAUAGUCUUGAAAGGUUGAUAGCUUUCACCUUGUUAGACUAAAAACGCCAGUUCACAGGGAGAUUGAAUGUAGUGAAUAGCAGGUCACAGAUUUGAACACUUAGCGUCUUGUUGUUAUUUACAUAGGUUACUGGAGUGCAGUUGAUUCUCUAUAAUGGGAUGUUAGAUCAACUUCAGAAUUAAAUUUUACGUCCAGUACUACUAUGGUCCCAAUAGUCCUCACUUUAAGCUCAUAUACCUUGUUGGCACGGGUUAUGAGGGUUGAAUUGACUUUAGGUUCAGUUUUAUGCAUAAGAGUGUUUUGGUAAUAAUGCAAAAUUACAUAGGGGUAAGUGAACAAGGUCUUUAGAUUGGGUUAAUUGAUUAAUUAGUGGGUCCCGUUAGGUUAAUUAAUCAAUUAAGACCCAAUUUUGGACUAGAUUAAGUGACUUAAGCCCAUGUGGGCUCAAGUUAUUUAAGCCUAGUUAGAAACCCUAUAAAUACUUCUUAGGAGUUAGGAUUUCCAUAACUUUUUGUCUUCCACCAAUUAGAUAGAAGAGAGAGUCCUAACCUUUGCCAUCCCAAGCUGCCUAUCAUUUGUGUGCUAAGAAAUGAGGUUGAGAUAUCGGGUGGAAGAUCAUGGGUCUACGAGACUUCCAAUGGCAUCGAUUUGAUUUUUCAAUACUUGUAUUCAAGGUUUUGAAACAUCCAAACUUAAAGGCUAAUAUUUUAACCCUAGAGGUUAAUUUUUUGAAAAAUUGGUAUUGCUUCCAUUACUUAGAUCUAAGAUGCCAACACUACGAAACUAUUCUUCAUCAAAAGAGUUGAUUUAGGAACAUCAAAAUUAGAGGUAAAGUUUUUUAAUGCACACAUCUAGAUUUUUUUUUUGUGUUAAAAACGUAAUUUUUGUUUUCGUUGUAUAGGAUUUAAAUGCCCUAGGGAGUAUUCAUGUACCCAACUUGAGCUUAGGAUAGAGAAUAGAGAUAUCUAGGAUUCCCUAUAACAUGGUAUUAUGUAAUGAGUAUAGAAAAAUGGUCACUUGGCAAUAUAGGACCUUACAUUGUAAGUUUGGAAUUUGCAAAAACAGUGUUUAAGAAUCAUGAUACACAAACAUGGGAGAGUCUAGGAAGGUGUGUUUUGAUAUUUACCUUCAGGUAACAAUUGUAAAAGCCGAAAAAUCUAACAUCCUCAUUUGUACUUCAACAAUCCUAUGAAAUAUCUUUCAUUUACAAUCCCAUUUGAUUAUUUUAAUCUCUUUUCUUAUUUUUUAGGGAGCCCUUUAAUUCAAAGACUUUGACAUGUUGAAAGAACUUGGUGGGGUUGCGAGAGCAAUUGACAAAAAAAAUUUAUUGCUACUGUAUCAGAAAACAAUCUUAAAGGUCAUUUGCCUUGAGUUGGUAAGGAAACUUACUGCAAUUCAAUCUAGGGUUAUUAUAGACCAUCCAUUUCAAUUCUCAAUGUUGUUUCAGGUAACAUAUUUGAAUGAUAUUUUAUGGAUUUCAUUUAAUACAAUAUGUGUUCUAAAUAAUGCUUCUUUUUUAUAAUUAGAGUUAAUCCCUAUUUACUUUUCUUAGAUUUUACCAACUGUAACUAGAAUUCCACCCAUUCCUCUUUUAAAGAAAAAACAACAUUGGGUUGAUUGUGGGUGUUGCAAUUUCUAUUAGAUGUGUGAGAAUCAUACUAAUAUGUGAAGUUUUUUUACAUAAAAAGGAAUUCUUUAGAUGUUAAUGAGGAUGAAGGCACUUCUUUUGCUCAACAUUACUAAAUUUAAGCUUUAGAUGUCAAUGGGCUCUUUUCGUCAGAUGUCAUGGUAGCAUCUUUAGUUAGUAUUAUUUGUUGCCCAGUUACAGAAGACUCAAGAAGUUGGAUGGGCUUAAGAUGCAUGGAGUGGUAGUUGAGUGAUUUAUCUUAAUGUUGUUGAUUCAACUUUUUGUAUAUAAUGUAGCAAUGACAUUUGCCUAAGAAUAACAUCAGAGUUGAUUCAACACAACAUAAUUAAGCUUAAGCUUCUAUAUUAGGCUCACACAGAUCAUGUAUAUUCUUAUAUUUAAUAAAAAGGGGUCAUAUCACGACCAUGUAUUGUUCAACAAAUCAUUUUUCACCUAUGAAAGUGAUAAUCAUUUUAAUGGUUACUUGGCUAUGUUUGAGUAACAUUCUUCACCUAGCCAUUACCUUGUCCACAUGAUAACCUAUAGUAGCAACUAAGAAAAAUUUGCAUCCAUAUCAAGACUUAUAGUAGCAGCCAAAGCAUAUCCAUCUCCAUAUUAGCACAUAUGGUUGUGACCAAAAUUAACUCACACUUUUAAGCAUUAUAGGCUCAAACUUUUUAUAUUUUUACAACCUUAUAGUUGUAGCCACUCUUAACUGCAACUAUACACUACCUUUAGUUGCAAGUAAAAUGAGGUUGUGGUCAUAGUUUUAAUACUUAUGGCCACACUUUUACAUGUGGCCGCAACUAUAACAUUUCUCUAUACCCCCAUAUGAUCACACCUUGUUGUGGUCUAUUUUGUUCGCACCCAUAUCUUUUAGCUGGGCUAAAUUUUUCUUUUAGCCAUGGUUAGUGGCAACGACCAAGAAAGUGAUUUAAGAGUUUUGAGAUUAUAAUAACUCCUUUGAUCUUCUCUCCUUAUGGAUAUAAGUGUAUUUUCGUUAAAUCCCAUGAUUCUCAUUUAUUUAUUUAUUUUUAUUUUUUGUUUAUUGUUCCCUUAAUUGAGCAUAACAUAUUGAGAUGAUUGUAUUUUAGAGUUUUCAAUAAUAUAUAAUAGGCCUAAAGGAUAUGGAAGUUUAUGAUAUAUACAUGAAUAAAAAUACUCUUUGACUUAUAAAUGAUCUAAAUAUGUAAAAAAAGAAAAAUUGGAAUAAUUAAGUGUGUUUAAAAGGGAUAAAGAUUCCGUAGAUUUUUUUUUCUUCUCUUUUCAUAAUAUAAGCAAUAUAUGUGUAUUCUCUUCCAUGGACAAAUUAGUUGAUUAAGAAUAUUAAACAACAUGCAAAAUAUUUAUUAAAGAAAAAAAAUGCAUUUCUUGAAUAUUCAAUAUUUAAAAAAAAAUUGAACAAAAUAAAAAACUCUCUUAUUGCUAAUUAAUGUCUAUGUUAAGCACUACAGAAUUCAAAUUUUAAUUUCUCACUAACACUUAUUUUUUUCUCAUAUUAUGUGUAUAUACUGGAGGAGGAGAUAACUACCUAUCCAUAUCUUAUUUAUCUUCUUUAAUGGGAAAAAGAUGUUAGAGAGUGAAAAAUAUAUGAACAACUGAGGGGUAAAGGUUCUCUAGUCUACAAGUGAGUAUGUGAUUUUAUCCAUUUGAUAUAUAUAUAUCGUGAAUUUGGUUGCUAUGGUUGGAGAUAUGAUCUAUGACUUUUGCUUUUAUAAUUUCAUGUUUUUGAAAUAUGGAGAUUUUAAUAUUUAUUAUUAUAUAUAUUUUGCAUACUCUAGUAAGGUAAUAUAUUAUUAUUAUACAAAGGCAAAUUAAAUUUUAAAUGUAUUUAUUAUAUUUUGAAUUAUAAAUUUAAAUGUAUUUUCAAAUUCAAACCCAAGUUGAUUUUAAUUACUUUAAAAAACAAGUUGUUCUUACAACCUACAUUAACUUACAGGAAAUCAACUGUCUAAAUUGAAUCAAACUGACCUUAAACAAGAUUGAUUUUAUUGUCGAUGUAGCACAACUUGAAAUAGGAGUCAAUUUAUAGGAAGCUUUUGAAAACAUAGUGCACCACACCCAGGGAAAAAAGAAAUGUGGGUUUUUCACUCAUCACUAAAAAAUUAGUUUGAUUUUGAUUCAAGUAUAAACCGAUCAUGUUAAUUUAGUAUUUUUUUUCCUAGUUAUGUAAAUUUUUCAUCCAUUAAAACCCAUAAGUCUCAAUCUAAUGGCUGGAUUUUAUAAUCUUAAUGAUAAUAGACUUACAAAUCAAUUAUAUAUAAAGAUGGUUAGUGAAUUGAAAAAGUUGUUGGCUCAUAGUUCAUAACCAAUAAAACUAGUGGUUCAAUUGUAAUCAAACUAUCAUAUCAUCAUAAAUAUUUAACUUAUAUAUUAUUUAAAUUAAAAUAACUAUAAAAAGUUAAAAAUCUGUAAAUAAUUAAAAAUUUAAACAUAUUUUUAUUAUAAAAUAUGAGAAUUUAUUAUUGUUGUCGCCUCGCGUAUCCGGUGGUCCACGUUGCUGCUAGAUGGAUGGACACGCGAUUCUCAACACACAAAGGGUUCUUGAUUCAGCGGUUGUACCUGCAAAAGGCAUCCGGACAGGGUGUCCGGACACACCCUCCGAUGGUUUUGUUAGCCAUGGUAAGAGAGGAAGAUAUAUGAGGCAGUUGGCUUUUUACUAGGUAUCAGGAGGUUACUCAGAGAGGGAGAGCCAGAGUUCUUCUUCGUGUGAAGACUUAUAUAUACAGCUUUAAGGGUACUGUUCCUCUCAUUAAUGGUGAGGAGAUGUUUUAUGUUGUCAUGAUGACAUUAAGUAGCAGUAGGGACAUCAUCACCCUACGAGCGGCUGUCAGGAACCAUGGUAGGUGACGCGACUGUCAGAGAUCGUGGUAGGUGAUCAUGUAGAAUGAUCGUGGGAAGUGACUUGCUAUCACUUCAUCUUGUCUUCUCACUUUGCAGGUGACAAGAUGUGGGCCAUGGCUGCUUGUUGUGAUUGCGUGUAAGACUCGCUUUACUUUAAUUGACCAUCCAGACGAUUUAUAUCCGGAUGGCUCAUGCUGAUUAUCCGGAUGUGUUGUGGAGACUAUCCGGAUGUCUACGCUCUGCCAGCGUCGUUUGCUCUUCCUUGGAUAGGAGAAGCUGAAACGUCGUUUGCCUUUCCUUGAGGCGGUUCGGAUAGGAUAACUGCACCAUGCAUAUCCUUAGGGGAAUCCGGAUGAUGAUGGUCCGGCUGAUAACACGUGCCACGCGUCACCAUGAGCUGCGUGCCACGUGUUUCCCAAGGGGAGGGGUCCCUACAUUGCCCCCCUUUUUAACUUGCCUAUUUUGCCCGAAAAAUGGGCGGGUUAAAAAUAACUGGCUUUUGAAAAUUGAAGAGGUCCCUUCGUCUGACUGGGCCACGUGGCGAGUGGGGGUGCGGAAGCCAAAAAGGCAUUUAUGACGAGCCGCCGACCCUGUGUAUCCCCAGGCAAUAUGUCGUUUCAAUGAUAACAUGGCUGUCCUGCUAUAAAUAGGGCACUGUACCUCUUUUUGCAUUUUUUCCUACUGCAUUCUCUUGAGAUCCUUUCUUCUUCUUGCUUUUUUCUGCGCCCUUUGCUUCUCUGAGAAAAAACUUUGAAAGCUCUUUUGUACCGGUGUUUUUGUAUCGCGACUUCGUUUGUUUGCUGCUGGUGAUUUUGUACCGAGACAGUAACCGUUCUUCUUCUUCAGAGCUUUAUUUGGUACGUACCUCUUUGCUACUGUCAUUCCUUUGGUUGCGUUUGCUGGUUCUUUAAACUUGGUUUCUGGCUUGCUUGGGCAUUGUUUUGGACAAGUCGCUCGCAAUUGUUGUUGAAUGUUGGUAUUUUGAUGGUGCUCGGGGGGGNNNNNNNNNNNNNNNNNNNNNNNNNNNNNNNNNNNNNNNNNNNNNNNNNNNNNNNNNNNNNNNNNNNNNNNNNNNNNNNNNNNNNNNNNNNNNNNNNNNNGGGGGGGGGGGUUUUGAGGGGUUUUUCUGACUGCUUUGGGUUAGGGUUUGUGUAUUUUCUGACUGCUUGGUUUGAACCGUUGCAUUGCUUUUGUAUGUAGAUUUUGGUUUGGCUUUGUGGUAAGAAAUGACUUCAAAAAAUACUGUUUCAUCUGCCCGGGUUAGCGAGGCUGGCGAAAAGGCGAUAGACAAAUUAGAUGUGAAGGAAUUCCGGGAGCGGUUCUGCAUCCCAAAUGGCGUAUCUAUAGACUUGGUGAACGAGGAGGCGGCUAUGCCUACUGAGAAAGGUGAAGAAAACGUUAUCCUCUUCACAAAGGAACAAUUCAACGCAGGGCUCCGGUUCCCUCUGCCGGCGUUGUUCAAGGAAUUCCUCCACUUCUCUCAGAUUCCACCCAUCUUCAUUCAUCCCAACCUUGUCCGGGUGCUGAUGGGAUGCAGCAUCAUCAACAUGCUGUACAACCUCGACCUUACGCUACUGGAAGUGUUCUUUGUCUAUUCCCUGAAGAAGGCAAAAAAUGAUAUCUUCAGUGUGUCCGCGCACCUGCCCUCCCUUCAAGUGGUGACAGAGCUGCCAGAUUCGAUAAAGGGAGAGGCGAAAGGGCUGGUGGCGGUCCGGGGUGGAUGGGCGGGGCUAUCGGAGCGUGCGUCGAGGCCCUUUUCUCCAAAUUAUACCUUAAAAAUUCCGGGUAUUCUUGUUUUGCGAUUCUUUGUCCGGAUUUUACUUUGCUGUUUUUUUGCUGAUUUUUCCGGACGGAAUUCUCACCUUUUGUUGCUGUCAAUGCAGGUCUGGAAUUGAGGGGCCACCUUGUGGAUUGGGUAGAAAAGGCGUCCUUCGCCUGUGUCUGCAAAUUAUUCGAGAUAAAUCCCAAGGAGAGGGCCUGCAAGACAUUGCUUUCCGCGCGGAAUUUGAUGGCGGUCGUCCGGGAGUCCCAAGAAUAUGUUAUCAAUAUUCUCCCUAGGAAACUGCCAAAAGAUGAGGUAGUGCCUGGGGAGCAUUAUACUGUGAAGGAGCUCCCCCUCUAUUAGGAAGCUAAAGAGGCUGAUGCUGAAAGACGGCGAAAGCUCCUGGAGGAUCGAGAUCAGAGAAAAAAUGAAGGCACUAUCCGGAAGGCUCCCGGACAGAAGCGGGGUCCGGACUCUCCUCCAAAGAAAACUCCAGCAAAAAGGAGGAAGCUGGUGAAGAAGAAUGGGAAGGAUGUGAAGGAACCCACUCCUCCCAAGGAGUUUCCUCCUCCGCAAAUUACCUAUGAGGGGGAAGUAAUGAUAGAGGAGCCAGUAAACGCCGCUCCGCACUCUAUCUCAAGCGGCCCCAGACGCAUCUCGGGGUUGAACCAUUCGGGCACUUCCUUGGCCGCGGUUGCGCGUCUGGCUAACGUGGCUGAGGAAGCUGCAUCUAUCAACCAUCCGGGCAACCUUAAUUCGGAUGCUGAUGCAGCUGAAACGAUCCUGUUGGAGGAAGCGGGGGCAGAAAGCCAAAGUCAGCCUUCCGACGACCCGGAUCGCUUGGCCAUAAUCCCGGUGAAAGGGCCUCCUUCAAAGAAGCCGCGUUCGACGCGCAAUCUACUGUCCGGACUCCUUGGGCGGCUUCAAGAGCGGCAGCAAGAGAUUGAAGUUAGCUGCGCUUCUGCCCAUGACGCUCAUCCGGAUGGAGGCGAGGUGGAGAUGGCAACUGAGACUUCAGCCGCCCCUGCAAUAAUUCCGGCUGAAGAUGCAUCCGGACAGAUGCGUCCGGACGAAGAUGUGGGGGUCCCGAAUCCGGGACAAGAGUCACCUUCUGUUUCCUCAUCUGAGGAGGAACCUGCUGACGAUGCAGCUCCUGCUAGCCCUUUCAGCUACGCGGAGUUGGAAGUUAAGCUAAAACAGAUUACACCUGGCUGGACUGCCAUCAAGCCCUCUGCUAAGAUGUUUGAUAUGAUGGAAACGGUAUACCGUUGUCUUGUGCUUUUGCUUUUUGAUUCUUUGUUGCGCUGAUGUGUUUGUUGUAGUAUGAUUUAUGUCUUUGCUUUUCUUGUUUGCGUGUCAGCUGGUGAGGGGCCUCCGCGGCAUGGCUCAACAACACGAUCUUUUUACUCACCUGCUGCAGACUGCAGACUAUAUGAAGACCUUCUCCUCUCGGCGUCGAGAGAUUGAAAAUCAGCUGCGUCUGAGAAUGGAGGAGGCUGAGGCCAGUCUAUCCACCAUGCGAGAGGAAAAUGAAGCCCUCCGAGUGGAGUUGGCUGAGGCGAAGAGUCGAGAAGAAUCGACUGCGGGCCGCCUACAUGAGGCAGAAGGUGAGGCAGCCCGGCUGAGGGAUGAAGUGAGUCAACUCCGGACAGAAGUUUCGAAUGAAAAGAAACAGAAGGAAGACUUGCAGCUGCGCCUGGAUGUGCAAAAAGAAGAACUUGAACGGGAGUUUGCUGUGGAAAGGGAGGAACUUGCAGCGGAUUACCAGCAACAAGUGGAUGAUACGUUUAUCUUUGGGUAUCGCUGCUGCAUGAAGAAGAACGGUAUCAAGCGAGAUACCCCUUCAAUUCCUCCGGGUGAANNNNNNNNNNNNNNNNNNNNNNNNNNNNNNNNNNNNNNNNNNNNNNNNNNNNNNNNNNNNNNNNNNNNNNNNNNNNNNNNNNNNNNNNNNNNNNNNNNNNNNNNNNNNNNNNNNNNNNNNNNNNNNNNNNNNNNNNNNNNNNNNNNNNNNNNNNNNNNNNNNNNNNNNNNNNNNNNNNNNNNNNNNNNNNNNNNNNNNNNNNNNNNNNNNNNNNNNNNNNNNNNNNNNNNNNNNNNNNNNNNNNNNNNNNNNNNNNNNNNNNNNNNNNNNNNNNNNNNNNNNNNNNNNNNNNNNNNNNNNNNNNNNNNNNNNNNNNNNNNNNNNNNNNNNNNNNNNNNNNNNNNNNNNNNNNNNNNNNNNNNNNNNNNNNNNNNNNNNNNNNNNNNNNNNNNNNNNNNNNNNNNNNNNNNNNNNNNNNNNNNNNNNNNNNNNNNNNNNNNNNNNNNNNNNNNNNNNNNNNNNNNNNNNNNNNNNNNNNNNNNNNNNNNNNNNNNNNNNNNNNNNNNNNNNNNNNNNNNNNNNNNNNNNNNNNNNNNNNNNNNNNNNNNNNNNNNNNNNNNNNNNNNNNNNNNNNNNNNNNNNNNNNNNNNNNNNNNNNNNNNNNNNNNNNNNNNNNNNNNNNNNNNNNNNNNNNNNNNNNNNNNNNNNNNNNNNNNNNNNNNNNNNNNNNNNNNNNNNNNNNNNNNNNNNNNNNNNNNNNNNNNNNNNNNNNNNNNNNNNNNNNNNNNNNNNNNNNNNNNNNNNNNNNNNNNNNNNNNNNNNNNNNNNNNNNNNNNNNNNNNNNNNNNNNNNNNNNNNNNNNNNNNNNNNNNNNNNNNNNNNNNNNNNNNNNNNNNNNNNNNNNNNNNNNNNNNNNNNNNNNNNNNNNNNNNNNNNNNNNNNNNNNNNNNNNNNNNNNNNNNNNNNNNNNNNNNNNNNNNNNNNNNNNNNNNNNNNNNNNNNNNNNNNNNNNNNNNNNNNNNNNNNNNNNNNNNNNNNNNNNNNNNNNNNNNNNNNNNNNNNNNNNNNNNNNNNNNNNNNNNNNNNNNNNNNNNNNNNNNNNNNNNNNNNNNNNNNNNNNNNNNNNNNNNNNNNNNNNNNNNNNNNNNNNNNNNNNNNNNNNNNNNNNNNNNNNNNNNNNNNNNNNNNNNNNNNNNNNNNNNNNNNNNNNNNNNNNNNNNNNNNNNNNNNNNNNNNNNNNNNNNNNNNNNNNNNNNNNNNNNNNNNNNNNNNNNNNNNNNNNNNNNNNNNNNNNNNNNNNNNNNNNNNNNNNNNNNNNNNNNNNNNNNNNNNNNNNNNNNNNNNNNNNNNNNNNNNNNNNNNNNNNNNNNNNNNNNNNNNNNNNNNNNNNNNNNNNNNNNNNNNNNNNNNNNNNNNNNNNNNNNNNNNNNNNNNNNNNNNNNNNNNNNNNNNNNNNNNNNNNNNNNNNNNNNNNNNNNNNNNNNNNNNNNNNNNNNNNNNNNNNNNNNNNNNNNNNNNNNNNNNNNNNNNNNNNNNNNNNNNNNNNNNNNNNNNNNNNNNNNNNNNNNNNNNNNNNNNNNNNNNNNNNNNNNNNNNNNNNNNNNNNNNNNNNNNNNNNNNNNNNNNNNNNNNNNNNNNNNNNNNNNNNNNNNNNNNNNNNNNNNNNNNNNNNNNNNNNNNNNNNNNNNNNNNNNNNNNNNNNNNNNNNNNNNNNNNNNNNNNNNNNNNNNNNNNNNNNNNNNNNNNNNNNNNNNNNNNNNNNNNNNNNNNNNNNNNNNNNNNNNNNNNNNNNNNNNNNNNNNNNNNNNNNNNNNNNNNNNNNNNNNNNNNNNNNNNNNNNNNNNNNNNNNNNNNNNNNNNNNNNNNNNNNNNNNNNNNNNNNNNNNNNNNNNNNNNNNNNNNNNNNNNNNNNNNNNNNNNNNNNNNNNNNNNNNNNNNNNNNNNNNNNNNNNNNNNNNNNNNNNNNNNNNNNNNNNNNNNNNNNNNNNNNNNNNNNNNNNNNNNNNNNNNNNNNNNNNNNNNNNNNNNNNNNNNNNNNNNNNNNNNNNNNNNNNNNNNNNNNNNNNNNNNNNNNNNNNNNNNNNNNNNNNNNNNNNNNNNNNNNNNNNNNNNNNNNNNNNNNNNNNNNNNNNNNNNNNNNNNNNNNNNNNNNNNNNNNNNNNNNNNNNNNNNNNNNNNNNNNNNNNNNNNNNNNNNNNNNNNNNNNNNNNNNNNNNNNNNNNNNNNNNNNNNNNNNNNNNNNNNNNNNNNNNNNNNNNNNNNNNNNNNNNNNNNNNNNNNNNNNNNNNNNNNNNNNNNNNNNNNNNNNNNNNNNNNNNNNNNNNNNNNNNNNNNNNNNNNNNNNNNNNNNNNNNNNNNNNNNNNNNNNNNNNNNNNNNNNNNNNNNNNNNNNNNNNNNNNNNNNNNNNNNNNNNNNNNNNNNNNNNNNNNNNNNNNNNNNNNNNNNNNNNNNNNNNNNNNNNNNNNNNNNNNNNNNNNNNNNNNNNNNNNNNNNNNNNNNNNNNNNNNNNNNNNNNNNNNNNNNNNNNNNNNNNNNNNNNNNNNNNNNNNNNNNNNNNNNNNNNNNNNNNNNNNNNNNNNNNNNNNNNNNNNNNNNNNNNNNNNNNNNNNNNNNNNNNNNNNNNNNNNNNNNNNNNNNNNNNNNNNNNNNNNNNNNNNNNNNNNNNNNNNNNNNNNNNNNNNNNNNNNNNNNNNNNNNNNNNNNNNNNNNNNNNNNNNNNNNNNNNNNNNNNNNNNNNNNNNNNNNNNNNNNNNNNNNNNNNNNNNNNNNNNNNNNNNNNNNNNNNNNNNNNNNNNNNNNNNNNNNNNNNNNNNNNNNNNNNNNNNNNNNNNNNNNNNNNNNNNNNNNNNNNNNNNNNNNNNNNNNNNNNNNNNNNNNNNNNNNNNNNNNNNNNNNNNNNNNNNNNNNNNNAAAACUUUCUAAGUAUAGCGUACCAUUUUUGAAGUUUCUGGGCCUGACUUUUCGAUUGUAAUGCGAUGAUGCCCUUUGUUGAUAAUCUGCCAUCCGGAUGGCCGCGCUUUCUCUGACUUCGUCUGCCCAGUCCAAAUUUCUUCCUAGUUCCAUGUUGGCAUCUUCUUGUUUUGCUGCAUCGGUCCGGAUAGUAGGAAGACCUAUUUCAGUGGGAAUGACUGCAUCCAUUCCAUAUGUGAGGGCGAAAGGAGUGUUUCCUGUCGGUCGUCCGGGUGUGGUUCGAUAGGCCCACAGGACGCCGGGUAGCUCCUCCACCCACUUCCCUUUGGCUUGCUCAAGCCUUUUCUUUAAGGCAUUGAUUAGAGUUUUGUUUGUGGCUUCCGCUGCCCAUUGCUUUGAGGAUAACGCGGCGUGGAGUAUGAAUUUCGGAUAUUCAGUUCCGAACAGAAAUUCCUGAAUGCAAUGCUGUCAAAUUGUGGACCAUUGUCAGCUAUGAUGAUUUGGGGAAUUCCAAAGCGGCAAACAAUGUUCUUCCAUACGAAUUUGGUGAUAUCUUUAUCUUUGAUGCUUGCAUAUGCUUCAGCUUCUACCCAUUUACUGAAGUAAUCAGUGGCGACAAGGAGGAAUUUCUUCUGGGCAGGUGCUGCUGGGAGGGGUCCCACUAUGUCCAUGCCCCACUGCGCGAAAGGCCAUGGGCCUGAGACCGAUUUCAAUGCUGCCGAUGGCAUAUGUGGAAUGGGAGCGUAUCUUUGACAUUUAUCACAUUUUUGGACAUAUGCUGCCGCGUCUUUCUUCAUUGUUGGCCAAUAGUAUCCUUGUGAAUGAGCUCUAUGUGCCAGGGAUCGUCCUCCCGUAUGAUUUCCGCAUAUUCCUUCAUGUAAUUCAGCUAGCACAUACUGGGCCUCUGAAUGCCCAAGACAGCGAAGAUAAGGCCCUGUGAAGGAUCGCUUGUACAGGUGCCCCCCAAUCAGGGUGAAACGGGCAGCUUGCACCCGGAUUUUGUGCGCUUGUUUAGGAUCUUCGGGCAAAGUGCCUGUCCGGAGAUAUUCUGCAAUAUCAUGCGUCCAUUCUUGAUCAUCCGCUUGGUUUGCCUCAACGGUGUUGCAAGUGGAAUUUUCUACGAUAGAGGGAUUGGCUUGUACAUGGAUAGGCAAUAGAAUAGCUUCUCUGAUGGGGAGGGAAGCAGCUAUACCGGCCAAGGCGUCAGCGCGCCCGUUGUCAGCUCGCUUAAUUUUUUCGAUUGUCCACUCGGUGAAUUGCUGUAAGGUGCUUCUUAUUUUGGCCAAGUAUCGCGCCAUGCGUGCGUCCUUAGCCUCAUAUUCUUUCUGGACAUGCCUUACCACUAGUUGCGAGUCGUUGUAGAUCCGGAGUUUGGAGACGGAUAGAGCAAGGGCGAGGUCCAAUUCGGAUAGGAUGGCCUCGUAUUCUGCUUCAUUGUUAGACGCGGAGAAUCCCAGCCGGAUGGCUUGCUCCAGAUGUUCCCCAGUUGGGGACUGUAGUAAGAGCCCAACUCCAGAGCCUGAUGAGCGUGAGGCUCCGUCAACUCGUAGAGUCCACCACUCCUGUUCACUUGAUUCGUGGUGCUGGUUGGGUCUUCGUGAAUAUUCGAGCACGAAGUCGGCCAUUACUUGGCCUUUUUUGGAUAAUUUGGGUUGGAAUUCGAUUCCAAAUUCGCUCAAUUCGAUGGCCCAUUGUAGCAUUCGCCCAGUUAAAUCUGGUUUGUGCAGAAUGCUACGAAGGGGUUGGUCGGUCAGUACAAUCACUAGGUGGGCUUGAAAAUAGGGGCGGAGCUUUUGGGCAGCACUUCGAAGAGCUAAGGCUGUUAGCUCCAUUUUUGAAUACCUGGUUUCUACAUCUGCCAAUGCCCUGCUGACAUAGUAGACAGGUUUUUGCUCCUUUGGUGAAGGGCAGCGGAAUAGAACGGCGUUGAUUGCCCAUUCUGAGACAGCCAGAUACAUGUAUAGCUUCUCCUUUGGGAUGAGGCUGCUUAGGAUGGGUGGCUGCAUAAGACAAUGCUUAAUUUUUUCGAAAGCACUUUGACAACUGUCCGUCCAUCCUUGUGCUCCAGCUUUUCGUAUUGCCAAGAAGAAGGGUCGCAAUUCUUCAGUGAAGCGGGCUAUAAAGCGCCCUAAUGCGACGAGCUUGCCUGUGAGUCGUUGUAGCUCCUUCUUGUUCCUGGGAGGGGGUGUUUCCAUGACUGCCUUGACUUGAUCCGGGCUGACUUUUAUGCCUCUCUGGCUGACCAUAAAUCCCAGGAACUUGCCAGCACUUACUCCAAAGGCGCAUUUAGAAGGAUUUAGCUUCAUGCCAUACCUUCGUAAGAGGUGAAAAACUUCUUGUAAGUGAAGAUCAUGCUGCUCUCGGGUUUUGCUUUUAACCAGAAUGUCAUCAAUAUACACUUCUACCGUGUGGCCUAUUAGAGGUUUGAAGAUUUUAGUCAUUAAUCUCUGAUAAGUGGCGCCAGCAUUUUUGAGUCCGAAUGGCAUGACUUUGUAGCAGUAGAGGCCAUGUGGUGUUAUGAAUGCUGUCUUUUCUUCGUCAUCCGAAGACAUGGGAAUCUGGUGAUAUCCGGAGAAGGCAUCCAAGAAAGAGAGCAUUCCUUGCCUGGAAGUGGAAUCCACAAUUUGAUAUAUUCGUGGUAAGGGAAAACUGUCUUUUGGACAUGCGUUAUUGAGAUUGGUGUAGUCAACACAGACUCGCCAUUUGCCCUCUUUCUUUGGUACCACCACUACAUUUGCCAACCAAUCCGGAUAAGAUACUUCUCUGAUGAAUCCGGCUUCCAGCAAUUUGUCAAUUUCAUUUCGGAUAACUUUUUGUCUAUCCGGAUGAAAGCGUCUAAUCUUCUAUCGAACGGGUCUGGCUGCUGGAAAGACGUUAAGCUUGUGAGAGGCAAUAGAGGGAUGAAUUCCCUUCAUAUCCGAAUGUGUCCAUGCGAAGAUGUCAUGGUUGCUUCGAAGGAUAUUUUGUAUGCUCUGAGUUUCUUCUUGUGUCAUGAGGGAACUGAUGUUCAUGAGGUGAUCAUUCUCUUCUGAGAUUUGGAUUGUUUGUAAGGGAUCUGCUGCCGGGGGAUCCUUGUCCGCCAGACCCAAUAAUUGCUAUUGGUCAUGCGUAUGGCUGGGUUCAGGGGGAGAUGCAUCCUCCUGGCUAGUUCCCGCUUCUCGUGCUAUUUGAUAGCACUGUCGAGCGGCCAACUGGCUGCCAUACAAGUCAGUUUGCCCUUCGUUGGUGAGGAAACUCACCAUUUGAUGAUAUGUGGAAGGGAUGACUUUCAUGUAGUGAAGCCAUGUGCGUCCCAAGAUGACAUUGAAGGGUGAUAACUCUUGUACCACUGAGAAUUGCACGUUGAGAGUGACUGGGCCAGCUUGGACCGGCAGUAUAAUGUCUCCUAAGGAUGUGGUUGAUGACCCGUUGAAUCCGGAUAAGAUUUGUCCGGGGUUUUCGAGACCCGCGAGACUAUGUCCCAUAUGGCCAACGACUGAUGCUUGCACCAGAUCGGCUGAACUGCCUGGGUCGACCAAGAUACGUCUUACAUCGAAAUCUCCUAUUUCUAGGGAGAGGAUGAGGGCGUCGCGAUGUGGCUGUAGCGUCCGGGUGGGAUCUACUGGUGGGAAAAUGAUUGUCCCAUCUAUGGGGCGAGGGCCCUCUCCAGUGAGACCCGGCCGGAUGGAAUUAAUGCGUUCGCGUAUUGACGCGGCUCGCAGCAAUUUCUGCCUUUUCCGCCUGGAAUCGUAUUCCUCGUCAGAUGGGCCCCCGUUGAUAUAGUUUAUGACAGCCUUGGGGGCGACUGGGGCCCUCGGGGCCCCAGAGUUAUGAUGUUGAGAUGCGUCCCUUCCUCCAGUAUCUGAGCGGAGGUACUGUUUUAAAUGUCCUGCUUUGAUGAGCCUUUCAACUAGAUACUGGAGGGACCGACAUGUCUCUGUUGUAUGACCAUGGUCUUUGUGGAAGGCGCAUUUCUUGCUGCGGUCUCUCAUGGAUGGGUCCGUUUCGAGGGGUCUAGGCCACCUGAAGUCGGACAACCCUUGGAUCAUUGGGAGAAGUUUUUCGUAUGACACGGAUAGGGGUGUGAUGGGCGGCCUAUCCGGACGACUCGGCCCGUCCUGCCUCCGGUCAACUAGUUUUGGCCGGUCCGGAGGUUUGGCAUGUCUGUCCGCGUCAUCUCUAGAAGCCCGUCCGACAACCAAAACUUGCUGAGUGGCUGCACGUACGUCAUCUUCGAGCAUUGAAUAUUUGUUAGCACGUCUGAACAAAUCGUCCAUCGUUGUAGGAGGCUUUUUGGCCAGCGAUUCGAAAAAUGGAGUGCCUGGACAGAUGCUUCUCUUGAAGAUCUGUAGGACAGCAUCCAUGCUGCAAGCCUCUAUUUGAAGUACGGCUUGGCCAAAUCGUUUCACAAAUUCCCUCAAGGAUUCGUUGUCUCUCAUUUUUAUGUUCUGGAGGGUGCUGAUAUUCUGCUUGUGUCGAGCAGAGCACAAGUACUGUCCCACGAAAGCUUCAGAGAGGUCCCUGAAAUUGUUAACAGAGUUAGGAGGUAGGCGAUGAAACCAUGAGAGGGCCUGCCCUUGAAGGCUGGCGGGGAAUACUUUGCAUAGCAAUGCAUCGUUGCCAAUAUCGAGCGUCAUAAGCUGUCGAUAGUGCAUGAUGUGAUCGAAGGGAUCGUUGGUCCCAUCGUAUGUGGAAAACUUUGGUAUGAGGAAUCCCCUUGGGGGCUCGUAAUGGGUGAUAUGAGAGCAAAAGGGCGUGGAGAGCAUGUCAUCCAGCCUUUUGCUGAUGGAGCCAAUGGGUGGCUCGUUUGGGAGGUUUCUCCCAGCUGGUCGUUCCGCUAGGUGUGAGUGAACGUUCCGCAUUGCUGGGGUGACCAUGGGGUCACGAUGCGGAGGUACAUUCUGCACCAUGGGAGCGAUCAUAGGAUCGGGGCGUGGUGCCCGGGUUGUGGCUACUGGUGGCCUUGAUCUCCCAGGCUCUUGUGGGCCUAGUCUUGCGCGCAUAGAACUUGACAACUGUGAUUUUCUAUCACGUUGUCUUUUUGCUGAAAAAUGAGUGGAAUCUGAGCUUUCCUCACGGGGAGCUCGAGGCAUAGGUGUACGUGGCUCAUGGGGCCUUGCGUUGUAUGCUCCUGGGACAGCUCCUGUUGACCCAGGAUAUAUUGAUUCUGGCUCUGGCCUUGAGUUUGCCACCUGGCCUCUUGAACGCUGACGACGAGGAGGACUUGACGUUGAGGCUUGAACGCGUAACACAGCGUUUUCUUCCCUUAACCUCUCCGUCUCCUGGAGGAGAGCUCUUAGCUGUUUUUCGCUCGCCAAUUGUCUUUUUUCGAUGGCCUGACGCCAUUCGAGAUUAUCUUCCUCCCCUCUACUAGAUGAUCGACUUUGGGAAGGUGUGGCCAUCUUUGCUAGUGACUGAAUCAAAAUAAAAAGUAAAGUUUCCCACAGACGGCGCCAAUGUUGUUGCCUCGCGUAUCCGGUGGUCCACGUUGCUGCUAGAUGGAUGGACACGCGAUUCUCAACACACAAAGGGUUCUUGAUUCAGCGGUUGUACCUGCAAAAGGCAUCCGGACAGGGUGUCCGGACACACCCUCCGAUGGUUUUGUUAGCCAUGGUAAGAGAGGAAGAUAUAUGAGGCAGUUGGCUUUUUACUAGGUAUCAGGAGGUUACUCAGAGAGGGAGAGCCAGAGUUCUUCUUCGUGUGAAGACUUAUAUAUACAGCUUUAAGGGUACUGUUCCUCUCAUUAAUGGUGAGGAGAUGUUUUAUGUUGUCAUGAUGACAUUAAGUAGCAGCAGGGACAUCAUCACCCUACGAGCGGCUGUCAGGAACCAUGGUAGGUGACGCGACUGUCAGAGAUCGUGGUAGGUGAUCAUGUAGAAUGAUCGUGGGAAGUGACUUGCUAUCACUUCAUCUUGUCUUCUCACUCUGCAGGUGACAAGAUGUGGGCCAUGGCUGCUUGUUGUGAUUGCGUGUAAGACUCGCUUUACUUUAAUUGACCAUCCAGACGAUUUAUAUCCGGAUGGCUCAUGCUGAUUAUCCGGAUGUGUUGUGGAGACUAUCCGGAUGUCUACGCUCUGCCAGCGUCGUUUGCUCUUCCUUGGAUAGGAGAAGCUGAAACGUCGUUUGCCUUUCCUUGAGGCGGUUCGGAUAGGAUAACUGCACCAUGCAUAUCCUUAGGGGAAUCCGGAUGAUGAUGGUCCGGCUAAUAACACGUGCCACGCGUCACCAUGAGCUGCGUGCCACGUGUUUCCCAAGGGGAGGGGUCCCUACAAUUAUAUCAUAGGAAGUUAGGGAUAAUCAUCUUGCUAAGUUGUCAACCGAUUGAAGAAAUUGUAGUAUUUGUUUUCAAAUCCCUUCCUUCAAGGGUCAAUUAGGAUUUUAGCCUUAGAAAGUAAUAUAUAUAUAUAUAUAUAAAGAAAUUGAAUGAGAAAAAAUAUUCCCAUUUUAUCACAUCUCUUAACUUCCUAUAAAAGAGGGAGACUUGUUAAUGACAUAUUAUUCAAUUUCUUUGUUAGCAUUUUAUUUCUCCUUUCUAAGUUUCUUCUCUUUCUACUUUCUUUUCAACAACAUGUUAUCAACACAAGCCUAUAACAACCGGUUUGAAACAUCAUUCUUUUUUUCUUCUUCUAAGAUUUCUACAUAAAACAUUAUGAGAAGGUAUUUCACAAUGUAGUUUUUUUUUGUGAUUAUUAUAAUUAUUCCUUGUCUCGUGUGAUAUAGAAUAUUACUUAAAUUUUAAUUAUUCAUAGACUUAAGUUAUGUAAAAUAUUUGUUAAAAUUCAUAUAGUAAAAAACUAUAUGAAAAUUAUUGUGUUUAUAGAUAACCAAAAGUUAUGUAAACUAUUAAUAUUAUUCAUAACUAGAGGUUAUGAGAAGUCAAAAGCUAUAUGAAAAUAUUAUAUUAUUAUACAUAGUCAAUGCAUUAUUAUUCUUAUUCAUAAUAAGAAGUUAUAAUAUGAGAAUAGUAAUUUAUAAUGUUUAUAUUAGCUAUAGAGUAUGUCAAAAUAAAAUAAAAUAAAAGAAUUGUGUCUUGGAAGUAUUAAAUUUUUUCAUUGUUGCAUGAUGUCUAUCUAAAUGAUAAUAGUAAUAAUUAAUUAAUUAAUAGACAUCCAUGCUUACCGUAUGUGCAUACAAGUCGGAACGAGUUUUAUGCACUGGCAAAGCCAGCCAAGGCCUAGGAGGGGUGCAUAACCCCAUUAAAAAUUAAAAUCAUAAUAAGGGUUUUGAACACCCUUAAUCUUCUAUUUAAGGGGAAAGCAUGCUUUCCACUGCACUAUAUAUAAUUGUCUCUCCAUAUUCCCCCCCCCCCNNNNNNNNNNNNNNNNNNNNNNNNNNNNNNNNNNNNNNNNNNNNNNNNNNNNNNNNNNNNNNNNNNNNNNNNNNNNNNNNNNNNNNNNNNNNNNNNNNNNGGGUUUGGACCCCCCUUUUUUUUUUUUUUAGGGGGAAAGCACCUUUUCCCCCGCCCAAAAAAAUAUGUUUUUCCCAUUUCCCCCCCCCCCCCCCCCCCCCCCCCUAAAAUAAUUCUUUUAUUUGUACCCCUCCUAGAGCAUAUUCUUAGCUUCACCACUAGUUUUAUGUAUGAAUUAUAAUACUUCUAUUUUAUGUUUGUUUCAUUUUACACUCAAAACUAUUAGUGGGAAUUCAAAUAUAUAUAUAUAUUCAUAAUUCAACGAAUCAAUGAAAAUGAAUAUUUUAUUUUUGUGAAAACUAUACCCAAAAGAAAGCUUUUUAUUAUUAUCUUACUUAAAAUUUUUUUUUUGGAUGGUUCAUGAGAUUAAGGUUUGGGUAUAGGAAUUUUUUUUUAACCCUACCCAAUCAUUAGAAAAAAAAGAAAAGAAAGGUUUAUUGCUUGUUUAAUUUGACCUUAUUCAACCACCUAAGUCAUUACUUGAAUUUUUCCCAUCAUGCUACUCUAGUUAGGAUUAUUUAUUUAUUUAUUUUGAAUGGUGUAUGAUUUCUUUUAUUUAUCAUAACGAGUUUAAACCAGUAGAGGAUUAAAAAUCCACUAUUAGAUAGACUUUUAUAAUUUUAUUUUUAUUUCAUUAUCUAUGAGAUUUUUCAAUUGUUAAUUAAAUUCGUCUUAGGCAUUAAUCUUCUUUUGAGGACUUCUAUGUUUGUUGGAUCAACAUCAUACAUGGGGUUUUCUAGUACUUUUCUUUUUAGAAACUUCACACUUGUUUAACACUAUAACAUUCUUAUAAACAGUCCUACUAAAUCAUGUAGCAUAGUCAUUGGAUACUUACUAUAGUAAUAAUAUAUGUAAUUUUAGGUUACUUACAUGUUUAUUUUGGGUUUAAUAAAAUGGGAUAUGGUGAAACAUUUUUAUGCACUCUUUUGAUCUACAAUAACAUUGGUUUAAGCUAAUUUUAUGUUAUAGUCAAUCUAGCUUUGGCUAUUGUGUGUGUGUAUAUAUAUAUAUAUAUAUAUAUUAAAUUAUAUUACUCUUCUAUGAAUUUGGGUUUUUUUGUUUGAAUAUCUUCUUCUUGAAAUAUUUCAUACAUAGUUCUCUAAUAAUGUCAAACCUCAUCAAACUGGGGUUUGGCACCCUUGAUAUCUUAAGAAAAAGCUACUUGUUAUGGAUAUUAGAUAUCAAAAUCCACCUUGAUAUCAUAAACCUUGGGAUAACCUAUAAGGAAAUAAAUGACACACCUUACAAGAUCACGUAAAAGCCUUAAUAUUCCUUUGCCAUCAUAUUGAUCAAGGGUUAAAAGGUGAUUAUGUCAUGCUAAAAGAGACUCUCAUUCUUUGAAGCAAUUUGAGAAAACAAUAUGACUACCAAAAUAUUGUGAUCUUGCCUAAAGCCCAUUAUGAUUGGUUGUAUUUAAGAUUACAAGAUUUUAAGUUUGCCAACAAAUACAAUUGUAAUAACCUUGAAGUAUUAAAAUAUAUAAAAAUAUUAAAAACAUUGAUAUUAGUAUGUUAAAUUAUGAGAGUUGGAAGUAGAGAUUUUGUAUAAAAGUUCCAACUAAAUUUGAGGAUUUAUAACUUGUUUAAUAAUUUUAUCAGUAGAAUGAUUAACCACAGAAUGAGAAAAUGAUAAUUAAUGAUUUAUCUAUAAUAGUGAUCUAUGGGGAUGGUUAUGGAGGUUUGGAGUUAGUUAAAUUUGAUAGAGAAUUGUUGGGUUUCUUAAAAGAGAUUAAUGUUCUCAUAAAUAUGAAGAAGAUAGUAGUUGAAAUUCUUGGAUGAAUUGGGGAUAUAAUUAGCCAUGUACUUAGGAUGAUCAACUAGUUGUGAAGUGGUUUAAUGAUGUACUAAAUGUAGUGAAAUUUUUUUGUAAAGGAAUUGCUAGCAUCAACAAUUAGGAUAACUAUGAUCCUAUGAGUUAGUUGAAAUAUUGUUUGAACUAUUGAUAGUUGUUGCUAAUAGUAGAUAUGUUCUUGGUUGUGAUAUUCUCUAUUAUUGAGACUUACUGAAAUUUGCACUAUGAGCAACAUGGAGAGUGUUAUAGGCACUUAUAAUUCAAAUUUAAAGCACCAUGAUAGGUGUCCUUAUAAAAAGUAAUAGAGGGCAAGGUCCCUCGGUGAGAGUCCUUAAAAGAAACAUUGUAAAGUAACCUAGGGUGAAAGACCCAAAAGAUCCUUAGAAGAUCCAUGUGUUGAUAUAAUAUGGGACAUGCAUAGACAUAUAUCCCUUAGUGAGAGUCCCUAAAAUAUAGGUACCCAUGGCUAUAGACAAAUGAUGUGCUACCUAAACAAUAUAUUAAAGUCUUAUGAAAGACAUAUGAUAAACUGGAAAUGAGUGAUUUUAAAAAUAUAUGUUUAUUUGGGUGAUAAUACAUACUUUUGAAUGAGUUCUUGUUUGGUGUUACUAAAAAGCAUGAAGAUGACAUUUUGUAUGAUCCAUUUUGUGAACAAAUCCUUUUCUACUAAGCUAUGAUUCACCUUUAUUUAAAAGUCUAUUUAUCAAACAUAGCUUAAGGGAUUAAGAAAAAAAAAAAAGAAUAGUUAAAGUAUUAUGCAAAGCUUGAAGAUUUUCUAUCGUUUGUGUUCAGUGUAAUUUUCUAUUGUAAAUGUAUAUUAAAAGCUACUUGGUAUCGUACAUGGUAGGAAAAUGAGAGUUUAGAAGUUGGUGAAGUAUUGUACAGUUGUGUGUAGGAACCUAGGUUGAAGGUUUUUAUUUUAAGGUUAAUAAAAUUUGAUUUUGAUUGCAUAAACUCAAGAUUUGCAAUUGUAAAUGAGUUUUUAGUGUUUAUAAUUUUUCAAUUGAAAUGUAUGGAAAUUUAAGAAUGAUUUUUUAGAAUUUUUGAUAUGUUGAAAAAUGGAGAAAAUAUGAAAGUGGGGAAAUCUUAGGGGGUCUAGUGGAGGUGUUGGAGGUACGCAACUUAAGUGGCAUACCUCUUUUCCCUUGUGUUAUAGGAGUGCAACUUAAAUGGUGUGUAAUUUAAGUGGCACACCUCUCUUCCCUUAUGGUUGAUGCACCUUUCUUCCCUUAUGUUCCAUAGGUGCACAACUUAAGUGGCACACCUAUCUCUUUUGCCUUAAAAUGGUUAUUUUUUUACCUUAACAUAGUUGUUUUACCCUAGCAUAGUUAUUACACCUCUCUAUUUUACUUCAACAUAGUUAUCUUUUUACCCUAGCGCAAUUAUUGCACCUCUCUGUUUUACCUCAUCACAUGUAGUUAUUUUACCUCAACAUAGCUAUUUCCUUAAUACUAUAUUUCUAUUUGAAAACUUAAAGUAAAUGGAGAGAUAAAUGAUAAAAUAAUAAAUUUUAAUUACAAAUUAACAAUAUUUUUUUUUUCAAAUUUUCUUCAAAAUAAAAUUCUCCCAAGUAAAAUUGUUGAAGAUAAAAAUCCCAUAAAUUUAAUUUGAGUAUCACCAAUAUGAAAACAAUAAAAUUUGUCAUUUUUUUAAAAUCUUAAACUGCAAAACUUUUAAAAAUGAAAUAUUUCUCAUACUUAGUCAAAUUUUCAACACAACAAAGUCCAUAAAUAAGAAAGACUUGAUGUUUUUCCAACUCAACAAGCUUUAUUUAAAAAGCUUUUAAAUGAUAAAAAUUUGGUCUCAAACACUAAAAUUCCCUUCUUAAUUCACAUCUCAAGUUCUAAAAUUGUAGGUUAGUCUUUAAUAAUAUCUUAAAACCAUAGUUUUAGACUUUAGGGCAUGAUAACCACUUUGCAUGAUGAUUCAAAAUUAACACUCAAUUGAAGCUAUGUGGAGAAAAGGUUAUUGAAAAAGACAUGAUAAAAAAGUCAUUUAUUACUUUUCAUACUUCAAAUAUGCUCUUAUAGAAGCAAUAUCAACGUAGAUUUACCAAAUAUUUAAAAUUAAUUUCAUGCUUUCUAGUUGUAUCCAUUUUUAUCCUUCAUAAUAUUUUCUACCAUAUAGUAUAAUGUUCUUUCUUAUCCUUGGAGGUAAGCAUGGUUGGUCGAACCACACUAAAACCUUGUGUACUUUUUGUGUGAUUGCUUUAUUUUUAUGCUUCUCUAUUAAUAUGUUUGCAUAAGAACUUUUUGCAUACCUAAUAAGUGGUAUUAAAGCUUCCACACAAGGAUGAAAAUAUCGGUUUUGAUGGAUAUAUCGGUAACUCGAUUUUACAGAUUUAUCAGGAAAUAUUGGCGGAUAUUUUGACACAAAAUAUUAAUAAGAUGAAAAUUGAUCAAAAUUCAUGAAAAUGUUGGAAAAAAAUCUAAAAAAUAAUAAAAGAAGUAACAAUAGACAUUUUGAAAUUAUUUUAUUGAAAGAAAUUGAUAUAUAUAUAUAUAAACAAAACCUGACUUCCUUUCCCGUGGCUCUGAUACCAUAGACACCUCGGAUGAGGUAAUAUGCAAUAAAAACAUGAAUUAUGCCAAAACUCAAAAUCAAAUAAGAGAAAUCGGAAACACACAAAGAUAUUUAAUAAAGAAAUUUAAAAAAAAACAUCAAACUUUAUAUUACAUAACUUGAAAAACAUACUUAUAAGGAGAAACGGAUAUAUAUAUAUAUAUAUAUAUGAUAUAAUUUGUCAUAUUCAAUAAUAAUAACGUAUGCGUUAAUAAAAAAUAUGAAUUUUUUAAGUGCACAUUUAUUAUUAAGUUACAUUAAAUAUUAUUUGACAAUAAUAUUAUAACAUUGAUACUAAUAUGUCCAACUUGAAAAUAUAUUUAAUUAAUAUUAAAACUAUAAUUUAUUUAAUUCAAAUGUAUUCAAUAAUAUAAAAUAAAUGGUGAUACAUGUAUAUUUUUUUUUUAAAUUUAUUUUUUAUACUAUCAUAUAUGAUAUAAAAAAAGACUAGUUAAGAAAAUUAUAAUGUUGAUUUUUAUAUUUUUAGUAAUUAAUUAAUUUAUUAAAAUAUUCUUUUAGUAUUUUGGUUUUAUCGAUGGAUUUUAAUAUCUUAAUGUUUGUGCAUAUAUACAAUCAAGGGUAGCUUUGCCUUGGUGGUUACCCAAGGUUAGUUUGAGCCUUUUGACUUGAGUUCAUUUUUGGGUUUGCUCAUGUUGACUAGCAAGAGAAGCAUCUUUUGAUUGCAUUAAUGGAUUGGAAAUAUCAAGAAAUUCCAAAAAAAGUUGGCAAAAAAAACGGGUAAAUGCCAAAGUAUCGAUGAUAUUUCCGAAAAAAUAACGAAAAAUCUUUCAUUUGAAAUUCCGAUGGUGGAUAUCGUGUCAACCCACAUCAUUCCACGAAAUAUCGAUGAUAUUUCGUUGAUAAAUCCCAAAAUUCAAACCUUGCUUCCACAUGCACGACAUAAUAAUGUAGUGUAUUAAUUUCUUCCUCCAUGAUAUAUGACCACGUUAAAUCCUUGUUUCUCAUUUUUUAUUUAUUUUUUGCUCCCUCAAUUAUGGAUAAGAUAUUUUAAUAAUAUGACAAGUUGAGCUUCAAAUCAAAUUGUUUAAAAAGCAAAUUUCAUUACAAGAUGACACAAACGAAAAAAAACUAGACCCCUCCUAACUAGUUCUAAGUGGACAACUUAGUUGAUUGCAAACCUCCAUUUAAUUCAUAACAAAUAUUCAUAUUUUUCUAAGUGGACAAUUUAGCUUAUUUCAAACUUCCAUUUAAUUCAUCUAAGUGGAUAACUUAGUUGAAGUUAAAUCUCCAUUUAAUUGAAAGUAAAUAUUCAUAUUUUGACGAGGAAUAACUUAGAAUAGUUACAAGUGAAAUAGUUAGUUGAUUUGAAGACUUCAACUAAUGCAUAAUAAACGUUUAUAUUCUCUGUUAGGUCCACAAGAAUUAGAAUAGUUCAAAGUGGACAAAGGAUAUUUCAAAUCUCCACCUAAUGUACAAUAAAUAUUCAUAUUUCUAAUACAUAAUAAAUAUUCAUAUUUUCUCGACAGCAUAGUUGAAUUUAAAUCUCCAUCUAUUGCACAAAAGAUAUUCAUAUGUUCUAAGUGGACAAGUUUGUUGAUUUGGCAUCUUCAUCUAAUUCAUAAUGAAUGUUUAUAUUUUCUAUCAGGCUACACGCAACUUAAAAUAAUACUAAGUAGGCAAGUUGGCUUAUUUGGAGUCUUGACCUAAUACAUAUUUUUUAUUAGGCCCAUGUGAUUUAAAAUAAUCCAAAGUGGACAACUUGUAGAAUACUUCUAAAUUGACAAGGAUUUAAUAUUACAAUACAAACAUUUACCAUUAUAAAAUUAAGUUGUAAAACAAAACUUAGUUAUCACUAUCUUAAUAAAUUAUCAAAUCAAGUUAGAUAAUAUAAUUAUCAAAGUAAAAAUAUCGAGAAAACUCUAAAUUUUAAUUUAUAAAAUUACAUAUCUCUUCCUUAAUACACUUGAAAUAUAAGUUAAUUAUCACUAUCUUGAUUAAUUAUCAAAUCAAGUAUAGAUGAUAUAAUUAUCAAAGUAAAAGCAUCGAGAAAACUAUAAAUUUUAAUUUAUAAGAGUACAUAUAUCUGUUAAUAUACCUAAAGCCUAUUUGAUAAUGAUUUUAGGAAGCACUUUUAACCUAAAAAAUAUUUAUAAAAAAAAAAAAUUAGGUGUUUGCCAAAAUAUAGAAAACAUUUUUAAAAGUCUAAAAAAAAUCUCUUAUAAUGUUGGAAAAUCACCUAUAGUAUUUUCUAAAGAAACACUUUAUAGGUGAUUAUUCUAAAAUAUUUUCAGAGAAAAUACUUCUACUAAAAAUACUUCAAAUAAAAACACUAUUAAACAUACUCUUAAGUCUUAAUAACAUACAAAAGUGUUCUCUACAACAAAUGAAAAUGAAAUUUGAUAUGUUUAUAAAGAAAAUCCAAUGUUAAUUUCAUCUUACAUUUUAAAUACAUAAAUAUCUUUACUUGAAAUCAAACUAGUUAACAUUCUUACUUAGCUAGGUUUCAACUUGAACAAUUAAUUGUGAGAGGUGCUUAUUAAUGAUGCUUGUUAGCUUUGCAUAUUUUUAUAAAUGUCUUUUAUUAAAAUUUUCAACUAUUUUACAAAGAAUAUGAACAAAUUAGGUGAUUUGAAUUUUUAUUAAUAUGAGCUUGCCCAUUUGGUUUUCUUCCCAAGUUUCACUUACAUCCUUGUGCUUUAUGUAAGAAGUAAUUCAUUGAUUAUAUCUUCUCAUCCAUUAAUUUUCUCUAAAAUAUUUGUAUGCUUCCAAAUUUCACAUGAUAAGAAAAAAGACAUCCAUUAUGCACCAUUUAAACCAAACCAAUAUUUUAAAUUAUGAAAACUUUGAAAUAUUAAUUUUUUUUUUCUUAUUUAGUGCUUAGGUUAUAUGUUUGGUUCCCAAAAAAUAUUAUGGAAAGAAAAAAAAAUUAAGAAAAUUUGUUUUCUCAUAUUUGAUUCCACCGUAAAAAAUGUAAAAGGAAAUAAAAUAUAAUUAAAAUUUAUAUACUUUUAAAUUAUUUAGUACUUAGAGUUAAAUAAAUAAAAUGAGUUUAAACAAGCAUAUACAAAUAAUUUAUAAUUGACUUUAAAGUUAUUUUUUUAUUUUCCUUUAAUAUUUCUUUCUUCUACUUUGAUUUGCAUUUCCCCUCAAAUUUUUUAAGAACCAAACAUAGCCUUAAUAAAUAAAAAGAAUUUGGCCAAUUCAUUUUUGUAAUAAAUUUAUUAUAUGGUUUUCUUUUAGUUGAAGUAAUAAAUGGUAUUUUGAUUUUACGAUGGACUUUAAUAUCUUAAUGUUUGUGCAUAUAUACAAUUAAGGGUAGAUUUGCCCUAGUGGUUGCCUAGGGUUAGUUUGAGCCUUUUGACCUAGUUCAUUUUUGGGUUUGAUUGUGUUGACUAGUAAGAGGAGUGCCCUUUGAUUGCAUUGAUGGGUUGAAAAUAUCAAGAAAUUCCCAAAAAAUGUUGGCAAAAAAACCAAUAAAUGUUAAAGUAUCGAUGAUAUUUUUGAAAAAAUAACAAAAAGUCUCUCAUUUAAGAUUUCAACGGUGGAUAUUGUGUCAACCCACGUCGUUGCACGAAAUAUCAGUGAUAUUUUAAUGAUAAAUCCCAAAAUUCAAACCUUGCUUCGACAUGCACGACAUAAUAAUGUGGUGUACUAAUUUCUUCCUCCCUAACAUAUGACCACAAUAAAUCCUUGUUUCUCAUUUAUGAUUUACUUUUUGCUCCCUCAAUUAUGCAUAAGAUAUUUUAAUAAUAUGAUAGUUGAGCUUGAAAUAAGAUUGUUUAAAAAACAAAAUUCAUUAAAAGAUGACACAAAACGAAAAAAAACUAGACCCCUCCUAGUGCACAACUUAGUUUAUUUCAAAUCUCCAUUUUAUUCAUAACAAAUAUUCAUAUUUUCUAGGUAGAUAAUUUAGCUUAUUUCAAAUCUCCAUUUAAUUCAUAAUAAAUAUUCAUAGUUUCUAAGUGGAUAACUUAGUUGAAGUUAAAUCUCCAUUUAAUUGAAAGUAAAUAUUCAUAUUUUUACGAGGAAUAACUUAGAAUAGUUACAAGUGGAAUAGUUAGUUGAUUUGGAGUCUUCAACUAAUGCAUAUAUAAUAAAUAUUUAAAUUCUUUGUUAGGUCCACACGACUUAGAAUAGUUCUAAGUGGACAAAGGGUAUUUCAAACCUCCACCUAAUGCACAAUAAAUAUUCAAUUUUUCUAAGAAGAUGUGUUAAAAUAAUUCUAAGUGAACAAAUUAGCUAAGUUGGAGUCUUCACCUAAUAAAUAAUAAAUAUUCAUAUUUUCUAGGCGGACAACAUAGUUGCAUUUGAAUCUCCAUCUUAUGCACAAUAAAUAUUCAUAUGUUCUAAAUGGACAAGUUUGCUAAUUUGGCAUCUUCAUCUAAUUCAUAAUGAAUAGUUAUAUUUUCUAUCAAGCUUAUUAGAAAUCUCAACCUGAUACAUAUUUUCUAUUAGGCCGGCCCAUGUGAUUUAAAAUAAUCCCAAGUGGACAACUUGUAGAAAUAAUUCUAAGUUGGCAAGGAUUUAAUAUUACAACACAAACAUUUACCAUUAUGAAAUUAAGUCAUAAAACAAAACUUAGUUAUCAUUAUCUUAAUAAAUUAUCAAAGCAAGUAUGGAUAACAUGAUUAUCAAAGUAAAAAUAGGGAGAAAACUAUGAAUUUUAAUUUAUAAGAGUUCAUAUCUCUUGCUUAAUAUACUUAAAAUCAAAGUUAUCAUUGUCUUAAUUAAUUAUCAAAUCAAGUAUAGAUGAUAUAAUUAUCAAAGUAAAAAUAUCAAGAAAAUUAUAAAUUUUAAUUUAUAAGGGUACAUAUAUCUAUUAGAGUCCAUUUGAUAGUGACAAUGAUUUUAGGAAUCGCUUUUACCGUAAAAAGUGUUUUUGGAAAAAAUUAGGUGUUUGAAAAAAUUUAAGAAACACUUUAAAAAAAUCUAAGAAAUAACUUGUAGUGUUGGAAAAUCACUUAAUGUUUUAUGGAGAAACAUUAUAAUUAUAUGUAGAAAAAAAAUAAUAGAGUUAUUGUGAACUGAUUUUUUAUCCAUAAAUUUUUUGUAUUAAUGGGUUCACUAUUUGAGUUUCAAAUACUUUUUAAAUAUUACUAGACUCAUUAUUGAAUCCAAUGCAUUAAGUCUUGUUUAAUUUGGAGUUUAUUUGCUUAGCGAAAAAAAUUUGAAAAAUAUAAUUCUAUAUAGAAGAAAAAGAUAGAGUCGUUCGAUACCAAUUUUUGUUCAUAAAUUUCUAGUACUAUUUGAGUUUUAAGUUAUCUUUAAAAUUAUUAAACUUAUUAAUGAAUCAAACACAUUAAGUCUUACUUAAUUUAGAAUUUAUUUGUCUAAUGAAAAAUUUUUCAAAAAUAUGAUUAUAAGUAAAGAAAAAACUAGACAAGUCAUAUGGUCUUCCUUUAAAUUGCAUUUACUUAUCUGAAUUUUUUUUUUAAUUUCUUAAAAAAAAUUCAUUAAAUAGAUAAAUUUCAAAUCAAAUUAUACUUGAUACAUAAAAUUGAUUAAUUUUCUAAAAUAAAUUGAAACUUAAAAAUUGAUUUAAUUAGCACUAAAAAUAUAGAACUUAAUAACAUUAGAAAGUCAUAAACCAAAAUUUAUUUUAAAUGACUUUAGUUAGUUUUUUCUUUAUAUAUAUAGCAAAUAAACUUCAAAUCAAGCAAGACUUGAUGUGUAAGAUUUAUUAACGAGUUUAGUAAUUUUUAGAAAUAAUUUAAAACUCAAAUAGUGAUCUUCCAACAAUUUAUGGACAAAUAUUGGUAUAGAACGACUCUAUUGUUUCUCUUCUACGUACAUAGAAUCAUAUUUUUCUGAUUUAUUUUCACUAGACAAAUAAAUUUCAAAUUAAAUAACACUUAAUAUAUUAGAUUCAUUACCAAAUACAUUAAUUUUUAAUUUAUAACUCAAACAAUAAUUCAAUUAAUACAAGAAAUUUAUAGAUAAAAAUUAGUCCAACUAUUAUUUCUUUUUUACAUAUGAUUAUAUUUUUAUAAAUUCUUUUAUUGGAUAAAUGAACUUUAAAUCAUGUGACACUUUGUAUUGAAUUUAAUAAUCUUUAAAAAUAAUUUAAAAUUUAAAAAAUUGAUCAAUUAAUUGCAAAUCAAAGCAAAAUAUUUUAGAAUACUUUGUUUCUAAUUGAGUUCUAAAUGUGUGUAUGCAAUAAGAAAUUUAAAAUAGUUUAAAAAAUAUUUUCAAAUCCAUUAGUUAUCCCAAACUUUUCUCAUCAUUUUUUAAAAGAAAAGAAAAUGAUUUUUUAAUGUUUGGUUUUCACAUGGAAGAAAUUGAAUAUAAUUAAAAUUAGUUCAAAACUUUUGUAUUUUCAAAUUAUUUAUUUUUUAUGUAGAAAAAUUAAAAUAAAUGAAAUGAAUUUAAAGAGCAUACUAAAUAAUUUAUUGAAUUUAAAACUAUUUUUAAUUUUCAUUCACUUUUUUUCCUCACAUUUUCUGUUAAAUUUAUAUGAGAAACACACAAAAUCUUAGUAUUUGCCUUUUUUUUUUUUGUUAGUUAAUGUUGUUUUCCCUUGUCUUUUUCCGAUGGUAUUUAAAAAUAAUAAAUUUGUUCCCUUUCCUCGGUAUUUUUCCAAAUUUCGGAUUCGUACGUUGGAAUAAUCAGCCUAAUGUCCAUCCACCCCUAUAAAGAUAUCUCUUACUUUGUUCCAUAUUCUCUCACAAUUCCCUCAGCUUCUCAUCUUGUACGUGCUGUAUUUUCUUCGCUUUCUGCUACUUUGAGUUGUUCCAAAAUGGCUGACCAAAUUCCAUUCGGUGUUGUGGAGCACAUUUUGACCAAGUUGGGGUCCAAGGCGUUUCAAGAAAUUGGAUCCAUGUAUGGUGUUCCAAAGGAGAUGACCAAGCUCAAGGACAACCUGGACGUCAUCAAAGGUGUACUUCUGGAUGCUGAGGAACAGCAGCAGCAGAAAACUCGUGGAAUAGAAGCUUGGGUCCAGAAGCUCAAAGGCGCCGUGUAUGACGCAGAUGACUUGCUGGAUGAUUAUGCAACCCAUUAUCUACAGCGAGGAGGAUUCGCAAGGCAGGUCAGUGACUUCUUCUCACCUGUAAAUCAAGUUGUUUUUCGCUUUAAGAUGAGUCAUAGACUCAAGGAUAUCAAUGAAAGGCUGGACGCUAUCGAAAAAAAAAUCCCCAUGUUAAAUCUCAUUCCACGGGACAUAGUACUACACACACGGGAAGAGAGGAGUGGGAGAGAAACCCACUCAUUCUUGUUGCCGUCUGAUAUUGUAGGAAGAGAAGAAAACAAAGAGGAGAUAAUAAGGAAGCUGUCAUCUAACAAUGAAGAAAUUCUUUCCGUUGUUGCCAUUGUUGGCUUUGGGGGAUUGGGUAAGACCACCCUCACUCAAUCGGUAUACAAUGACCAAAGAGUAAAACAUUUUCAGUAUAAGACAUGGGUUUGCAUUUCUGAUGAUUCUGGUGAUGGUCUUGACGUCAAACUGUGGGUCAAAAAGAUUUUAAAAUCUAUGGGAGUUCAGGAUGUGGAGAGUCUGACCUUGGAUGGUUUGAAAGACAAGCUUCACGAAAAAAUAAGUCAAAAGAAGUACUUGUUAGUACUUGAUGAUGUUUGGAACGAAAAUCCUGGAAAAUGGUAUGAACUGAAAAAAUUGUUGAUGGUUGGUGCUAGAGGAAGUAAAAUUAUAGUAACCACCCGAAAACUUAAUGUUGCAUCCAUUAUGGAAGAUAAGUCUCCCGUUAGUUUGAAAGGUCUAGGAGAAAAGGAGUCUUGGGCUUUAUUUUCAAAAUUUGCAUUUAGAGAACAGGAGAUUUUGAAGCCAGAAAUUGUAGAAAUUGGAGAAGAAAUUGCAAAAAUGUGCAAGGGAGUUCCUCUCGUUAUUAAGUCUUUAGCAAUGAUAUUGCAGUCUAAAAGAGAACCGGGGCAGUGGUUGUCUAUUAGAAACAAUAAAAAUUUGCUGUCACUUGGAGAUGAAAAUGAGAAUGUUCUAGGGGUGCUGAAAUUAAGUUAUGAUAAUUUGUCAACUCAUUUGAGACAAUGUUUUACAUAUUGUGCUUUAUUUCCAAAAGACUAUGAGAUUGAGAAAAAGUUGGUGGUACAUCUAUGGAUAGCACAAGGUUAUAUUCAAUCUUCAAAUGAUAAUAAUGAGCAAGUAGAGGAUAUAGGGGAUCAAUAUGUUGAGGAAUUAUUGUCAAGGUCAUUGUUGGAGAAGGCGGGAACCAAUCAUUUUAAAAUGCAUGACCUUAUACAUGAUCUUGCACAAUCAAUUGUAGGAUCUGAGAUCCUUGUUUUAAGAAGUGAUGUAAAUAACAUUCCAGAAGAAGCUCGUCAUGUAUCAUUGUUUGAAGAGAUAAAUCCUAUGAUAAAGGCUCUAAAGGGAAAACCCAUAAGAACCUUUCUUUGUAAAUAUUCUUAUAAAGAUAGUACAAUUGUAAAUUCAUUUUUUUCAUGUUUUAUGUGUUUACGUGCAUUGAGUUUAAGUUGUACGGGUAUAAAGGAGGUGCCAGGGCAUUUAGGCAAAUUGAGUCAUUUAAGGUAUCUUGAUCUUUCCUACAAUGAGUUUAAGGUACUUCCGAAUGCUAUUACAAGGUUAAAGAAUUUGCAAACACUAAAACUCACCAGCUGUAAGAGAUUAAAAGGAAUUCCAGACAAUAUAGGAGAAUUGAUCAAUCUUAGACACUUGGAGAAUGAUAGUUGUUAUAACUUGGCUCAUAUGCCACAUGGAAUCGGCAAGUUGACUUUACUUCGAAGUCUACCAUUGUUUGUGGUUGGGAAUGACAUAGGGUUAAGGAAUCACAAAAUUGGUAGCUUGAGUGAAUUGAAAGGCCUUAACCAACUAGGAGGAGGGUUAUGCAUAAGUAAUCUUCAAAACGUGAGGGAUGUUGAACUGGUAUCCAGGGGGGAAAUUUUGAAAGGAAAACAAUAUCUUCAGUCCUUGAGAUUGGAAUGGAAUCGGCGGGGCCAAGAUGGGGAGUAUGAGGGUGAUAAGUCAGUGAUGGAAGGCCUUCAACCACACCGACACCUAAAGGAUAUCUUUAUAGAAGGUUAUGGAGGUACGGAGUUUCCAAGUUGGAUGAUGAAUGAUGGGUUGGGUUCCCUGUUUCCCUACCUAAUUGAAAUUGAAAUUUGGGAAUGUUCAAGAUGCAAAAUUCUGCCACCCUUUUCUGAACUCCCUUCUCUCAAGUCUUUGAAGCUUGAUGAUAUGAAAGAAGCGGUGGAGUUAAAGGAGGGUUCAUUAACAACGCCACUCUUCCCAUCUCUUGAAUCGCUCAAACUCUGUUCCAUGCCAAAGUUGAAGGAAUUGUGGAGGAUGGACUUACUAGCAGAGGAGGGUCCUUCAUUUUCUCAUCUUUCGAAGUUAUAUAUUUAUAAAUGCUCUAGUUUGGCAUCACUGCAUCCGUCUCCUUCUCUUUCUCAAUUAGUGAUCAGAAAUUGCCAUAACUUGGCAUCACUGCAUCCUUCUCCUUCUCUUUCUCAAUUAGAGAUCGGACAUUGCCGUAACUUGGCUUCCUUGGAACUGCAUUCAUCUCCUUGUCUUUCAAAAUUAGAGAUCAUAUAUUGCCAUAGCUUGGCAUCCUUGGAACUGCAUUCAUCUCCUUGUCUUUCAAAAUUAAAGAUCAGCUAUUGCCAUAACUUGGCAUCCUUGGAACUGCAUUCAUCUCCUUGUCUUUCAAAAUUAGAGGUCGGAAAUUGCGAUAAUUUGGCAUCCUUGGAACUGCAUUCUUCUCCUUCUCUUUCUCAAUUAGAGAUCGAAGCUUGCAGUAACUUGGCUUCCUUGGAACUGCAUUCAUCUCUCUCUCCUUCUCGAUUAAUGAUCCAUAGUUGCCCAAACUUGACAUCCAUGGAACUGCCGUCAUCUCUUUGUCUUUCUCAAUUAUAUAUCAGAAAUUGCCAUAAUUUGGCAUCCUUGGAACUGCAUUCUUCUCCUUCUCUUUCUCAAUUAAACAUCCAUGAUUGCCCAAACUUGACAUCCAUGGAACUGCGGUCAUCUCUUUGUCUUUCUGAUUUAGAAAUCAGUAAAUGCCCUAACUUGGCAUCCUUCAAAGUGGCUCCAUUACCUUCUCUUGAGACACUAUAUCUGUUCAGAGUUAGAUAUGGUGCGAUAUGGCAGAUAAUGUCUGUCUCUGCUUCUUCUUCGUUGAAGUCUCUGCAUAUUGGAAGCAUAGAUGAUAUGAUAUCUCUCCCGAAGGAGCUACUUCAACAUGUUUCUGGCUUGGUAACGUUAGAGAUCCGUGAGUGUCCUAACUUGGCAUCCUUGGAACUGCCGUCAUCUCCUUCUCUUUCUGGAUUAACGAUCCGUGAUUGCCCAAACUUGACAUCCAUGAAACUGCCGUCAUCUCUUUGUCUUUCUCAAUUAGAGAUCAUCGAUUGCCAUAACUUGGCAUCCUUGGAACUGCAUUCUUCUCCUUCUCUUUCUCAAUUAGUGAUCAGAAAUUGCCAUAACUUGGUAUCCUUGGAACUGCCGUCAUCCCAUUGUCUUUCUAAAUUAAAGAUCAUAAAAUGCCCUAACUUGGCAUCCUUCAAUACGGCAUCAUUACCUCGUCUUGAGGAACUAAGCCUGCGUGGAGUCAGAGCAGAGGUACUGAGGCAGUUCAUGUUUGUCUCUGCUUCUUCUUCAUUGAAGUCUCUGCGUAUACGGGAGAUUGAUGGUAUGAUAUCUCUCCCAGAGGAGACGCUUCAAUAUGUUUCCACUCUCGAAACUCUCUACAUUGUUAAGUGCUCUGGUUUGGCAACAUUACUACACUGGAUGGGCAGCCUUUCCUCGCUUACGGAACUUAUUAUUUAUGACUGCUCUGAAUUGACAUCACUGCCAGAAGAGAUCUAUUCCCUAAAAAAACUGCAGAAAUUUUAUUUCUGUGAUUAUCCACACCUACGGGAAAGAUACAACAAGGAAACAGGUAAAGACCGGGCCAAGAUUGCUCAUAUCCCACAUGUUCGUUUCUACCUUGAUUCCGAUAUGGAAUGGCAGGUAGGUCCGAAAUCCCUAACCUUUCUUCCCAUUUUUAUUAUUUAAGAAUCAAAAUGCUAUGUUUUCAUUUUGUCUCUGGUAGUUCUUUUAUGUUGGCACCUCAUAUGUUUGUUUAAAUGCUCACAUCAAUAACUUUUUGAAAAAUUUUCCAGAUUAACAUCAUUUGCUGAUGCUGUGCACUAAACUAAUCAUUUUACUUGGGAGUUGUACAUUCUAAGAGUUUGAGGAAAUAUUGAGGUCUGGUAUGAUAACUCUCAAUCCUUGGAACUGCAUUCAUCUCCUUCUCUUUCUCGAUUAACAAUCCAUGAUUGCCCAAACUUGGCAUCCUUCAAUGUGGCAUCAUUACCUCGUCUUGAGGAACUAAGCCUGCGUGGAGUCAGAGCAGAGGUACUGAGGCAGUUCAUGUUUGUCUCUGCUUCUUCUUCAUUGAAGUCUCUGUGUAUACGGGAGAUUGAUGGUAUGAUAUCUCCCAGAGGAGCCGCUUCAAUAUGUAUCCACUCUCGAAACUCUCUACAUUGUUAAGUGCUCUGGUUUGGCAACAUUACUACACUGGAUGGGCAGCCUUUCCUCGCUUAAGGAACUUAUGAUUUAUGAAUGCUCUGAAUUGACAUCACUGCCAGAAGAGAUCUGUUCCCUUAAAAAACUGCAGAAAUUUUAUUUCUGUGAUUAACCACACCUAGAGAAAAGAUACAACAAGGAAACAGGUAAAGACCGGGCCAAGAUUGAUCAUAUCCCACGUAUUAAUUUCCAAAGUGAUCGAGUUAUGGAAUAUAAGGUCCGAAAUCCCUAACCUUUCUUCCCAUUUUUAUUAUUUAAGAAUCAAAAUGCUAUGUUUUCAUUUUAUUAUUAUGUUUUCAUUGUAUCCCUGGCACCUCAUAUGUUUGUUUUUACUGCUCACAUUAAUAAUUUUGAAAUUUUUUUCCAGCUUGGAUACGCUUUCCGAUGAUGUGCACUAAACUAACAAUUUUACUUGGAGUUGUACAUUCUAAGAGUUUGAGGAAAUACUGAGGUCUGAUAUGAUAACUCUCAAUCUUAAACGUUGUUUUGUGUUUGGAACGUUACUACACUUGAUACAUACCCUCACCUCACUUACAGAGCUUGGAAAUCGUGGCUGCCUUGAAUCGACGUCACUGUCAGAAUAUAUGUUCCCUCAAAAACCUGCAGACACUAAAUAAUCUGCAUCUGUUCACAGAAAGAUGCUGAAAGGAAAGGUGAAGACCAACCCAAGAUUGCUCAUAUGCCACAAAUUGAUAUCAUACAUCCAUGAAGAUUGAACUGAUACACAAUGCCUUUCAGGUCUGAAAUCCCUAACUUUUCUUCUCAUUUUCUAUGACUUCAUUUUCAUUAUCUUACUUUUAAAAUGCUCUGUUUUCAUUUGUUUUGGUAGUUCUUUGUAUUUGUGCCUUACUUGUUUGAUUAAAUGCUUACAUCUUCAAAUUAUUUUAUUCUAAGUGUUUUGCAUUCUAAGAGUUUGAGGAAAUACUGAGCUCUAAUAUAACUAGUAGAGUCCACCAUUCCUAAGAAGCUUACCAUUUCCUAGUGCCCAAAGGAUCCCGAAAGGAGACAACUUUGGAUUGGCUUGAAGAUUUCCCAUGGUCCAAAAAUUUGUAUUUACUAGACGCUUGAUACAAAAAGUAGUUUAAAUUUAGCCAUUAAUAUAACUUUUUUAUUAGAGAAAUAAUUGCCAAACAAAUGCAAAAUAGAAAAUGGUGUUAAUGAAUUCAGUCCUUCAUCUAUAUUGCAGUUUAGCAGCUUUUGUUAGAUAACAGGUAUGGGGUUGGGUUUAUUAUGUUACCAUUCCAAAUAUUCUUAAAAAAAUCAUCAAGGCUUUGUUUGUUUUCUUGAAAAUUUGAAGGAAAAAAUAAAGAGAAAAAGUGGAAGGAAAAAAAAAAGUGGAAGUCAAUAAAUUAUUUUUAUAUUAUACUUUAAACUCAUUUCACUUUUUUUUAACUCUUUGAUUUAAAGAUUAAAUAAUUUGAAAAUGUAUAAAUUUAUAAUUAAUCUUAAUUAUAUUUGAUUUUCUUUGGUAUUUUCCAUAGGACAAUUAAACUUGAGAAAAUCAUUUUCCUUAACAUUAUUUUCUUAGUACUUUUCGGGAACCAAGCAUAACCUAAAUGUUCUAGUUUAGUUUAGCAGCUUCAUCAAAUUAGAUAGACAACCUCACAUCUCUUAUUCAGCUGAGGUGUUAUGUUAGUUAAUGUUUUGUCUCUGCUUCUUCAUUGAAGUCUGUCUAUUGGAUGCACAGAUGAUAUGAUCCAAACUUAAAUUGAACGUUGCUCUUGUUUUGCAACAUUACUGUACUAGAAAGGCAACUUGAACUCACUUAUAGACCUACCUAUUGGUGACUGCAUUGAAUUGACAUCACCUUAGAAGAGAUGUGUUCCACAUGGAAAAUCUUUCAUUAUAUGCACCUACUUGCAAGAUACCAAAAGGAAACGGGUGAAUACUUGCCCAAGAAUACAAAGGGCCACACUUGGUGAAGGUUUCAUCAGUAAGGAGAACCAUUUCAAGUAUGAAAUCCUCCAUUCUCAUUUUUUGAUGACUUCAUUUUUAUUCAAUAUCCAUUUGAAAUAAUUUAAGUUCAUUUUCUUUAGAUAUUAUAUUUUCUUGCUUGCUCAAUAAUUUCAUUCAAGUAAGUUGUUUGGAUAUCACAUUUUCUUUGGGUUUUUUUCUUUUUAGAAUAAUUUCAAAAUGUCAUUUUUUACUAUUCACAAAAUUUGAUCAUAGUUGAGUGAUUAAAAUUCAAGUUUAUUCUUAUUAUCAUUAGUAGUUAUUUGAUAUAUUUGUUUGCUAAUACAAAAAUAAGACUAACAAGUAAUGUGCAUAGAGUUUGUAGAAGAGAAGAAAGAUUUGAUCCAAGAUAUUCCUAAAGAUCGGAAACUUUCAAAGCCACCCAAGAUCCCACAGGUUGAAUUCAGAUUCAUUCAGUUUACAAUCCAUUAAUUCUACUUAUAUCAUCUUUGUUAUGUUACAAUUUGCCUUUACUUGUUAUGCAGCCUACCUUAAUAAUUUGGGGAGACCAAGAUAAGGUAUUCCUAGUAGAAUUGGCUCACAAAUUGAAAAGGUAAACUUGUAUCACCUACCUACAUACCUACAACAAUACAAACACUAGCUCAUGUCUUUCUCACUAUUGAAAUUGUUAUUGCAUGCAGACAUUUCAGGUGAGGAGGCCCAACUUGUGAUCAUAGAGCAUACUUUUAUUAUAGAGAAGCCCAAGGAAAUAUUUAAGCACUUGAAAUCCUUUCUCAUUGAUUUGCUUCCACCUCCCAAGCAACACCUAGAACCACUCGCACCAUGACGAAGUUAAAAGGAACUAAUGCAACAUUCUCAAUAUAUUAGAAUAUAUCGAAGGAAGGGUGGCCACAUAUGAAGACCCUAUUCCAAGGUCAAAUUUUAGAUUUUUGUGUUUUUCUUAUCACUAUUCCUAUACUAUUACUAGUGCACCUUAUUUGUCAAGAUGAUUAAAAGGGAAUUCCCUAGGAUAACUAGUGUCUCAAGUGAUCUUGAGGUUCAUAAAUUUUUGGUUUCCAUAAGAUAGGUGCCAACUAUUUUUAUUUUUUUUACACCCAUGCAAUAUUCCGGUCAUCUAUUAACAAAGGCUAAAAUUUCUUGUAGAGAAUAGAAUAAAGAACUAAAUUACAUGCAAAUAGGACAUUAUUAUUCUAUUUACAAGUAAGGGCCAAAAAUUAUUGAGGGCCAUCAAGCACAUUGUUCCUAAAAUAAUAGCAUCCAUGUUGUUGAGCAAAAGUUUUUUUAUAUUGGCACCUCAUAUGUUUGUUUAAAUGCUCACAUCAAUAACUUUGAAAAUAUUUUCCAGAUUUUCAACAAAUUGUAAUGUUGUGCACUAAAUUAAUCAUUUUACUUGGAGUUCUACAUUCUAAGAGUUUGAGAAAAAACUAAGGUCUGAUAUGACAACUCUCAAUCUUAAAUGUUGUUUUGUGUUUGGAAUAUUACUGCACUUGAUAGAUGCCCUUACCUCUGUUACAGAACUUGGAAUUCAUGGCUACCCUGAAUUGACAUCCCUACCAGAAGAUAUGUUCCCUUAAAAGCUUGCAGACACUAAACAAUUUGCAGCUGUUCACACUUAGAGGAAAGUUGCUGAAAGGAAAAGUGAAGACUAACCAAAGAUUGCUCAUAUCCCACAAAUUGAUAUCAUACAUCCAUGAAGAUUGAACUGAUACAGAAUGUCUUUUAGGUCCGAAAUCCCUAACUUUUCUUCUUAUUUUCUAUGACUUCAUUUUUAUUAUCUUACAUUCAAAAAUCUUCUGUUUUCAUUUGUUUUGGUAGUUCUUUUUAUUUGCACCUUAUUUGUUUUAUUAAAUGCUUACUCCAGUAAGUUUGAAAAUUUUUACAUCUUCAAAUCAUUUUGCUUGAGUGUUUUGCAUUCUAAGAGUUUGAGGAAAUACUGAGCUCUAAUAUAAAUAGUAUUGGUCAUAGAGUCUUCCUUUCUUAAGAAGCUUACCAUUGACCUAAUGGCCAAAGGAUCCCAAAAGGAAACGACUUUGGGUUGGCUUGAAAAUUUCACAUGGUCCAAACAUUCAUAUUUACUAGAUGCCUGAUAUAAAAGAACUUUUGUUCUCUUUUCAAUUUAGCCAUUGAUGUAGUCUAAAUGUUUUAUUAGAGCAAUAAUUGUCGAGUAAAUGCAAAAUAGAGAAUGGUGUUAAUGAAUUCAGUACUUCAUCUAUGUUGUAGACUUGUAGUUUAGCAGCUUCUGCUGAUAAUGAGUGUGGGGUUGGCUUUAUCAUGUCACUGUUCCAAAUAUUCUUUAAAAAAUCAUUUAAGCUCUGUUUGGUUCUUAGAAAAUUUGAGGGAAAAUGUGAGGAAAACAAAAUAGAGAGGAAAAGUGGAAGGAAAAAAAAAGUGAAAGUCAAUAAAUUAUUUUUGUAUGCUACUUCAAACUCACUGCACUCUUUUUAACUCUUUAAUAUAAAAAUUAAAUCAUUUGAAAAAUGUAUAAAUUUCUAAUUAAUUUUAAUUAUAUUUGAUUUUCUUUGGUAUUUUCCAAAAGACAACCAAAUAUGAGAAAAUCAUUUUCCUUAACAUUUUUUUUCUUAGUACUUUUAGGGAACCAAACAUAACCUAAAUGUUUUAGUUUAGUAGUUUCAUCAAAUUAGAUAGAUAACCUCACAUCUCUUAGUGAGCUGAGGUGCUAUGUUAAUUAAUGUUUUGUCUCUACUUCUUCAUUGAAGUCUCUAUCUAUUGGACGCACAGAUGAUAUGAUCCAAACUCAAAUUGAACACUACUCUUGUUUUGCAACAUUACUUUACUCAAUAAUUUCAUUCAAGUUCUUUGGAUAUCGCAUUUUCUUUGGUGUUUUUUUUAGAAUAAUUCAAAAUGUCUUUUUUAACGGUUCACAAAAUUUGAUUACAGUUGAGUGAUUAAAAUUCAAGUUUAUUAUUAUUAUUAUUAUUAUUAUUAUUAUUAUUAUUAUUAUUAUUAUUAUUAUUAUUGGUUAUUUGAUAUAUUUUUUUUCUAAUAGAGACAAAAGACUGGCAGCUAAUGUGCAUAGAAUUUGUAGAAGAGAAUAAAGAUUUGAUCUAAGCUAUUCUUAAAGACCAGAAACUUUUAGAGCUACCCAAGAUCUCACAGGUUGAAUUUUGAUUCACCUAGUUUACAAUCCACUAAUUAUCCUUAUAUCAUUUUUGUUAUGUUACAAAUUGCCUUUACUUAUUAUGCAACUUGUCUUAAUAAUUUGGGAAGACCAAGAUAAGGUCUUCCUAGUAGAACUGGCUUACAAAUUGAAACGGUAAACUCAUAUCACCUAUCUACAUGCCCACAACAAUAUAAACACUAGCUCAUGUGUUCCUCACUAUUGAGAUUGUUGUUGCAUGCAGGCAUUUUGGGCGAGGAGGCUCGACUUGUGAUCAUCAAUAACACAAGGCAUGUUUUUAUACAGAGAAGCCCAAAGAAACUUUUAAGCAUUUUGUUAGCCCAAGGGUUCUCCUAAUCAGGUUUUGAUGAUAACAAACCAUGGUUAAGUGACUAAUUGGUUUGAAUGGUAAAGAAUCUUAGGUAUAAAUUUGGAAAUUCAUCAAAUGACCAAAUGGAUACAAGAUCGAGACUUUUGGAAGACUUUUGAUUAUAGGAAACAAAUGUAAGAUGAAUGCAUGGGUGCACUUAGGUUUUACAUAUCUUUUUAUGCAUCUUUGAAAACUCGGUUUAUUCCUUAAAAUUACGAUUUCAUUAAAACCCAGGUUUUAUCAAAUGUAUCUUAGGCAAAACGUUUCAAAAUUGGCAUAUCAAUUUACCUAAAGACCUUGCCUAAGUGUUAGAAAGGAAAAGAAUUGAAAAAUAUAGGUUUUCGGGGCUAAAAGACUGAACCGAUCGAGGCACAGUCAAUCGGCUCAACCAACCAGGGAACCGAACGAUCGGUUGCUCUUGUCCGACCGAGAUCUGGUCGAGGAGUGUCAAAAACACACUCUCUCAUCCAGUAGCCUUCUCUUCCCAGUCGAGGUACUCUCCUUCCCGAUCGACCUCUAGUCGAGGUUCAGUCGAGGCAACGGUAACCUACCAAAGCAUUAAAUGCUCCAACGGCUAGUGAACCAAUCGACCCCCAGCUCGACCGGUUAAGGCUGUUUUUUGCUUUUUUUGGCUCCCAAGCUUAGAAACCUAUAAAUUGAGAGCUCCACUUCAUUUAUGACAUAAAGAACACUUGCAAUCAAUUUUCUACCCACUUGUUCUUGCCUUAAAAGCUCUCAUUUAUUUCUUAGUGCAUUAAAUCCUCACUUGCAUAUCCUUUAGUGCACCCUUGUGAAUCAUCCUAGCUUUGAUUUGUAUUUGAGCUAUCAUUGAGCUAGAUUGAGGGCUUCAUUCUUGUAAAAAUUGAGUGUUAAAGCCUUCAAGAGGUUUGAAUCUUGAAGAGAUUAUGUAAGAGCCCAUUGGAGCCAGAAUCCAAGUUUAAAGGAGAUUGGAAGCUUUGUUGAAGCUUCAAGUUAGUGGAACCCUCACUCGGUUAGGAGAUUGAGGAGAGUGGACGUAGGCAAGGAAAUGUCGAACCACUAUAAAAUCCGAGUGUAAAUUUUCUAACUCUAUCUCUUUAUUUUUUAUUAUAUUGUGAUUGAAUUUGUUGUGUUGAAAAAGUUUUUGAAAAACCCAAUUCACCCCCCUAUUAGGUGUUUUUCUCAUUAAUUUGCUUCCACCUCAUAAGCAACCCUCAGAACCACUUACACCAUGACAAGGUGAAAAGAAACUAAUGCAACAUUCUCAAUAUAUCAGAAGAUAUCAAAGGAAGGUUGGCCACAUAUGAGGACCCUGUUUCUAAGGUAGAAUUUUAGAUUUUUGUGUUUUUCUUGUCACUGUUUCUAUACCAUUACUAGUGCACCUUAUUUUUCAAGGUGAUUAAAAGGGAAUUCCCUAGGAUAACUAAUGUCUCAGAUAAUCUUGAGGUUCACAAAUUUUUGGUUUCAACAAAAUAGACGUCAAACCAUUUUUAUUUUUUUCUACACCCAUGCAAUAUUCCAUUCAUUUAUUAAUAAGGACUAAAAUUUCUUGUAGAGAAUGGAAUAAAGAACUAGAUUAAAUGAAAUAAGACAUUAUUAGUCUAUUUACAAGUAAGGGCAAAAAAUUCUUAAGGGUCAUUAAGCACACUGUUCCUAAAAUAAUAACAUCCAUGUCAUUGAAGUUUAUUGCAAUUACAUUAGCAUAUAAAACAAAACUAUUUUUUUUUUCUUUAUGUUCACACCUUAUCCAUUUGAUAAAAUGCUUAAACAAGUAAGUUUGAAUUUUUUUUUUUUUUUUUUUUGUUUUCAAAUCAAUUUAAAUUUUACAUUCAAAAGUUGAAUUAUUAUUAUUUUUUUUGGAAAAUUUAACCGCACUUUAGAAGUUUGUGAUUAUUCUUUGGUCCAUCUUAAAAUGAGUUCCUGCAUUCUUCCAUUCCUCAAAUUAAAAUCACAAUAAAAAGUUUUAGAUUGACCUAAAAUUUUCUCAUGGCUUAGAAAUUCAUAUCUACUAGAUGGCUAAAGCAAAAAACACUUUUGCCUUGUAUUUUAAGUAAUCCUUGCCUGCUAUUUGUUUAUUGAGAGCAUCAUACAAGUUGUGAUUAUAUUUCUUAAUUUUUUUAUAUGAUAAGACAGUAAUUGGAUUGAGAAAGAUGCAACUUGUGGAGCAGAAAAUUUCUUAACUACUUCCCUUGUAUUUGCUUUGUGUGUAUCAACUGUUCUAUUAAUUAUUUUUUAAAAAUAUCACUAAAACAAACCUAUUAUGUCAGUGCUCUCUAUUGUUAUGUAUCAUAAUUUAGCUAUUUUUUCCCUAGAAAUCAUGCUUGUUAUUGUGUUAAUCAGUAGGUAGCAUAAGAACUAUUUUGUUCAAGUUAUUUUGUAUUGGCAUUCUUCAUGUUUCAAAAUAUUGUCAGACUAGCAAUUUUACUGCAGAUAUAAUGUUCUCAAAUCAAUGCAAAAAUGGACGAUUGUGGGUCUUGGGCACAACCUUCCUUGAAGAGUUGAAUUGAGGGUUUCUAUAAACUAGGUCUCUAUAUCAAUAGAUUCUACAUUUCAUCACUAUGGAGACCUUACAAUAAAUAUCGCAAAAAGCUUCAUUUACUACAUAGUAAGGAUAAUCCUAAGGACUUAAAAGUUUGAGUUGUCUCUUCCAUGGCAGCUUCAGAUCUCUUAAUGAGCUCCCAGUCAUUGCCUACCUUGAAUAUAAAUCACUGCUAGAAGUAUGUGCCCUCAACAUUCCCAUGUUCCCGAUAUUGACUAGAUAUUUGUUGCUAAUUCAUGAAGAAUUGAAGGGAUCUUUGAUAAUGACAUCUAUAAUGUACUUCAAGUUCAUGAUCCAAACUCUCUUCUUGCUUUCAAUAACUUCAUUUUUUUUUAUAUUACUUUAUGGUCAAUGUUAUAAGAAUGUUGUAUUUUGUUUACCUGAUUCUCAUCCAUCAGCACACAGGAAAGGAAAAGUUUUACAUUGCUUUCCUUCCCUUUGCUCUGUGUUUAUAUAUGUUUAUGCAGCUAAUGUGAACUUCCACCAUAACUUUUUAAGUUUUUUUCAUUCUCGAGUUUGGGAAACAACUAGAUUUGAUUGUAAUAUUUUCUUGUAGAUAUCACCUUUCUUAAAAAGCUUGCAUUUAUUCACAUUUUCAAGAUGACUAAGUCAUCUGAUUAUGCUUAGAACUAUUGGUUUCUAUUAAAUUCAGGUAUGAUGUUUGCAAUUUUAAGCCUCUUACUCCUCUUGAAGACUACAUAAGUUUCUAGUGCUUUUACUUUAAUGGUUAUGGUCAAUGUAUCCUCUUGUUACUUCCUGUUUGCAUUCUAUAUGUUCAAGAGCUUUAUUAAAGUAAUUAUUUUAUUGAAGAUAUAAUUGUUUUCAAGUCAAAGAAAAAUUGAAUAAUGACGUGGUUUCAACAACUUCUCAAAAGUAAUUGGAAAGUAAGGAACUUUGUGGUAGUAUUCUGAUAUCACAUUGGGCUUUCAAAUCGUUGUCUUGAAUUGACAUAAAUAACAUAAUUUCUUUUCUAGUUGAGCUACUUCAACAUGUUAUUAUGCUUCAUACUCUUUCAAUUAUGUUUUGUUUAGGUUUGGAAACAUUAGUACAUUAGAUAUGUUGCCUCGAGUUACUUACACGACAUAAAAUUCAUCUUUGUUGUUAACUGGCAUCACUACCACAAGAUGAGUUCCCUCAGCAUUCUACAGACAACUAUAAUUUGGGACAAUUCUGGUUUGGCAACAUUAUCGGAGUUGAUAGACAACCUAUCUUCAUUAACAAAAACCUUUAAAUUUAUAUUUAUCCCGAACUAGCAUCACUGUUGGAAGACGUGCAUCCUUAACACCCUAUAACCACUCAUAAUUGGAGACUGUUAUGGUUUGUAAACAUUCAACAAACUUGAUAGGUAACCUUGCACCACUUACAGAGCUUCAAAUUCAUGGCUAUCUUGAAUUGACAUCACUUUCAAACUAGAUGGUUCAUCCAAACCUCAAUUAACACCCACAAUUCAGGACUUCUCCAUUUUGGCAAUGAUAGCAUAUUUGAUAAGCAUCCCUACUUCACUUACAUACACUAAAAUUGAUAGCUACCUUAGAUUCACAUCAUUAUCACAAGAGAUUGGUUCCUUCAUAUCCCUGCAGACACUUGUGAUCUUUUAUCGUCCAUGUAUAUUAGAAAGACUUAAAAGGGAAAUAAGUGAAGAUUGGCCCAAUAAUCUUCAGUCCUAGAUAUUCAUAUUUGGUGAAGAUUGGACUAAUAUAGAGUUAGUUUAGGUUUGAAAUCCCAAUCUUUCUUCUCAUUUUUUAUGGUUUUGUUUUUAUCAAUAUGCUCUGUUUACAUUCUAUAUGGUAAUUUUUGUAUGUAUUAGCAUAUAAAUAAAAAAGGACUUAGAUGAUUAAUUUGAAAAGUUUGCAUCCUCAAUUAAUUAGUAAUUAAAGACCAAACUGAUCAUAUUACUUUAAGUCUUGCAUUGUAAGAGUUUGGGAAAAUGUUAGGGUUGACUGAACUACUAUUUUAUAAUAGAUUUUGCCUUACUCAAGAAUCUUGUGAUUAUCCCUUGGCACAAUCAUUUCUCGUGUCUAAGAAAUUCAUAUCUACUACAUGACCAAAGAAUUUAGUAGCAUUCAAAAUUUCUGUUUUCUUUCAAGUCAGGUGUAUUGCUUGCAAUUCUAACAUGUUUCCUAUUUUGAACGUUGUAUUGUUAUUUUACUAUCAAUGUGUUAAGAGCAUUAUACUCUAUUUUCUAUAAUGUUGUUUACUUGUCAUAUGUAUUAAUUAUUUUAUUGCAAAUGUACUUGUUGCCAAGUUAAAGCAAAAUAGGAAAGUGAGGAUUUUUCAUGGACCAAUGCCUCUCUCAGUUGCUGCCACACUUUACUUCUCUCUAAGUUGUUGAAAAUUUAGAAGUGUGGUAGCAUAAAGUAUUCAACUCAAGUGCUUUAGUGCCUCACUACCCUUGAAGCUUUAGAAGUUGUCAAUACAAUUGGGGUUUCAACAUGUAACCAUUUUGGAAAUUCUAAGAAGUGUAAGUAUUAUGGUUUUGCAACUUUAUUCUACUAUAUAGGCAACUUCAAAUUGCUAAAUGCCCUGAAUUAAAAUCACUACUAGAAGGAACCCAUGAGACUAUAGAAACUCAUAAUCUACUACUCUUGCCACUUAUUAAGAAUGCUAAAAGGAAAAAGUGAAGAUUGGCCUGAGCAUGAUUGAUUAAUAAACCACACAUGGUCUCUUUAAUUCAAGUGUGUCAUAUGUUAUAUGUUUCAUGUCAGUAAUCCUACAUUUCUCUUGUUUCUAUUGGCUCUAUUUUUUUUGAAUUAUUUUACAAUCAAUCUUCUAACAAUGUUCUACUUUUUUUACAAUUUUUUAUUAUUCUAAAAUGAAUUAAGACAUAUAAAGAAAAAAAUCACCUUGUUUGAUUUUCAUAUACUAUAUGCUUAAAUGUACAUGUUUUUUUUUUUCAUAUGUAAUAAGAUACCAACAAAUUGAGUGAGGAGCACAUCUUACUAAGUCGCUUGUCAAUCUAUUCACCUUCCUAAUCUCAAGAUUCUUCAUGUUUGAAUUAAAAUACCAUGAAGUACAAAAACAAAAAAUGAUGAAAAGUAUUUCUCAUCAUCUUUAUUUUUAUUAGAAGGCAAUUUGUAGCAUCCUCUUUCCCAUUCCUAAAAAAUACUACAGCUUUGUAGGUUGAGAAAUUAGACAUGUUUUCUUAAAUGAUCUUCUUGGUCCAUGCAUGCUUAUAUUUGGAAGAUUUUUAAACCAAGUAUUUUAUGACAUAUAUGAUAGCUUUCAAGUUAAUGCAUAAAUGGUGAUGGUUAGGAUGCAAAAUAUAGUCUAUGCUCAACCUAUUUAUUGACAAACUACCAAGGGCUAAUGCUAAGGUAAACACCCAGCACUUGCAUCAUACUCGCUCUUCUCUGCCCUCUUUAUUUGUUUUCCAAAGUUCAUAUAUAAUGUCUUUAUCAUUCAAUUUUUCAUUUUCAACCACUUUUUAAACUUUUGUCUUUUUAUGGUUUAUUACACGACGAUCCAUUUCUAAGAAAUUGUUGUACUCUAUUUAUAAAUCUUAUCUUUUUGUUCUUAUAGACAAUAGAACAACGUGGUAAUUGCAUGACAUACAAUUUGUAAUAGAUGUUCAACUAUAUAUUAGGUAAUCUUUAAUUGCCUUGGAGUUGAAACGUUUGAUGUUGAUAAGGUUUGAUAAUUCUCGCUUUGGUGCUUUGUUGGAUUUCAAUUUAGGUAAUUAAUUGAUCUUGUUAUGAUUCUUUGAUUGUUAUUAUAACUAUUGUGAUAAUCAUUCUUAUUUUAUCGUGGUAAUUGACUUCACUGACUUUUUAACAAUUAUAUCAUGAGUGAAAUGCCCAACCUAUUAUUGUUAGUAUUCCAUUAACAUACCUCUAAUGCCACCACUAAUAAACAUCAUGUAUUAAUAUUUAUAACACGUUUCAUUACUGAAAUAAUUUAAUAUUUUCAAAUUUCUUUUUAGAGUGUGAGAAAUAACCAUUAAUCUUUACAACAGCAUAAGUAUCAUUGAUUUGAUAUUGCUUUCUUGAGUAAUUUGGCAAUUUAAUUAUGAAGUUUAGUUGGACAUUACUUGAGAUUCAUGUCUUAUGUAUAUGAUCUAUUUUCCAAGCUUCAAUUAUAUUUAGUAGACUUGUAAGUGGUGUUUGUCUUUGAGUUUCAACUCUUGAAAACUACUAUUGGAGCCUAAGUUCACUUUCAGUAAGGAAAAAAAAAAAAAAUCAACCUUUUCCUCAAUUGUGUAAUUUUAUUCACUAUUGACAUGCCCUUAAAUGGCAUUGCUAUUAUUUGUAGGGAACAUUGUCAAGUUCUAUAUUUGUCUAGAAAGUUAGAAGAAGUAUUUAAUUUGAUAUGGUUUGGACAUCUUGCUACUAUCUUUUUAAAUUAGUUAUCAAUAAUUUUUCAAAGUUGACCUUUUUGUUUAUCUCAUACUCCUUUUAUAUUAAAAGGUACCGCAUGGGUAUUGUGUAGAGGAAUCAUGCCUUCUUUAAUUGAGGUGAGCCUCUUGCAAAAUAUUUCAAGUUUGCUCUCAUUCCAUUUGUUACUUCAUGUCUAUUUUUUUGUAAUCAAUCAAGCAAGAGUUUCUUACUUGUACAAUGGUGAACUUGCUUGCAUGAAUAAUACUCUUUUUACUAUUUUUUUUCUUUCUUUAUUAUAUUCAUUGAUAUGCUUAGAAGUUAAUAGUGAAUCAGGUUUUUUGUUAAAAGAAAUCAAAUAUUGGUAAUUAUUUAGUAUGAUGUUUGUAAUAAUCAAUUAUUGAUUGUCAAGAUACUUGACUUAAUCAAUUAUUAUAUUGAAAUCAAUUUAGUACUAUGACUAAUACCAAAAGGAUAAUAUUUAGUCUUGUUUGACCAUUAGUCACUAUUCUAGAGACAAAUGCUCACAAGUUUUACAUCUUUGAAGCAUAUGAGAAAAGUUGGCUCAACUGUAUCACCAACUUACAAGCUCCUUAUAGUGUCCAUAUAUAUAACCUUCGUUGUUCAGGUUUAUGAUUCCUAUCUCAUUUUCUUUUUUCAUCUUUUUAUUGUUUAUAAUUUUUUAAUUGAUUUGUUUAUAAAUUUUUAAACUUUAUUAGCAAUACUAUUUUUUUUUUUUUUAUUCUCAUCUGCAAUAGAAUAAUAAGUUGAAUAAGAAGCAUAAACUACUUAAUUGGUAUAACCGUUUACUCAAUUCUCUUCUCAGAUAUUUUUGUUCAAGGUAAUCAAAGUAUCAUUCUUUUUAUUUUUAAAGGUACUUGAACUCAGUGAGGACCAUUCCCAAAACAAGCAAUAACUACAGUUGGAUUACUGAUAUCAUAUCCUUGAUUGACAUCUAUGCCAUUACAUUUGCAUCUAAAGGAUUUAUGAUGAAAAAAAUAUUUUCUUUAUUUCCAUUUUCCUUCCUUCUUUUGAUCAUAAUUUGUGUGCUUAUUGAUAGCAUUCAUACCCUAAUAUAUUUGCUAGCAUAUAUAUGCAUGUCACAAUCUAUUGAAUUUUUUAGCAUAAGGUCUUAGAGUAUUCACAUAUCUCUAGGUUCUAUAUAUUUAUAAUUUUUCAACAUCAAAUGAAGUAUAUGAACCUUAUCCUGAAGGUGAAGUCUCUUUAAAAGGAGUUUCAACAUGUUAGCAAUUACCUAACUUAAUAAUCUAACAAUUUGGCACUAUAUAUAAUUUUGCAACUCUUUCAUAAAGUAAUUGUGUUACCUUUAUUCACAUUUUCUAUCUUUAUUUAAAAAAAAAUGAAUUGGUAAUUGUGUGUCAAAUCUUGCUUACAAUCAUUAAUAGGUACUUAUAUGCUAAAUGGAUAAAGUUAUUUUACAAUUGUUUCAACAUAUUUGACACACAAGUACCUAUUAAUAAGUAUAUAUUUAUAGAUGUAAUCACUACCAAGCCAAUGCGAAAAGCUAUAACAAUGAGGAUUACAACGCUUCAAUUAUGUCUUGGAGAUUCAUAUUGAAAAGUUGUAAAUGGUGGGUGAAGUCUCUUUAAAAGGAGCUUCAACAUGUUAGCAGUUACCAAACUUAAGAAUAUAACAACUUGGCACAAUAUAUCAUUUUGCAACUUUUCAUAAAGUAAUUGUGUAACCUCUAUUCACAUGCUCUAUUUUUUAUUUUUUUUUAAAAAAAUUUGAAUUGGUAAUUGUGUGUUGAAUCAUUCUUACAAUAUUUAAUAGGUACUUAUACACUAAAUUGAUAAAGUUAUUUUACAAUUGUUUCAACAUGUUCUGAAAACAAAAAAGAUUUAUAAGUAUAUUUUUUUCUAGAUGUAAUCACUAGCAAGCCAAUGUGAAAAGCUAUAACAAUGAGGAUUACAAAACUUCAAUUAUGUUUUGGAGAUUCAUAUUGAAAGUUGUAGAUUAUGGAUGUAUAGUACAGGAGUUAGAUUGAGUUUAUCAUUCUAUCUUUGACAUCUUAGUUUUCUAUGUAUUGUCCAUCAUAUAUAUUUGUCAUCUAUUCUUUACAACCAAUUUUUUAAGGACUUCUAUGAUUUGUUUAAAUUUAUAUAUUUGUUUUUAUUUGUACUAGAACUUCACCAAGCUACAAAAGCAUCACAAGUUUUGCAAUUGGAGUUCAUGGAUCAGGUAUUUUAGUAGUUUUUGUACCUGAAAUUUUUUUAUGAUACUAAUGAGGAUGUUUACCUUGAUUAAUUUAACACUUAUAUUGCAAAUAUCUAUAUAGGAGUUCUAUACAUUUAUUUAAACAUUUAUAGACAUAUUUAUCCUCUUUCUAGCACAUUCUAAUGAUAUUUUUAACAUUGAUAUAAAUUGUUUGCUUGAAGGUUUCAACUAUUGAAAAAUUAUUAUUCAAGCCAAAUGUUAAUCUUUUUCUAUAGUGGAUUUCAAAUAAUAAAUUCUUAUUUGAUUAUUUGUAGGGAAAAUAAACAACUUCUAUGUUUGAUAAGAAAGAAGAUAGAGUAGAUCAAUUUCACAAUAUACGAAUGCUACGCUUUCUAUACUUUUAAAGAUGCUUACAAUUGGCUUUCUAUACUUAACAAGUACAUCUUAGCUAAAAGUGAAAAAAUGUUUCUCUUUGCACAUGCCUUCACUACUAUUUUAAUUGCUAUCUUAAUAUGUUAUGGAAAAACCACGACAAAUAACAAUAAUAAGGAGAAGAAAUAAAAGAACAAAAAUAUAAAACUUAUAAAGUAGGACGAUCUAUGUGGUUUGGCCUAAACCUACAUUUAUAUGUGAAAAUGAAGAAGAACUUCCACUAUUAUUAAAGGAGAUUAAAUUCCUAAAGCUUUCAAAUCUCAUGAUUACACUAAAAAUGGACUUUUUUUUUUCAAUCAAAAUCUCUUCCUUUAUUUUCUUGAUUAUAUAAGAAUAUUCCAUAGAGAAUUAAUUGUGUAAUUAUCAAAGAUAACUAUUCCUAAAAGAAAAAUCUUAUAAUAUGAUAUUUCCUUUAGAAUAAAAGAAAAAUCUCUUAUAUAAAUAUAUCAUAAUAGGAAAAUAUUAAAGACUUAUAAAUUGACUCAAAACAAUUUGAAAUAUUUUUCAACAAUCUCCACAUUGGCUCAAAUUCUCAAUAUUCAAAUAAACUCAAAAGUCUUCUAUGUUACUUUGCUCUUAUACACCCUUGAGGGGACUUCAAGUAAUGUCAAUACCAAUUAAGUCUAAGCAAUGCAUGAACUUAAUCAUAGAAAUAAGUUUAGCCAUCAUAUCUAUAACUUUAUCAACUAUAAUAAAGUGCUUUCUAACAUCAAUAUGUUUGGUGCUCUCAUGUAAUAUAUGAUUUUUAGUCAAAAGUAUGAGACUUGGCUACCAUGAUAACAAUAAUCAAUGAUUGGAAUCAAAUAAGUACAUUUUGUGUGCCUAAACUUAGGCAUUCAUAUUUAAUAUCCAAUUCUAGUUUCAUCCCUUUACUCAUUUUAUUCCUAAGUCCUUAAUUUUGGGUUUAAUGUAUUUUUUAAAUAUUUUCCUUCUUUUUUGGUAUAUUUAUAUCACAUUUUUGCUAGCCAUUAUAUUUUUCAUGUAUUGGUUGCUAAUUUUACACUCCAUAGUUGUCACAUCAUCCAACUAAUGGUUGUUACAUUAUCCAACUAUGGGCUACCACAUGCUCCAGCUACCUUAGCCUCCUUGCCAAGUAUUUUCCAUGCCAAAAAAAGAUUGACAACUAUUUCAAUUGGUUGGUAAAGUUGAGAAAAGCUUCCACCAACCUCGCCAUUAAGUUGUGCUCCUUGCUCCAAUUUCUAAUUUUGCUUCCUACCCUCUUGUGGAGUUAGUGUGGAAAUGACUUUAUACAAGGGAGAUGAAGGUUGGUUUUGUAAGGUAGUUUAUUUGUAAACUUGUAUUUCCUUUAUUCAGACGAUAGUUCUCAUUUCUUAGCCUUGAUUUUCAAUUUUGAUCCUCUUGUCUUGCCACUAUGAGUGGCCAACAUCCAAACCAAGGAAUAAUUUUUAAUAAAAUAUUAAUAUUAAUAUUCAAAUAAAAUCAUAUAUUUAUAUUCCUUAGCACAUUUAUAGGAAGAGAAAUAUUUGGGCACUAGGCCCAAUUCACUUUUUAUCAUAAAAAUAUGAAUAUUAAUAUCCUUAUCCUCAUAAAAGCAUAAUUAGCUUAUUUUCUAAAAAAUUGAUAAUAAUAAUAAUAAUAAUAAUAAUAAUAAUUACUAGUACGAUUUUAUUUUAAAUGGAUUUAAAAAUAAAUAAAGUUUAAUUUUUAAGGUAUACGUGCAUAAGUUUUUCAUUACAUAUACACAUUUAAUACUUAAUUAGUAAUAAUGUAUUCUAAAAUUUUUUUAUCUAGCCUAUAACUAAUUAAUCACUUUUUUGGAAUUCUAAAUUGUUCUUAAAAAUUAAAAUAUUCAUUAAAGAAUUGAAAGUGUUUAUUAUGUUUAACUUAAUUUAAAUUUAUUUAUCUAGUGAGAAAAUUCAUAAAAUAUAGUUUUAUGUAUAAAGGAAAUAGUAACGACUUUACAUUUAAUGAAUCUUUUAUUUUAUUUUGAUUCAUUUAAUAGUCUAUUAUCUUGUAGUGAUUAUAUAUAUAUAUAUAUAUAUUUAAAAUUUAUUAAACUCAUUAAUAAAUUCAAUACAAAGUUUUACUUAAUUUGAAACUCAUCUCUCUAGUGAAAAAAUUGAAAAAAUAUUAUUUUGUGAAAAAAAAUACAAUAAAAUCAUUUUAAACUAAUUUUUAUCCAUAGAUUUUUGUAUUUAUUAGUUUAUUAUUUAAUUUUUAAAUUAAUUUAAAAAAUUAUUAGACUUAUUAAUGAAUCCAAUACAUUAUUUUUUUUGUUUAAUUUAUUUAUCACACUAUCAAACAAACUUUUAUUAUUUAGUAAAAGACCUCUUAAAAGAUGUUUUUUUUUCUAAAUAAAAAUAAAAAUAAUAUUCUAAACGAUGUUUGAUUUGAGAGUUUUUUAAAAAUAAAAAUAAAAAUUAUUUUAAAUUAUGUGUACAUAAUUGUUGCAAAUUUAUUUCUUUUUCCAUUAUCAUUUUCAUUCUUACCUAACAUUGAAAUGGAAACAAAUAAUCAAUCAAACCUUACAUUUAUUCUUGAUGCCCUCUGUGAAAAAAAAAAGUGCAAAACAUUUAUUUUUUCUAAUCAUCAACCAUCCAUACAUAGAAAAACUACGUGUGAUCUUAAGCCAAAAAAGAUAUUGCAUCUAAUCAAAUUCAAUAGACAUGAUGAUAUCUAUACUAUUUUUUUUUUAAUUAUAUUCAUAUUUAUGUCAGAAAAUAAUUUUUUUAUUUUUAGAACAUUAAACUUUUUAAAAGUCCUUUCUAGGAUAUUUUCUAGCUUUUUCCUUUUGCUAAUUUUUGCUAUUCAAACAAAUCUUAAGAAAUGAAUCAAACCUGGACACAAUUGAAGAGUUUGGCAUCCUUGUUUUUAUAUUCCAAAGCAUAUAUAGAGAUUGGGGUAAAACAACUUGUACCUAAGAAAAAAAAAGGAAAAAAAACCACAACAAAAAAUUAACCAAAAAUCAGAAAAUUAACUAGAAUAAAAAAUCAAGAAAAUAUUUUUCUGGGUUAAUAAUUAAUUAUAAUGAAAUCAAAAUCAAAAGAAAAAAUACAUACUUCCUCCUGGCUUUGCUUACACUGAAAGCCAUGAAAGAAUUGGGAAAGUAGUAAAGAAUAAGAACAAGAACCACAUCCAUAUUCUGGGGAAAGCAAAUCCUCUGCUUUGCUGCCUUCUUCAGAUUGAAGGCAACUAUUAAACGGGUUGAGGGGUUAUGAGUUUGACUUGGUUGAGUUUGAAGCUACAAAAGUAAGAAGAAUGGUAGUAAUUUUGGAAGCAUUUCUAACUCUUCUAUAACUUGAAAGAUAAAAAAUUUUAAGUGUUAAAAAUGUUAAAAGAGCUUUUUAGAAUCACCCCCAAAUGUACUCUAAAUUAUUUAUGACUUGAUGUCACCUUCACACUCAUUUUCCAGUGUCAUUUAAUUUUGUUGUUCCCAUAUUGAAGAUUUAGGGUAAUGUAAUGUUCAAGCCUUCACAUUUUGCCUUCACAUUUUGCCUUCACUAACCUUUGAAUUUUAAUUAAAUUCUUUGAAGGAUAUUUGACCACUUCAUUGUCCAAAAAUGCUUAUAUUGCCAUUUUUUUUGUCUUUUUCUACAAUUCCAAUUUUACUAUUUUUCUUUUAUUUAUUCCUAUUAUUAUUUAGGCUAUUAUUUAUAAUAUUCUAAAUAUUAUAUUUAUAAUUGUUAAUAGUAUAAUUACUAUUUUUCAUUUAUUUGUCAUUUAUAUUGCUUAUCUUAUCUUUAUUCAUGUAUAAGACUCAAAAACUGCAAAAAGCAUUAAUAAGUAACAACUAAACUUCAAAGUGAUAAUAAAAUUCAACUACAUUGAUAUUACAAUAAUACAAAUGAAAUAUAUAGCAACCAGCCCUUAAAGGGGCUUUUAAGAGAUAAUGAGUCUACUUGAGAUUGAAAUUUAAAGUAGAAUCACCAUCUCUAUAGAUAAAUAUAAAGCCUAAAAAGAAUAGAACAUCACUAAAUAAUAUUAAUAAAGCAACAACUAGAUCAAUGGAUAGUGAAAAUAAAGGUUUACAAAAUGAGUCACAUAAGUAAGAACAACUAAAUUAAGAAAUGAAUUACAUGUCUGACAGAUCUAAUGAGGGAAAACAUUGGAUCUAGGUACCCAUGAUUGGCUCCUUGAAGUUGACCUACCUCCUCAAGAGGUACAUAGGAGUCCUUACUUGAAAAAUAUUAAAAUCUAUAGGGUGAACAUAAGAUCUAAUAAAUAGGCACGAUAUGCAAAUGUUAGGAUGGUUAGUCCAAGGUAAAAAAAUAGUUCUAAAACAUAUCACGUAAUAAUUUUGGUGUAUUAUGAGAGGAAAAUUGAUUUGUGAGAACUAUACUUUAUGAAUAGAAAUGUGAGGAAGAGUGAAAAACACUUAGUAGAGUAAGAGGGCUAACAGUUCAGGGUAGUCAUACAAGUAGUCAUACAAAGUGUGGGGAAAUAGAUGUAUCUAUUUUUGUCCCUUACAAUAUUUUUUAUUGUAUAGUGAAAUAUUAUCUUUCAAAUAUGGAAAUAAGCAUGGUUAGGUGUACCAUGUUAAAAUCUUAAGUAUUUGUUUUAUUUUGUGUUCUUCCAUUAAUAUAUUUCAAUAUUAGAGCUUCCAUUGACUCAACAAUUUAUUAUACUAUGAAUCGUCAUAAGUGAAUAUAUUUUUAUAUUAGAAUAAACCAUUUUCUUAAUUAUAAGUAUAUUUGAAUAUUUUACUAAACUAUUUUAAAAUAAAAAUAUAGUAAAAAAAAUUUAAUAUAUAUAAUAAUAACAUGAUAAAUAACAUAUCCCAAACCAAAUGCAACAUAAAUUUCUAAAUUGUCUCUUCUUCUUAGUUCUCUAUAAUAAUAUUGUCAUACCCAUUGUUUAAGCUAUAAAUUAACAUUUUAUGUUCUUUGAAACAUAUGUAUUACCAACUCAAUAUAAAUAGCUACGAAGACAUAUUUCUCAUUUUCCCAAUCAAAAAGCAUUGUGAGUUGAAACCUUUUUGUUUAGAAAGUUAACUUGCAAUGUUAAUAUUCUUUUUUUAUAUUAGCCCCCUAGGAAUGCCAUUGCCUUUCACCACACUUUUAGUUUUUUUUUGUUUUUUCAAUAUUCUUUUUUACUUCUACACUAGAAUUUAUGUAACUUCUUGUUUUUUAUUAUUAUUAUUAUUUUGCAAUAUUUUCUCUUAAGUCUACCUUACACUUCUUAUUACCUCUCAUAUAUAUAUAUAUUUGUCUUUUUCAAGUACUUGGUUGCUUCUCUAUUACAAUUCAUUAACUUCCUAUCCUUUUAUUUAUUUUUAUUUUUUGCAAAAUUCUUUCUUAAAAUACAUAAAUCCAUAGUUUUUAUUUUAAAAGUAUCAAGUAAAGAACAUAUACCUACUCAAACACCAUUGUAUAAUACCCCUAAAAUUUCCAAAAAUCCUUAAAAUUUCAUAAAUUCUCUGCAAACUUAUCCCUAAUUAGAUGCUAUUACAUUAAAUAUAUCUAAUUCACUCUAAACACAUGAUUGAUAAUAAUACAAAAAACUAAAACAAUAUUAAUAUGCAAUUUAUUAUUUUUCAACACACUGUAAUAGUUCCCAAAUAUUUUCAAACAUCAACUAACAAACCUAAAUUUAUUCACUCAAAAUACAUAAUUGAUAACAAUGGAGAACUAAAAAAAAAAUUAUAAAUAUAACAAUUUUAUACUUUGAAUACAAUUCAAUAAAUCCUAAAUUUUUAAAAACAUUUAACUAAUAAACUUAACCAUACUCAAAUAUUAUUGUAUAACAUCUAUAAAAAUUUCAAUAAUUUAUCAAAUGUGAAGACUACACUCACCGGUUUAGUAGAAUCACUUGCCUCUUCUAUUGGUAAUUGGGAUUUUUGUUCAGUAGCUUCGCUUUCCUUUGCUUCACUUUCUUUUGCUUCACUUUUUUCUUCUGUUCGCAAUUGGCAUUUUUGUUUUUUCGUCACUUUUUUUAAUCUUUUUAUAAAAUCACUCUUCAAUGAACUCAUUGUUUCCUUCGUGCUUGAAGAUACAAUAUGAGAUAACUUGAAAAAAACAGAAUAACAAUUUUUCUAAGGAUUCAGAAUGAAACAAAGGAUGAAAUGAUAGACGAGAAAUUUUCUAGGGUUCUUGAAGGAAAGAUGAGAUUUUCAUUUUGUGCAUUAAAGGAAGAUAAUGAAAUAGAAGAAGACGAUGAAAGAUGAAGACUCGUUCUAUAAAUGAAGCGAAAGAGGAUUAGAGUUUUCCUUUUUGUGCACCAAAGGAAGAUAAUGAAGUAGAAGAAAAUGAUGAGAAAUUUUUUUUGGAAAAUAUGAGGAGUCAUUCUGUAAAUGAAGCCGAAGAUGAGAAGGUGUAAGUGUUGGAGAGAAAAAAGAAGAAGGGCAUUUUUGUCUCAAUCAACAAUUUUGUUUUAUUUUUUAACCGGUGGGUUAUAUUUACAAAUAUGAGGGUUAUUUUGACCCCUUUAACCAAAUAGCCUUAUUUUUUUAUCGAGUUACAACUUUAAAUUAGGUGUAAAAAGAAAUUUUGAUAUGGUAGAUAUUGUACAGUUAUAUAUUGAAAUUCCAUGGUUCAUUAGAUAAACCAUCCUUGAAUUUCUUCGGUUUCAAUCAAGAUGAUAGAUCAUCCUUCCACAGAGUGUGACCUGAUAUGACAUUGAUUUUCUAGGGCUUCAAACACGAAGGGUGUCAAUGACUAAGAACUCCAUUUGAUUACCGAGAAAAUGAGGAAAAAACCCCUCAAAUAAAAUAUAAAUACAAUUCAGAAUUUCAAUUUUACUUUGUUAGGGACCCCAAAAAUGGGAAUAUUCACUUAACUAGCCUAAUCCAACCACCUACCUUAGUUCAAUUCAGUCCCCACUUUCUAGAGACCAAAACAAUAUAAACAUUCAUGUGUUUGGCUGCUCAGAAAGCAUAGGAUAAGCAAAGAAAAGGACGGUGCCUCCUCGAUCAAAUAGUCUUUUUUUUUUUUUCUUUUCUUGCAUUUUCUUUUUUCAGCAACCAAAUAGAACUUUUUAAUUGAGCAUUGUUGUAUACAAUUUAGAUUUCUUUCCCUCGGUUUCUCCGCAACCAAAUAGAAUUUUUCUCAAUUGAGCGAGGGUCUAGUAUAUCCUUUGUUUUCCUGUAACCAAACAGAACUUCCCUUGUUAUUUUUUUUAUCUUUUCUUUGAAUUUCUCAGAAACCCAACGGAGUUUACUUCUGGUGCAACCGUGCAAGAAAAUGGUUUUACCUGAUCGCAAUUCACUGGACUAGCCGAAGCAACAGAGGCUUAAGAAAAAAAGACUGAGCUUUGUUUGUUAGACCCCCUCUGUGAGUACGCAAAGUAAGAAGAAUUGAAGCUGAAAUUAGGCGGCUUCCAAACACGUCCUAGGAGUUGGUUUUAAAACCCAUUUUUCCCCUUUUUGGUUGCAAUCGGUCUGCAAAGAUGCCAUUAAAAGGUAACUACAGUUGGUUGCAUGAACAAGAAAAUGAAAAAAAAAAGUUAAAAUUAAUUAAAAUUCUAUGUAUUUUAAAAUUAUUUAAUAUUUACAUUGAAGAGUAAAAAUAAUUGCAAUAUAUUUAAAUAAACACAUAAAAAUAAUAAUUUAUUAAUUUUAAAUCUAUUUUUAAAAUUUUCAAAUUUUCAUUUAUUUUAUUCCCUCUAAGCUUUCUAACUAAGGUCAUAAUUUGGACAAAUUGUUGGGUUCAUAGUAGAUCUAAAUAAUCUAAUAGGGAUAAAUAAUUGAUUAAUUUAAGUUCAACCCAACCUCUAAGCUUUCUAACUAGGGUCAUAACUUGAACAAAUUGGAUGGUUAACAUACAACUUGGACAAAUUGGUGAGUUCAUAGCUAAUCUGAAAAAUUUAAUAGGGAUUAACAAAUAAUUAAUUUAAGUUUAGCCCAACCUCUAAAUAGAGGUAUUUAAUUCAAGCUCAACCAACUUCAUUUCUUUGAGCUCUGGUUGAUGAGGUUAAACUUGGGUUAACCCCUGAUUGUAUAAUUCAAAAUACAUAUAGAAUGUUUUUCAAUAAAAAAAAAUUAUGUACUUAUAUCAAAUUUUAAAUAGUAAGUAGGACAAAAUUUUAAAAUAACAAAAAAGAAAAAAAAACAAAAAUAAAAACAAAGUUAUGUAUCUUUUUUAAAAAGUGAAAAAAUAUAUUAUAUAAUAUAAUUUGAUUUUUUUUUAAUAAAAAUUUAGAAAGAAUAAAAUUAUUAUAUAAAAUAACAUAUAUUGGAAAUAUUAUAAAAACAUUAAAAGUUUAUUAAGUAGUUAUUCAAAUAAGUGUUUCUAUCCCUAAUUUAAACUUUGGUUUCAAUCUAACUCGAAUUGAAUUUGAGUUGAAAAAGUUUAAUUUGAAUAUUAAAAAUAAUUGUCUAAACACGAUCAAAUAUCGGAUUGGAUUCGACUAAUCUGCCAAAGUUGCACUCCUACCAAGAACCAUACACAAUAAAAAAAAUUUAAGCUAUUUUUUGUUCUAGGAAAGUACUCAAAAAGGAGAAAUAAAGAAAAAAAAAAUGAUUUUAUAUGUAUAAUUAAAAUUAGUUAAAUUUUAUAUAUUUUAAAAUUAUUUAAUUUUUUUAUAUGGAAAAGAAAAAAAAAGAGUGAAAUAAGUUUGAAAAAACAAGUAAAAAUGAUUUGUUAACUUUAAUAUUUUUUUCUUUUCUUUUCUUUAGUUUAUUUUUCUCAAAAUUUUCAAAAAAUAAACAUAGAAUUAAAAAUAAUAAUAAUAAUUAUAGAUUAGGAAAAUCAAUUUUAGAACUUGCUUAUAUGAUUGCAUUAUUUUUUGUAAAUAAUAAUUUUAUUGAAUGUUAAGAGAGUGGUAUUAAAUGCACAUUAUUUAAUAUUUUUAUAUGGAUAUUUUUAUUUCUAAAGAAAGUAAUCUUUACAUGGAUUGGACCACUGUUUAUUUAUCCAUGUGGGCCAGCCUAUUAAAAACCAUCAAACCAACAACCCAAGGGGCGACCCUGAUCAUUCUCGGGGGCCCACAACCUUCAUCUCUAACAAAAGCUCUUACUCACUGAAACAUGGGCAGGAUCACCUUCCACACACAUCUUCAUACCAGUCACCACGCUACCGCAACAAUCCUCCUCCAUGAAAGCCCACCUCCAUCACAGCAAGCAGAAAAUCCAUCACGUCAACCAUCAACCUCCACACAGACCUAACACUGCAUAGCCGUGUUUUGGGAGUGUUAGAACGUGAUUAAAGAUGAUUUAAUUUGAGUGUUCAUGGAGUUUCGCUAUAAGAGGGUGAUAGACCAGAGUAUCAAUGCUCCCUUUGUAACUUUAGGGCCAAAGAGGAGUCAGUUUACCAAAAAUUCUUCAUGAAACCAUCCAUUUAUCUCAGGGAACAUUUAUUAAGUAGAGUCAAAUAGAUUUACAGAUAAGAGACGAUUUAUUCCUUUGAAUGAAAUAACCUUAUUUCAAAUUGCCCUAAUGUGGCCUAAUAAGCAAAAUUACUGGUUAUAUUUUGGACACAUCUCAGUAGAGGUUUGGGGGAGAAAAUAGAAGAAGCAGAGAUGCUUACUUACUUCAGAGGGGCCACUGCUCGCCACCACCACUUCAUGGCUGUGCCCAUUUCACUUGCCCAAGUCACUCUCUUCUCCAAACCCUCCAUUUUACUCCACAGAAAUGCCAUCAUUGGCUUCUCCUUUUCCAUUCCUUUCUCCUCUUCUUCUGCUCACAAGAUUCAGACUCACAAGUGGAGGCAACCGGUGGUCUCGCUUCUGGAGCUUGGUGGAGUCAAGAUUGGCAGAGAUGGUAACAUACCCACAUCCCAAAAUUGCGUUUAAAAAGGAUCUUUAGCUUGAAUUUCGUGUGCCCAAUUUGCGUUUUUGCAGACAUUUGCACUCAAGUCGUGUCGUUUGUUUGCAAUUUCACAAUCUGAUUUCUUUUCUAUUGUGCGUUUUUUUUCUCCUGCUAGGUUCGAAUUCAAGCAUCCAAUUUGCGUUUUUGUGGGUAGUCUUAUGCCCAACUUGUGUAUUCAAUUUGCAAUUGUUGUUAUCAGACUUCCUUCUCUCUUUUGAGACUUACACAGUUAGAGACGUCAUUUCUGUGAAAUUAAGAAUGCAUGUUCCAACUUUCACUUCUUUCUCUCUCUCCCUCUUUUUUUUUUUUUUUUUUUGUGAAAUUGGAAUUCAAGAACUUAUUUUGCGUUUUACAAGCUUAGCGGGUUACGUUUCUGUUCUAUUUGUUGUGCUGUUGGAGGUGUUUGGUGCAUUUAUAUAACUAGGCUUGCAAUUUCGCCCUCUGAUAAAGGUUAAAUUUUCUCCCUUUUUAUUUUUUAUUUUUUUAAUGGUGUAUUUGUUUUGGGUAUUUGGUGAAAUGAGGAUUCUGUACUGGGUUUAUGGCAUUUUUUCAAUUGGUUUGAUAUAUGUGAAUGUGGGUUUUGUAGGGAAGAUAUGCAAAUUUUUUGAAAGAAGCAUGCAAUUACAACUCUGAUUUCCUUUAUAUUUAUAUUUUUUUAUGCUUAUUUGCAUAUUGGUUGAUGUCAAAAUUCAUCUAAUGGGUUGUUUUUUAUUGCUUUGGAUUGGUUUAAUGUAGUUGAAUGGUGGAUUUUGUUUCUAAAACUUAGGGUCAAUUUCAAUUUUUUUUUCUUUUUUUCAAUUUGAAGACCUGGGAGUCUAUGUGAUUGGAAUUGAUGUACUCGAGUUUUUGGAUUUUGCUGAUUGCUUGAUAAACUUGGGAUGCAGAGCCUUAAAAAAUAAACUAUAUUCACUAAACUAUAUCUCUGAUUAUACUUCGUCAAAGCGUGAAAUGCAACUUGGAGUCUUUGUAUUUUUAAAAUUUUUUGGGUUAUUCUAUUCUGAAUAUUUGGUAAAAUUAGAACUCAUGUACUGAACCUUUUUCAAGUUCUUUUGGUUGGCUUGAUAUAUUUGGUUGUGGGGUUUGUAGAUGUGGUGAGGGAUGAUCCUACAAACAAUGUCCCGGAUGCAAUUUUUUUGAAACUUGGAAUGCAGCUUCACAGGAGGGAUCAACACCCAAUUGGAAUUCUGAAGAAUGCAAUAUAUGAUUAUUUCAAUGCCAAUUACUCUAACAAAUUUGAUAAGUUGGAUGACCUUUGCCCAAUAGUCUCCACAAAAGAGGUUUGACAUUAAGAUAUAAAAUAAAAAUUGUAUGCAUGUUUUUUUUUUUUCACUGUUUUGAGCUAUACAUUGCACUAUUUGGAACUUGUAUUAUCUUGCUAUGACUGGUGCCUGACAUUUUGUUGCGGUUUUUAUUUAUUUUGCUGCCCAUUUCCUGUUGGUUUUUGUCCUGUCCUAGGUCUUUUAACAUUUAAGAAUCCAUGAAAGUGGUAUUUGCAUAUGUUGCCAAUUAUUCCAUUGACGAUGUUCUAAGUAGGGAACCUAGUAUCCAAACUUCCAUCCAAACUUCCAUAUAAAAAAAGUCCAGAACAGGCAUUCGGUUUACCAGGUUUAUCAGUUCUCUCCAGUGUUUAUUCAACUCUUAAAUGCAGUAUUCUGGACAUACUCCAAAUUUGAAAUUCCUUUGGUAAAAUAAAGGCAUGGUACUUAUAGUGGUCUAUUAAGGAAAAGGUUUGUUUGACCUAGCUUUUGUACAAAAAAUUCAAGGAUAGUCUUGCAGAUAUGUAUUGUAUAGGUGUAUAUUUCUCUAUCAUGACACAAGUGAGAAAAAAUUCACGAAAGUUGUUUUGUUUUAAUAAAAAAUUGAAAGUUAAUUUAUGUUUUGAGAGGGACAUUAGACAACCUAGGAUUCAAAGGGACAUGUUGUCUCUUAGGAAAAUAUAAUUCAUAGCAUUCUCAAUCACUUACAGGUUAUUUUAAUCCUUUUAAAUUGAUUUAUUUAAUUUUUUUCUUUAUAGUAGGCAAGCAAAAAAUAUAUUUACAACACCUACUAUUAUCAUUAUUUUGGUAAUUAGCAUUGAUGGAGAUUGUAAAAAUUCUCUAAUAGUAUUGCAGGAGAAAAAUAAUAUUUAUGAAUUUUUGUUAAACGCAAUUGUCAUAAUGAUAAUAGUUAAUUAGAAUAAUAUAAGUUUGUAAUUGGAAAAAUUUUAAAAAAUAAUAGCUUUUGGAAAUAGUUUGAAUAGGAGUACAAAAUUCUUGGAUUUCAUGGAGAGCUUAGGUGGGAUCUAAAGCAUGGGGCUGUUUGCUAUCUAUUUUAGUAUUUGCUGCUCUUCUCUCUUAUAGGUGUUCAGUUGCAGCUUGUAUUCUCUGAGCGUACUUGGGUUGUGCCCCCUUUUGUGUUCUUCAAUAUAAUCUUCAGGCUCAUGACUAGUGCAAUUUCUACUAAUUGAUCACUUUUCACUUCAAAUAAUAUUCAGUAAUCCAAAUAGCAUUUAUCAAAUUAUUUUUAACUGCCAUUAGAUUUAUAAAGAACCCAAAAUGUGAAAAUUUCUUCUUAGGCAUGAGAAAUUGUCAUUGUUAUAAACCCCAUGUUUGUCUUGUACUUACAAGCAUAAUUAUAAAGCAUGAUCUGCAUGUCUUAUCAUGAAAUAUAACAAUGUCAUAAAAUAGAUGAUUGAUAAAAUAUUAGAAGUCCAUUACAAAUGCUUAAUGGAACUGAAAAUUAUUACAGAGCAAGUGCAUAUUUCAGUCAAACUUUUAUGCAGUAGUGGUAGCUUAUAAACUCACAACUUUGUAAUCAUGUGCUUGAAUCAAGUAAACUUAAUGGAUCUCAGCUACAUCUGCUCUACAUUUUAACCAUUGUUUUAUGUUAUGGGAAUAGUGACUGAAUUUCACAGUCCCAUCAUUAUAAUUUAUGCAUGUAAAUUCAUUUGGGACUUAGUUUUCACAUGUGUUCACAUGUCAUAACUGUAAUUUCCCUAAUUUUAUGAGUAAGAAAAACUCUUUAAUUUUCCCUAUUUUGACUGAAACUUUAGGAACUUGGACUUUAUUUGGUGCAAAUGUAUGUUAUCAACUAUUGCUUUUGACCAGUCAUGAGUAGAUGCUAUUUAUAAAAGGACACAAAGGAGGAUAUAAUCCAAGUGCACUUGUAGUCGACAAGUUACUCUGGGCAUCAAAAUUGAAAGAAACAACAAUGAAGAAAAGCAUCAAGAAAGUGCCCCUACCUCCCAAACUGUCAAUGAACUACUGGAAGGAUCUACUACUAUUCAAGAUAACUUCUUCUAAGCACAACUACAUGUAACAGUACUUAGCCUGCGCUAUGGUGUCAAAAGGUAGGCUCAUUGGAACAUGCCUAUUUUGAUGGAUUUUAGUUUGUGGGGAUAGUUAAAGUGUAAAGUGUAAAGUGUUUGAUAAAAUAAAUUUGCUAGUUUUAAUAAAUUGGAAUUAC
rnacentral:lncRNA from 1 species